GAAGGAGGUCCCCCAACUUCUAAUUCCAGCGAAAAUCAAGAUAUGAAAACAACAACUCAUUCAGGAGUCCUCGAAUUCACUGCACGAGAAAAUUCUGCAGAGCUGCCUCGGCAUGUCUGGACAAAAUUAUUCCCUGGUAACAACGUUGAAGUUCCUUUAAUUGAGGUGCGGUAUGUCAGCUUGCCAAAAGGAACUUAUGCGAAGCUUAAGCCCGAAGCAGUGGGCUUCUCUGACCUUCCUAACCAUAAAGCUUCAGUACUCGUGCGACCCUGUCAGAGGGCGAUGUUAUCACAGUCUAUUAUGGAGAGCUGCAGUACAAGUUAAGAGUUCUAGAGCUCAAACCUUCUUCGAGUGUUUCAAUUUUAGAAACAGAUAUCGAAGUCGAUAUAGAGGGAUCUGAUUCUGUUUUGGACAAUGAAAAUGAACAGCAUCCAUAUUCAAAUUCAAUUCAAUUAGUAGUAAAUGAAUCAUAUAUUAUAUAUUGUAAUAUUGUAGACACCAGCCUAAAGAAGUGGUUUACUAAAAACAAUUAAUAUAUUUUUUAAAUCAAUCUAUUUAUAAGAAAAGGUCGAAAGACUUAUAAAACUUUUGAGCCAACUCGCCAAAGGUUUCUCUCCUGGGUACUCCCAAAAAUGGUACGGAGUGUGUCAGUUUUGCUGGUUCGGCAUGUUUGUUCCUCGUUUUAUUUAAACCUUUUUGGGUAAUUUGAAAGGUGGUACAUAGUGUGUUUUAUCGUUUGCUUCGGCGUGUUGUUCCUCGUUUUGUUUAUGUUCGACGCAAUACAUGUUGAAAAAAAAUAAUAGAAGGAAAAGAAAAAUUGUGCUCGACGAAACUUGGAUGUGUCUGCCGCGAACGAACCGGCCCCGCCGUAGGUUGUUUCUAAGGCGAGUGGUCAUUCAUGGUAGAGAUAAAAUUUAUUUAUAUUUUUAUUUUGAAAUCAGGAUUAUAGGUUCAUGGCUUCCAACAGACUCAAGAAUCUGUUGUUAAUUACCCCACACUUUCGGUGUUAAGGAACCCUCGAUUAAGAGACCAAAUAUAAAUGCUGAUAAUAAAAGAGACAAAACAGGCAAAUUAAAUUUUAUUGAUAUGAUUUGCCGUUUACAUGGCUUAAGCAGGGGUAUACCCCCACUGUACAUAAAUUGAAUCCUAAGUAUAUGUAUUAGGAUUCAGUUGGAUUUGAGAUUGACUAGGUCCUAAGUAUAUGUAUUAAGAUCUAGUCAAUAUUAGACUCUAUGUAUUAGAGUCUAAUUGGCUCUAAGUAUAUGUCUUAGAGUCCGAUUAUGUCCACCUUGGUUAUAUGUUCCAAGAUGGAGAUGUGACCAGACCUCAAGUAUAUGUAUUGAGGUGGGUCGAACUAGAUCCUAAGUAUAUGUGUUAAGAUCUAGUCGAUAUUAAACUCCAUGUAUUAGAGUCUAAUUGGCUCUAAGUAUAUGUCUUAGAGUCCGAUUAUGUCCACCUUGGUUAUAUGUUCCAAGAUGGAGAUGUGACCAGACCUCAAGUAUAUGUAUUGAGGUGGGUCGAACUAGAUCCUAAGUAUAUGUGUUAAGAUCUAGUCGAUAUUAAACUCCAUGUAUUAGAGUCUAAUUGGCUCUAAGUAUAUGUCUUAGAGUCCGAUUAUGUCCACCUUGGUUAUAUGUUCCAAGAUGGAGAUGUGACCAGACCUCAAGUAUAUGUAUUGAGGUGGGUCGAACUAGAUCCUAAGUAUAUGUGUUAAGAUCUAGUCGAUAUUAAACUCCAUGUAUUAGAGUCUAAUUGGCUCUAAGUAUAUGUCUUAGAGUCCGAUUAUAUUCACCUUGGUUGUAUGUUCCAAGGUGGAGAUGUGACCAGACCUCAAGUAUAUGUAUUGAGGUGGGUCGAAUUACCCGAAAGUGGAGAGUGGCUAAUUCCCGAGUAUAUGUAUCAGGAUUAACCGAGUUUCACUCUAGUUAUAUGUGCUAGAAUGAAGGUCUGACUAAGCCCUAAGUAUAUGUAUUAGGGGUAGUCGGAUUUGAACUCUAAGUAUAUGUAUUAGAGCUCGAUCGGGUAAGGAUUUCACUCUAGGUAUAUGUGCUAGAGCAAAAGGCUGACUAGACCCUAAGUAUAUGGGUUAGGACUAGUCGAGCACGGUUUGACUUCCACUCUAGGUAUAUGUGCUAGAGCAAAAGACUGACUAGACCCUAAGUAUAUGUGUUAGGGUUAGUCGGGCAUGGCUUGACUUCCACUCUAGGUAUAUGUGCUAGAGCAAAAGACUGACUAGACCCUAAGUAUAUGUGUUAGGGUUAGUCGGAUGAACUCUAAGUAUAUAUGUUAGAGUUCGAAUAAAGUUGAUAUCAUUUGACUGAAUUCUAAGUAUAUGGCUUAGAACUCUGUCGAUUUGGAGAUGUUUCGCCUUAGUUAUAUGUGCUAAGGCGAUUGACUUAGCCCUAAGUAUAUGUAUUAGGGGUAGUCGAUAUUUAAUUUUUACUCUAGGUAUAUGUGCCAGAGUAAAAAAAGGGUUCACGAUGAGAUUUGGGUAUUGGUUCAUGAGAUUUGAGUAUUGGCUCAUGAGAUUUGGUUCAUGAAUUUGGAUAUGGUUCAUGAAUUUGGUGUAUGGACUUGGUUCAUGAACUUGGAUAUGGUUCAUGGAUUUGGUGUAUGGAUUUGGUUCAUGAACUUGGAUAUGGUUCAUGGGUUUGGUGUAUGGAUUUGGUUCAUGAACUUGGAUAUGGUUCAUGGGUUUGGUGUAUGGAUUUGGUUCAUGAACUUGGAUAUGGUUCAUGGGUUUGGUGUAUGGAUUUGGUUCAUGAACUUGGAUAUGGUUCAUGGGUUUGGUGUAUGGAUUUGGUUCAUGAACUUGGAUAUGGUUCAUGGGUUUGGUGUAUGGAUUUGGUUCAUGAACUUGGAUAUGGUUCAUGGGUUUGGUGUAUGGAUUUGGUUCAUGAACUUGGAUAUGGUUCAUGGGUUUGGUGUAUGGAUUUGGUUCAUGAACUUGGAUAUGGUUCAUGGGUUUGGUGUAUGGAUUUGGUUCAUGAACUUGGAUAUGGUUCAUGGGUUUGGUGUAUGGAUUUGGUUCAUGAACUUGGAUAUGGUUCAUGGGUUUGGUGUAUGGAUUUGGUUCAUGAACUUGGAUAUGGUUCAUGGGUUUGGUGUAUGGAUUUGGUUCAUGAACUUGGAUAUGGUUCAUGGGUUUGGUGUAUGGAUUUGGUUCAUGAACUUGGAUAUGGUUCAUGGGUUUGGUGUAUGGAUUUGGUUCAUGAACUUGGAUAUGGUUCAUGGGUUUGGUGUAUGGAUUUGGUUCAUGAACUUGGAUAUGGUUCAUGGGUUUGGUGUAUGGAUUUGGUUCAUGAACUUGGAUAUGGUUCAUGGGUUUGGUGUAUGGAUUUGGUUCAUGAACUUGGAUAUGGUUCAUGGGUUUGGUGUAUGGAUUUGGUUCAUGAACUUGGAUAUGGUUCAUGGGUUUGGUGUAUGGAUUUGGUUCAUGAACUUGGAUAUGGUUCAUGGGUUUGGUGUAUGGAUUUGGUUCAUGAACUUGGAUAUGGUUCAUGGGUUUGGUGUAUGGAUUUGGUUCAUGAACUUGGAUAUGGUUCAUGGGUUUGGUGUAUGGAUUUGGUUCAUGAACUUGGAUAUGGUUCAUGGGUUUGGUGUAUGGAUUUGGUUCAUGAACUUGGAUAUGGUUCAUGGGUUUGGUGUAUGGAUUUGGUUCAUGAACUUGGAUAUGGUUCAUGGGUUUGGUGUAUGGAUUUGGUUCAUGAACUUGGAUAUGGUUCAUGGGUUUGGUGUAUGGAUUUGGUUCAUGAACUUGGAUAUGGUUCAUGGGUUUGGUGUAUGGAUUUGGUUCAUGAACUUGGAUAUGGUUCAUGGGUUUGGUGUAUGGAUUUGGUUCAUGAACUUGGAUAUGGUUCAUGGGUUUGGUGUAUGGAUUUGGUUCAUGAACUUGGAUAUGGUUCAUGGGUUUGGUGUAUGGAUUUGGUUCAUGAACUUGGAUAUGGUUCAUGGGUUUGGUGUAUGGAUUUGGUUCAUGAACUUGGAUAUGGUUCAUGGGUUUGGUGUAUGGAUUUGGUUCAUGAACUUGGAUAUGGUUCAUGGGUUUGGUGUAUGGAUUUGGUUCAUGAACUUGGAUAUGGUUCAUGGGUUUGGUGUAUGGAUUUGGUUCAUGAACUUGGAUAUGGUUCAUGGGUUUGGUGUAUGGAUUUGGUUCAUGAACUUGGAUAUGGUUCAUGGGUUUGGUGUAUGGAUUUGGUUCAUGAACUUGGAUAUGGUUCAUGGGUUUGGUGUAUGGAUUUGGUUCAUGAACUUGGAUAUGGUUCAUGGGUUUGGUGUAUGGAUUUGGUUCAUGAACUUGGAUAUGGUUCAUGGGUUUGGUGUAUGGAUUUGGUUCAUGAACUUGGAUAUGGUUCAUGGGUUUGGUGUAUGGAUUUGGUUCAUGAACUUGGAUAUGGUUCAUGGGUUUGGUGUAUGGAUUUGGUUCAUGAACUUGGAUAUGGUUCAUGGGUUUGGUGUAUGGAUUUGGUUCAUGAACUUGGAUAUGGUUCAUGGGUUUGGUGUAUGGAUUUGGUUCAUGAACUUGGAUAUGGUUCAUGGGUUUGGUGUAUGGAUUUGGUUCAUGAACUUGGAUAUGGUUCAUGGGUUUGGUGUAUGGAUUUGGUUCAUGAACUUGGAUAUGGUUCAUGGGUUUGGUGUAUGGAUUUGGUUCAUGAACUUGGAUAUGGUUCAUGGGUUUGGUGUAUGGAUUUGGUUCAUGAACUUGGAUAUGGUUCAUGGGUUUGGUGUAUGGAUUUGGUUCAUGAACUUGGAUAUGGUUCAUGGGUUUGGUGUAUGGAUUUGGUUCAUGAACUUGGAUAUGGUUCAUGGGUUUGGUGUAUGGAUUUGGUUCAUGAACUUGGAUAUGGUUCAUGGGUUUGGUGUAUGGAUUUGGUUCAUGAACUUGGAUAUGGUUCAUGGGUUUGGUGUAUGGAUUUGGUUCAUGAACUUGGAUAUGGUUCAUGGGUUUGGUGUAUGGAUUUGGUUCAUGAACUUGGAUAUGGUUCAUGGGUUUGGUGUAUGGAUUUGGUUCAUGAACUUGGAUAUGGUUCAUGGGUUUGGUGUAUGGAUUUGGUUCAUGAACUUGGAUAUGGUUCAUGGGUUUGGUGUAUGGAUUUGGUUCAUGAACUUGGAUAUGGUUCAUGGGUUUGGUGUAUGGAUUUGGUUCAUGAACUUGGAUAUGGUUCAUGGGUUUGGUGUAUGGAUUUGGUUCAUGAACUUGGAUAUGGUUCAUGGGUUUGGUGUAUGGAUUUGGUUCAUGAACUUGGAUAUGGUUCAUGGGUUUGGUGUAUGGAUUUGGUUCAUGAACUUGGAUAUGGUUCAUGGGUUUGGUGUAUGGAUUUGGUUCAUGAACUUGGAUAUGGUUCAUGGGUUUGGUGUAUGGAUUUGGUUCAUGAACUUGGAUAUGGUUCAUGGGUUUGGUGUAUGGAUUUGGUUCAUGAACUUGGAUAUGGUUCAUGGGUUUGGUGUAUGGAUUUGGUUCAUGAACUUGGAUAUGGUUCAUGGGUUUGGUGUAUGGAUUUGGUUCAUGAACUUGGAUAUGGUUCAUGGGUUUGGUGUAUGGAUUUGGUUCAUGAACUUGGAUAUGGUUCAUGGGUUUGGUGUAUGGAUUUGGUUCAUGAACUUGGAUAUGGUUCAUGGGUUUGGUGUAUGGAUUUGGUUCAUGAACUUGGAUAUGGUUCAUGGGUUUGGUGUAUGGAUUUGGUUCAUGAACUUGGAUAUGGUUCAUGGGUUUGGUGUAUGGAUUUGGUUCAUGAACUUGGAUAUGGUUCAUGGGUUUGGUGUAUGGAUUUGGUUCAUGAACUUGGAUAUGGUUCAUGGGUUUGGUGUAUGGAUUUGGUUCAUGAACUUGGAUAUGGUUCAUGGGUUUGGUGUAUGGAUUUGGUUCAUGAACUUGGAUAUGGUUCAUGGGUUUGGUGUAUGGAUUUGGUUCAUGAACUUGGAUAUGGUUCAUGGGUUUGGUGUAUGGAUUUGGUUCAUGAACUUGGAUAUGGUUCAUGGGUUUGGUGUAUGGAUUUGGUUCAUGAACUUGGAUAUGGUUCAUGGGUUUGGUGUAUGGAUUUGGUUCAUGAACUUGGAUAUGGUUCAUGGGUUUGGUGUAUGGAUUUGGUUCAUGAACUUGGAUAUGGUUCAUGGGUUUGGUGUAUGGAUUUGGUUCAUGAACUUGGAUAUGGUUCAUGGGUUUGGUGUAUGGAUUUGGUUCAUGAACUUGGAUAUGGUUCAUGGGUUUGGUGUAUGGAUUUGGUUCAUGAACUUGGAUAUGGUUCAUGGGUUUGGUGUAUGGAUUUGGUUCAUGAACUUGGAUAUGGUUCAUGGGUUUGGUGUAUGGAUUUGGUUCAUGAACUUGGAUAUGGUUCAUGGGUUUGGUGUAUGGAUUUGGUUCAUGAACUUGGAUAUGGUUCAUGGGUUUGGUGUAUGGAUUUGGUUCAUGAACUUGGAUAUGGUUCAUGGGUUUGGUGUAUGGAUUUGGUUCAUGAACUUGGAUAUGGUUCAUGGGUUUGGUGUAUGGAUUUGGUUCAUGAACUUGGAUAUGGUUCAUGGGUUUGGUGUAUGGAUUUGGUUCAUGAACUUGGAUAUGGUUCAUGGGUUUGGUGUAUGGAUUUGGUUCAUGAACUUGGAUAUGGUUCAUGGGUUUGGUGUAUGGAUUUGGUUCAUGAACUUGGAUAUGGUUCAUGGGUUUGGUGUAUGGAUUUGGUUCAUGAACUUGGAUAUGGUUCAUGGGUUUGGUGUAUGGAUUUGGUUCAUGAACUUGGAUAUGGUUCAUGGGUUUGGUGUAUGGAUUUGGUUCAUGAACUUGGAUAUGGUUCAUGGGUUUGGUGUAUGGAUUUGGUUCAUGAACUUGGAUAUGGUUCAUGGGUUUGGUGUAUGGAUUUGGUUCAUGAACUUGGAUAUGGUUCAUGGGUUUGGUGUAUGGAUUUGGUUCAUGAACUUGGAUAUGGUUCAUGGGUUUGGUGUAUGGAUUUGGUUCAUGAACUUGGAUAUGGUUCAUGGGUUUGGUGUAUGGAUUUGGUUCAUGAACUUGGAUAUGGUUCAUGGGUUUGGUGUAUGGAUUUGGUUCAUGAACUUGGAUAUGGUUCAUGGGUUUGGUGUAUGGAUUUGGUUCAUGAACUUGGAUAUGGUUCAUGGGUUUGGUGUAUGGAUUUGGUUCAUGAACUUGGAUAUGGUUCAUGGGUUUGGUGUAUGGAUUUGGUUCAUGAACUUGGAUAUGGUUCAUGGGUUUGGUGUAUGGAUUUGGUUCAUGAACUUGGAUAUGGUUCAUGGGUUUGGUGUAUGGAUUUGGUUCAUGAACUUGGAUAUGGUUCAUGGGUUUGGUGUAUGGAUUUGGUUCAUGAACUUGGAUAUGGUUCAUGGGUUUGGUGUAUGGAUUUGGUUCAUGAACUUGGAUAUGGUUCAUGGGUUUGGUGUAUGGAUUUGGUUCAUGAACUUGGAUAUGGUUCAUGGGUUUGGUGUAUGGAUUUGGUUCAUGAACUUGGAUAUGGUUCAUGGGUUUGGUGUAUGGAUUUGGUUCAUGAACUUGGAUAUGGUUCAUGGGUUUGGUGUAUGGAUUUGGUUCAUGAACUUGGAUAUGGUUCAUGGGUUUGGUGUAUGGAUUUGGUUCAUGAACUUGGAUAUGGUUCAUGGGUUUGGUGUAUGGAUUUGGUUCAUGAACUUGGAUAUGGUUCAUGGGUUUGGUGUAUGGAUUUGGUUCAUGAACUUGGAUAUGGUUCAUGGGUUUGGUGUAUGGAUUUGGUUCAUGAACUUGGAUAUGGUUCAUGGGUUUGGUGUAUGGAUUUGGUUCAUGAACUUGGAUAUGGUUCAUGGGUUUGGUGUAUGGAUUUGGUUCAUGAACUUGGAUAUGGUUCAUGGGUUUGGUGUAUGGAUUUGGUUCAUGAACUUGGAUAUGGUUCAUGGGUUUGGUGUAUGGAUUUGGUUCAUGAACUUGGAUAUGGUUCAUGGGUUUGGUGUAUGGAUUUGGUUCAUGAACUUGGAUAUGGUUCAUGGGUUUGGUGUAUGGAUUUGGUUCAUGAACUUGGAUAUGGUUCAUGGGUUUGGUGUAUGGAUUUGGUUCAUGAACUUGGAUAUGGUUCAUGGGUUUGGUGUAUGGAUUUGGUUCAUGAACUUGGAUAUGGUUCAUGGGUUUGGUGUAUGGAUUUGGUUCAUGAACUUGGAUAUGGUUCAUGGGUUUGGUGUAUGGAUUUGGUUCAUGAACUUGGAUAUGGUUCAUGGGUUUGGUGUAUGGAUUUGGUUCAUGAACUUGGAUAUGGUUCAUGGGUUUGGUGUAUGGAUUUGGUUCAUGAACUUGGAUAUGGUUCAUGGGUUUGGUGUAUGGAUUUGGUUCAUGAACUUGGAUAUGGUUCAUGGGUUUGGUGUAUGGAUUUGGUUCAUGAACUUGGAUAUGGUUCAUGGGUUUGGUGUAUGGAUUUGGUUCAUGAACUUGGAUAUGGUUCAUGGGUUUGGUGUAUGGAUUUGGUUCAUGAACUUGGAUAUGGUUCAUGGGUUUGGUGUAUGGAUUUGGUUCAUGAACUUGGAUAUGGUUCAUGGGUUUGGUGUAUGGAUUUGGUUCAUGAACUUGGAUAUGGUUCAUGGGUUUGGUGUAUGGAUUUGGUUCAUGAACUUGGAUAUGGUUCAUGGGUUUGGUGUAUGGAUUUGGUUCAUGAACUUGGAUAUGGUUCAUGGGUUUGGUGUAUGGAUUUGGUUCAUGAACUUGGAUAUGGUUCAUGGGUUUGGUGUAUGGAUUUGGUUCAUGAACUUGGAUAUGGUUCAUGGGUUUGGUGUAUGGAUUUGGUUCAUGAACUUGGAUAUGGUUCAUGGGUUUGGUGUAUGGAUUUGGUUCAUGAACUUGGAUAUGGUUCAUGGGUUUGGUGUAUGGAUUUGGUUCAUGAACUUGGAUAUGGUUCAUGGGUUUGGUGUAUGGAUUUGGUUCAUGAACUUGGAUAUGGUUCAUGGGUUUGGUGUAUGGAUUUGGUUCAUGAACUUGGAUAUGGUUCAUGGGUUUGGUGUAUGGAUUUGGUUCAUGAACUUGGAUAUGGUUCAUGGGUUUGGUGUAUGGAUUUGGUUCAUGAACUUGGAUAUGGUUCAUGGGUUUGGUGUAUGGAUUUGGUUCAUGAACUUGGAUAUGGUUCAUGGGUUUGGUGUAUGGAUUUGGUUCAUGAACUUGGAUAUGGUUCAUGGGUUUGGUGUAUGGAUUUGGUUCAUGAACUUGGAUAUGGUUCAUGGGUUUGGUGUAUGGAUUUGGUUCAUGAACUUGGAUAUGGUUCAUGGGUUUGGUGUAUGGAUUUGGUUCAUGAACUUGGAUAUGGUUCAUGGGUUUGGUGUAUGGAUUUGGUUCAUGAACUUGGAUAUGGUUCAUGGGUUUGGUGUAUGGAUUUGGUUCAUGAACUUGGAUAUGGUUCAUGGGUUUGGUGUAUGGAUUUGGUUCAUGAACUUGGAUAUGGUUCAUGGGUUUGGUGUAUGGAUUUGGUUCAUGAACUUGGAUAUGGUUCAUGGGUUUGGUGUAUGGAUUUGGUUCAUGAACUUGGAUAUGGUUCAUGGGUUUGGUGUAUGGAUUUGGUUCAUGAACUUGGAUAUGGUUCAUGGGUUUGGUGUAUGGAUUUGGUUCAUGAACUUGGAUAUGGUUCAUGGGUUUGGUGUAUGGAUUUGGUUCAUGAACUUGGAUAUGGUUCAUGGGUUUGGUGUAUGGAUUUGGUUCAUGAACUUGGAUAUGGUUCAUGGGUUUGGUGUAUGGAUUUGGUUCAUGAACUUGGAUAUGGUUCAUGGGUUUGGUGUAUGAAUUUGGUUCAUGGUUCAAGGAAUUUGGGUUUAGUUUAACGACUUUUCGGUCGUUUGGAUUUGGGUUUAGUUUAACGACUUUUCGGUCGUUUGGAUUCAGGUUUAGUUUAGCGACUUUUCGGUCGUUUGAAUUUGGGUUGUUUAGUUUAACGACUUUGCGGUCAUUUGAUUUGAUUGUUUAGUUUAACGACUUUACGGUCGUAGGUUUUAUUUGUGGACUUUGGGUUUUGGCAUUUUAUUUGUGGACUUUGGGUUUUGAAAUUUAUUUGUGGACUUUAGGUUUUGGGUUUAUUUGUGGACUUUGAUUUUGGGAUUUAUUUGUGGACUUUGGGUUUGGGUUGGCUUAAUCCUCUUGUAUUUGAUUUGGGAUGAAUCGCCUUAGGUUUUCAUUUGGUUUACCCCUUUCAGGUUUGGUUUGGGCUGAACCGUUAUGCUUUGGUUCGGGACCCAUCAAGACUUGGUUUGAGUUGAACCGUUAUGCUUUGAUUCGGUUCGAGUCAGAUCCUUCAUGGUUCGAUUCGAGUCGGGUCCUUCAUGGUUUGGUUCGAAUCGGAUUCUUCAUGGUUCGAUUCGAGUCGGACCCACAUUGGUUCGAGUCGGACUUUGAUCUAAUUGAACCGAAUUCAACUCGAGUCGGUUCAGGUCGGAUCCUGUUCGGUUCGGGUUGAACCCGCUUCAGUUCGAGUCGGAUCCUUCAUGGUUUGGAUUAGACCCACUUCGGUUCGAGUCGGAUCCUUCAUGGUUCUGAUUGGAUUGGAUUUACUUUGGUUUGGUUCGGACCGGAUUCGGUUCGGUUCAGUUCGGAUUCACUUUGGUUCAAGUUGAAUCCUGUAUGGUUCUGUCCGGAUCAGAUCCACUUCGGAUCAAGUUGAAUCCAUUUGGUUUGGUUCGGAUUGGAUCCGCUUCAGUUCGAGUCGAAUCCUUCCUGGUUCGAAUCAGGUCAAAUCCACUUUGGAUCAAGUUAAAUCCAUUUGGCUCGGUUCGGAUCAAAUCCACUUUGGUUCGAGUCGAAUCCUUCCUGGUUCGGUUCAAGUCGGAUCCACUUCGGAUCGAGUUGGAUCCUUUAUAGCUUGGUUCAGACUGGAUUCGGUUCGGUUCAGUUCGGAUCGGAUCCGCUUUGGGUCAAGUUCAAGUCGAACCCAUUAUGAUUUGGUUCAAACGGGAUCGGUUCGGUUCAGCUUGGAUCGGAUCCGCAUCGAUUCAAGUCGAAUCCUUUAUGAUUCGGUUCAGUUCGGAUCCGGUUCGGUUCAGUUCAGAUCGGAUUCACCUUGGUUCAAGUUGAAUCCUUUAUGGUUUGGUUCAGACGGGAUCCGGUUCGGUUCAGCUCGGAUCGAAUCCGCUUCGGUUUAAGUCGAACCCAUUAUGAUUUGGUUCGGUUAAUGUCUUUAAUGGUUCAAUUAGACUUAUUGAUUAGACUUGAUCGGCUUAUCAUCCGAUUUGAUUUGUCAUCAUGGUUUGGUUGACUCGGGUCAAGCCUAUUACGAAGACGGCGACCAGGUUUAAUGAACUGAACUCAGGUCAAGCCUAUCACGAAGACGGCGACCCAGUCUAAAUGAACCGAACUCGGGUCAAGCCUAUCACGAAGACGGCGACCCGGUUUAAUUAGCCGAACUCCGGUCAAGCCUAUCACGAAGACGGCGACCCGGCUCAAUAAAUCGGACUCAGAACCGAACCCGGGUCAAACCUAUCACGAAGACGGCGAUCCGGUUUAAUUAACCGGACUCGGGUCAAGCCUAUCAUGAAGACGGCGACCCGGUUUAAUUAUCCGAACUCGGGUCAAGCCUAUCACGAAGACGGCGACCCGGUUUAAUUAAUCGGACUCGGGUCAAGUCUAUCACGAAGACGGCGACCCGGUUUAAUUAUCCGGACUCGGGUCAAGCCUAUCACGAAGACGGCGACCCGAGAAAAAUAUUUGUUAUCAUUUUUUAUUAUUUUAUUUUUGUUGUUCUCAUUUUGGUCCGAAUCGAAGUUCAACCGUGUCGAGCCUAUCACGAAGACGGCCGCUCGGUAUGAUCAUAAGUCCAAUAAGGGUAACGAUCCAACGUCGAGAUUGAAAGUGUCGAGCCUAUCACGAAGACGGCCGCACAAUCAAAUCGGUUGGAGGCUCGUCGUCACGUCAUCCGCCCGCUCGUGUAGAUCUUUCGUCGGCGUUGGGGAGAUGGACGUUUAGUGAAUACGCACGCAUGAUAUAGUAACGAUCCAAUGCCGGAUUUGAUCGGGUCAACCUAUCACGAAGACGGUCGUGUUGAUCAAACCGACAAAUAAAUCGCUACUAUACGUUUGCACGUAUACACUAAUCCGCCGUCGUCGGAGAAGAAGAAGAAAGAGGCCAUGAGGCCUCCUCGCGCGCCAUUGUCGUUGUCAAAGUCGUCACAACGCCGCUACCGCCGCCGCCGUCGCCGUUGCGCGUCCUCGUGCGCCAUUGUCGUGGUCGAAGUCGUUGUCAGCGCGCCGUUGUCGACGUCGUCGUCGUCGUCAUCGCCGCCGUCAUCGCACUGUUGCCGUCGCUCUCUUCUUUUUUUUUUAUCUUUUCUUUUCUUUUGCUUUCUUUUUCUUUUCCUUUUUUUUCUUUUCAUUUUCUCUUCUUUUUUUUUUUUCCUCCCUCCAAGAGAGCCUUUAUUUUGAAUCUCAUGGUCCAAUUUAUAGUGGUUCUAGGACCUCUUCAACUUGGAAAUGAUUCAAAAAUUUUUAAAAAUAAGGCAAUAAUAUAAUUUUUUAUUUCUUUUCCUUUUUGAUGGUUGGCCAUCUAAAGAAAGUAGCAAUCAUUCCCCAUUAAUUCUAUUGCCUUCCAUAUUUUCAAUUUGAAAUUCAAAUUUGAAAUUUUUUUUGUUUUGAUCCCAACAGGAUGGAAUUUGAUAUUUGAAUGAUGUUAUAUAUUCUAAAAUUGUACUGUUCUAUAUGAAUUUGUGUCAGGUUAUUGAUAGAGUUUUAGCCACCGUUUGGUUGGGGGUUAAGGGGUGGAAUAACCUCUUAACCUUUAAUUUAUACCCAAACACCACUCUUAAGGGGUGGGAUUAGUAAACCCCACCCCAAACCGGGUUAGUGAGGUUUACUAACCCCACUCUCCCUCCCAACUUUAACCCCGCACGUAUUCCGAGCUCUCAUCUUUUUCUUCUUUAUCAAUCAUUAACCCCACUCCCCCUCCCAACUUUAACCCCGCACGCAUCCCGAGCCCUCACCUUUUUCUUCUUUAUCAAUCAUUAUCUUUUUAUCCCACCUACUCCAACCAAACACUUUUUUUCACUAUCCUAGACUAACUCCAACCUCCAACCAAGCACAAAAAAACUUUAAUCCCAUUUUAACCUUGAACUUAACCCUAUCCCUGGUAUAGCUACUUUUUCCUUAACCCCGAACCAAACGGAGGCUUAGAAUCUUGUCUUCCUGAUUUUAAUGUAAUAUAGUGUACUUUGGCCUUGGGUUAUUUGACAGGACUCGAAUGCUAAUAUGGAAGAAAUUCUAAACAUGGGUAUAAGUUGCAAAAAGAAAAAAAAAAUUAAAUCGUAAAUUUUAUGCAAAAAAUUGAAUGCAAAUGUUCUACUGGUUCAUUUUAUUUUUGAGCAAUACUAUUUGUACACUUGAAAGUUGGGUUCAUCUACGAACCAAUUUUUUCAUGUUAGUCGUAAAUCAAUUAACAUGCACAAAGUGUAAUUAUCAGUAAGUCAUCAGCUUUAGAAGAGAUUUAGCUCCGUGUCCAAUCUCGUCUUGGUGAUUAGAAUUCCGUGUACAUGUUUUUUUAUCUUGAUAUGGAUCCGUACUUAUAAUUUAUUUAUAACAAAAAUAACACCCCAAACUAAUUUCUCUUGCUUUUUAUUUCUUUAUUUGUACUCACUUUUUUCAACUCAUGGUUUAUUUCCUUUCUUGUUUUAUUUGUUUUUUUUUGUUUUUUUUUUUUUUUUGCUAGAAUCGUAGUGACGCUACCUGUCAUUCAUUGAUUAUAAUUAGGCGCUAACAGAGAGUAGGGCAACCCAGCGCGAGAAAAAUAAAAAAAAAAAAAAAAAAAAAAAAAAAAAAAAAAAUCAUAGAGUGUCUUUCCAAGAAUCAAUCAAGUACUUGAGCCUACGCACCGCUACUUUGGGGUCAAACUGAAUAUCGCGAAAGAUAAGGUUGUUCCUGGCCUUCCAAAUGGUCCACCAGCAUGCGGCCAAUUCAGCUAGGCCGUCCCUUCUACUUUGUCCACCAUCCCUUCCCCUCCACCUAUCCCAGACAAUAUGUACAUCGUCACCCAACUCUUCCGACUGAACGUCCUCGAGUCCCGUGACCAUGAUAAACUUGAUAAAGGCGCAUUGGGUGAAUAGGUGGUCCACCGACUCGUCAUAAACCCCGCACAUUGCACAAGCCGUACUUCCUGACCAUCCUAUCUUCCUGAGAUUGUCAGUCGUAAGUGUUCUUUUCUUAAGAACUAGCCAACAGAACACUUUGAUCUUGAGUGGAAUUCGGAGUCUCCAAAUAAUGUUAGCCCGUCUGUCCCUCGUGCCCCCGUCGUUCAACAUCCGAUAGGUCGAUUGGACUGAGAAUGUACCAUUACUGCCCCAUCUCCAUCCUAACUUGUCCUCCCUAUACGUAAUAUUAAAACUCGUAACUCUCCUUUUGAGCUCCGAAAGAGUGGGGCACAGGUGCGUUGGAAUCGAGGAUUCAUCGCCCAGAAUUGUACUCCAAUUCCAGCCGUCACUGCCGACGUCACUGCCAAAGCAAUCCUUAACCGAUGUUGGUUUGCAAUCCAGCAACGCGUACACCUCCGGGAACGCCGCUUGAAGUGUGGUGUCCCCACACCAUCUGUCCAGCCAAAAAUCCACCGACCGCCCAUUGCCCAGAGAAUAGUUGAUCCCCCAUUUAAAGAUAUCUUUAAUGGUUAACACCCCUCUCCACCAAUGGGAUGGAGGCCUGAAUCCUCUUCCCUCCCACAGCGGCCUUCUUCUGCGGUAUAAUAAAGCCCGGAUAAUCUUGAUCCAUGGUAGAUGAGGUGUCGUAUGGAAUCUCCACCACCAUUUGACUAGAAGAGCCUUAUUCAUGUCAGCUACAUCUAGGAUGCCUAACCCACCUGCCCUUUUACUCAAACAAACGUUUUUCCAAGCAACAAGGCACCCCUUGCCAAGGGAGUUGCUAUGGCCAGUCCAGAAGAAGUCUCUGCGUAGAGCUUCGAUGCGCUUAAUCGCCCAAACAGGUGCCUUGAACACUGACAGGAAGUAAAUUGGUAGAUUGGUGAGCACCGCGUUGACCAGGAUAAGUCUACCCCCUUUAGAGAGAAGCUUAGCCUGCCAUCCGUCGAUUCUGUGCUGCAGCUUCUGAAUAACCCCUCUCCACACCUCCUUUGUGGGAGGUUUAGGUGAAAGAGGGAGGCCUAGGUAAGUGGUGGGGAGGGUACCAACUUUGCAGUCGAGCAACUGUGCGAGUCUCUCCGCUUUGCCCUCAGUCUCACCCAGAUAAUAUAACUCGGACUUUUCUCUGUUGAUUUUCAAUCCUGACGCCCACUCGAAUAGUUUCCACAUCAGUCUUAGGUUUCUCAUAUAUCGAUUUCUAGCCACAGAGAAAAAGAAAGUAUCAUCCGCAAACUGUGUUAGUGUCGUUAGGCUCUCAUGUGAAGGACCAAUUCCCUUGAAAAGGUUGUUUGAGGUGGCAUUGCUGGUCAAUCUGGCGAGGCACUCCGCCACUAACAGGAAUAGGAAUGGCGAAAGUGGAUCUCCUUGUCGUACCCCUCGCUUAGUUUUGAUCCAGUUCGUCGCCUCACCGUUAACCAGAAUAGCUACUUUAGCAUUACAUACACAUUGUUCAAUCCAGCUACACCAUCGCUCCUCGAAGCCCCACCAUCGGAGAAUACUGAAGAGGAAGGGCCAAUAAAUCCUAUCGUAAGCCUUUUCGAAGUCCACUUUUAUGCCUACCCCUUCAAUAGCCUCCUUGCUACCCCAUCGAAUUAGUUCUGACACAGUGACAUACGCGUCGGUAAUAUUUCUCCCUUUCAAGAAAGCGGAUUGGGAAGGUGAGAUUAGCUCAUCCAUACCCACUGCUAGUCGAUUCGCUAGGACCUUCGAGAUUAUCUUUUGAAUACCAUUGAUGAGACUGAUAGGUCGAUACUCGUUAGCUCUUUUUGCCCCUUCUUUCUUUGGUAUUAGGCAAAUAAAGGAAUAAUCUAAAGGAGCAGUAGUAAUCCCGCCCUCGUACAACUCCUGGAAGACAUUGAGAAGGUCUCCCUUUAGGGUGUCCCAGAAAGUUUGGUAAAAUCUUAGAGGGAAACCAUCAGGUCCCGGUGCUUUAUCACUACCCAACUGAAAAACCGCCUCUUUAAUUUCCUCGACACUGAACUUCUCCGUUAAUCGCCUCAUCAUGGGAGCCGUAACCCGUCGAGAGGUAAAUAGCCUACUCCAAUCGCCGAAGGAGUGCGGGGCUGAGGCUUCCGCUGAAAAAAGUUCUUUAAAGUAUUGGAAAAAAUACUUCUUCUUAUCAUCCUCUGAUUGGUACACAUGCCCAUUAUCGGUAACGACUCCAAUACCAUUGGCCCGUCUUCUCCCGUUAGCAAUACUAUGGAAGAAUUUAGUAUUGUUAUCCCCCUCCUUCAACCAGUGCUGAUUAGCCCUGGCUCUCCACAUGGCGGCUUCAUCGUUAAGGACACCCCGUAACUUACCUUUCAAAUCCUCUCUUCGCACUACCCAUUCCUCAGCAAGCGUUCCGUGCUCCUCCGCUGUAUCAAUCUGAUAAAUUUCCUCCAUGAGACAUUUCUUAAGGUCCCGGAUACUGUAGAAUUCGCUUUUGCACCAUUCUUUGAUCCUUUGUCGGCAGUAUCGCAGCUUUGCUGUGAAAGUAAGCACAGCAGAACUUUUAUUCCUUCCCUCCGUCCACCAUCGUGGUACUUUGGUUAGGAAAUCGUCAUGAUUGAGCCACGCUUCCUCAAAUCGAAAGAUUUUCUGCCUUCCCUUGGGUCCUCGCUCAGCCGUAAGCAGUAUAGGACAGUGGUCCGAAGUGACUCGAGGUAGCGCAACAACCUUGGAUAGCGGAAAGUCCUGGUCCGAAGUGACUCGAGGUAGCGCAACAACCUUGUUUAUUUCUCUUAAUAAUUAUUUGUUUUGUAUAGAAUGCAUAAUAAAUAAAUGAUUGUUAUGCACAUAAUGAUCUCAUGUCUCUUGAGAUCUCUCAGACUCUCUUUAUGUUGUGGGAUAUGCUUAAUUAUUUUUCCCUUUAUAAUUGUACUUUUCAUUUCCAACAUACAAUCUGUUGAAAUGAGUUUUAUUUAUUUGCCAUACCAUCAUACGUAACUUAUUCAUUUUAACUCGUCACGCUAUGGUACCCUUUUUUCUUUUUUUCUUUUUUUUUUUUAAAAAAAAAGGUGCCCAUAGGGCUUGUAAAAUAUAAAUAUUGAUUAGUCUUUAGAUAAAUGUCUAUUCUUUGUACGGGAAAAAAAAAAACUUUGGGAAAAAUUUUUUGGAAUCUCUUUUAGUCAUAUAAUUAUGCACCAAUUAACCAUAGUUAUUCAAAACAGAGUAUAUGAUAUAAUUGUGAUAAUUCAAAUUUAAGUUAAGAUUAACCCUGAAUCAUGCUGUAGAAUAAAGUUUUAACUAAUUAUUAAAUUAGUCACUCCACAUAAUUAAGAACAAACCUAUGCUCCUCUUUUGAUAGAAAAUUUUUUGAGAAUUAGCGGAAGAUUUCUUUUGAUAGAAAAUUUUUUCAGAAUUAACAGAAGAAAUCAGAAUUCAAUGCAUAUUCCAACUCCUCUCUUCUUUCAGAUAAAUAUAAAUAUAGUAGGAUUGGCAUGAUAAUUUUAUCUAUAUGUACAUUAAUCCAUAUUCAAAUUCAAUUCAAUUAGUAGUAAAUGAAUGAUAUAUUAUAUAUUGUAAUAUUAUAAACACUAAUGUGAAGCAGUGGUUUAUUAAAACUAAUCAAUAUAUUUUUUAAAUCAAUCUGUCUAUGAGAAAAGGUCAAGAGAGAGACUUUGAUUUUUAUUUUAACAAUUAUGAUGAUACGAGUUGCAGAUGCGAAUUAAAAUUAAUUGGCUAACAAGUUGGGCAUCAUUAUUUCAAUAUAAUCGACCCUUCUGAUUUACUAAAUACUAUUUAAUUGAGAGUUUAAUUAAUUCCCUCCUCUGGCCGUACAUCUUGUAUGUAAUGAAUGUGUCAAAUGAAGAGACUAAUUAGAACUCACAGUCCAAUUAGAUUCUUAAUUAAACUCUAUUUAUGUUUUAAUAAAACUAAAUCUCAUCUUAUCCUAAUUAAAGUAGAAUUUGACUUUAAUUUAAAUAACUAUAAAUUUAAAUCGAAAUCUAACAAUAGAUUUUCUCACUAAUCGAUCUGUUAAACAACAACAUUUGUGAAACUACCUCUUCUAUUUACUCUAAUUUUAUCUUGUUAUAUCAAGUCCUAUUUUUCUUAGGAUUAACUCAACCUAGUCAAGAACUGAAAUUUGCUUUUAUCCUUUCAGACAUUAUACGAAAGCUUUUUCUUCAAAUUUUUUUUUAAUCUUUUUAAUAAGGGUAAAAUAUAGAAAAUUCUAUGUAAAUACUUAUUUUUUCACUUCCUCCACUUGCUUUCAAAUAUAUAUAUAUUUUCUCUUCUCAAAAUUUCAAGUUCAUGAAUUUACACGCUCUUCGCCAGAGUUCUGUUACUACCAUUCCGUCCAUUUCUUAUAAUUUAUAUUGAAUAUACCCUUAAAUUGUUAGAAAUGCAUAAAAAAAAAAUUUAUUUUUUCCUUAACAAGUAAAGAAAAGUUAGUCAUCUUAGAAAGUAAAAAAAUAUGAAUAUUCACAAGGGAAGGUUUUUUUUUUAUUUUAGCCAAUAAAUAAAGUUUUAAGGGUACAAAGCAUUCUCCAAAUACAUAAAUAAAUAAAGUUUUAAAAGGGUACAAAGCAUUCUCCAAAUACAUAAAUAAAUAAAGUUUUAAAAGGGUACAAAGCAUUCUCCAAAUACAUAAUACGAGUAGCUGAAAGCAUGCACCAACUAAUUUGAUGCAUCCACUUUUACACACACAUACAUUGAGAAUAAAAUAAAAUAAAAUACACAUGCUAUAAGAUAACAUCUGCAUAUAUCGAUCAUCAUUUUCAAAUUUCCUCGAGCACGCACGGACGGAUUGUUUAGAAGAUCCGAGGCGGAAAAUAUGAAAGCAUCAAGCUCGGUCGGUGCCUUGCAAAAAGUGCACAAGCUCACCUACAUGAUAUGGAAUUAUUGAAUCCUUUCUUCGACAACCUUGCCCUCUCGUCAGAACCGAAUAGUAAAAUUUGGGAUGUGGCGAACCCUCGUGCGCCAGUCAUUGCUGUGGUCGCCUUCUCCUCCUCCUCCUCCUCCUCCUCCUCCUCGUCGAAGCAGCUCAAUAAGUUCCUCUGCUGGAUACUCAAUGUAUAAAUUCUUAAGGGUGGUAAGGUACUCGAUGCCGUGGGGCAGCUCCUUUAGCUCUGGGCAACCGUAUAGCCGAAGCUCAUUCAGGCUUGCCAUUGCUCCUCUUUCUAUUUCCACCUGACUGAGCUUCGGGGAAUGUGCUAUUUCCAAUUCCUUUAGCUUCGGGAAUGAUGUUGCUUGGAAGUGCAACAUCAUGCCAUCAUAUGCCUUAUAAAGUUCAAGAAGCAUCAACGCGGGCAGUGCUUGCAGGUAAGGAAAUGUAUCUUCAUCCAAUUUUGCCCUUGAAAGUGUUAAUCUGGUUAGGUUUGUUAGAGACCCAAAGGACGUGGCAAGCUCAAGGAGUGAGGUUUUGUCUAAUUCACCACGCAGAUAUAAUCUUUGAAUUCGUAGAGGUAGGCGCAGGAUGCCCAACUGCUGUAAUUCUUCCCCAUCUUCACUUUCGACACAUAAUUUGCUAAGAUGGUUCAUCUUUGUGAUACUAUUCCACAAGUCUGCACAGUGAUGGGUUCUUACGCCUAUUAUCCCAAAUUCCCGCAACUCUAUCAAAGCUUUUACAUUCCGCACAAUCUCCUCAGUUGCACUAAUAUUUGCCAAACUCUGCAAGUCCUUCAAGCGCCUUAUUCCCACCGGUGCCUUGAUGCUCUUAUCCAUAUUGUCGGGCAAAUAUAGAUGUCUCAACUUUUGAAGCUCUGUUAUUCCUUUUGGCAGCUUUUCUAUUUCACUUCCAUAUGUAUCUAACAUUUGCAGAUUUCGUAGCUUUCCAAUUGAUCUUGGAAGCUCCUUAAUUUUUGUAGCUCUCAAACUAAGAUAAUGCAGGUUGAAUAGGUUACAGAUCUCACUCGGUAGUUUCUCGAUUGGUGCUCCUUGUAGUUCCAAGACACGUAAAAAUUUUGAUGAUCUUAAGACCGACUUCAGUAAAUCAUAGCUCAUGGAAUUUUUGAAAACAAGUACUGAACGCAAAUGAGAUUCGUCUUCAGGACGAUAAUUAGUUAUAUUGCAUAUGAUUGACAAGCGGCGUGCUUUGGAACUCUGCAAUUUUUUCUGUGAAUGCUCGUAGACCAUGCAGAAACUUAACUCCUUUGACUCCGAGAGAGCGAGGACUCGAAUGAUGUCAUGCAUUCGACAUGCACAAACUCCACCGAAUUCAUUCCUCUUAACCACUUGUAGUAGGCAGCGAUGAACAAGUUCGUUAAGGUAGUCCUCGGCCACUUCCUCCAUCGUUCUUUCAGCUCUUUCUUCAAUGAACCCUUCGGCCACCCAAAGCUGUAUGAGCCUGAAACUUCCAAUUUGACAAUUUUCCGGAAAGCUAGAACAAUAUAAGAAGCAAUUUCGAAGGUAAUGGGGAAGAUCGUCCAAACUAAGUUUCAAAAUGUCAUAUACUUUUUCAUGGAUCUUUGAUUCGCUCUUAGUUAGAUACCACUCAAGAUCUUUGUAAACCUUCUCCCACUCAGAACCGGUUUGUUCUCGAAAUGAUAAGAGACGGGCUAUAGAUACGAUAGCAAGGGGCAAGCCACCGCACUUCUCGACAAUUUUUUUACCACAUUGUUCUAAAGGUGGCGGGCAAAUCUUGUUUGCACUUUUCCAAAAUACGUUUUUACAAAAUAGAUCCCACGAAUCAUUUGCCUUCAGUGUCUCUAGCUCAAACAAACGGUACUCGUCAGCUAGUAGUGCUACAUUGCGAAUUCUUGUUGUGAGAACUAUUCUACUCUUGCUAUUACUAUUCAGAAGUGCAUAUUUUAUAUUGUCCAUUACAUCAGUACUCCAAACAUCAUCUAGAAUGAGUACAUACUUUUUAUCCUGCGAGUAAGUGCGGAUAGUCUCAACCAAGCUUCUGUAAUCCAUGGUAUCAAUGUUGUUAGGUGCUUCUCUUUUCUCAACCAAGCUUGUGUAAUCCAUGGUAUCAAUGUUGUUAGGUACUUCUCUUUUCUUACGAUCUUCCCUAUGAAACUCUUUUAAGAUUUGUCUAAGCAAAUCAUGAGUCUCAUAACUUUGAGAUACAGCAACCCAGGCACAAGCAUCAAAGGAAGCUUUGAUGAUAUUGAACACAUGAGUCACGAGAGUGGUCUUCCCUAGACCACCCAUCCCAAACACUGAGAUUAUCACGUGCUGCCUUUGCUGCUCGUCCUCAUCUUUUAACCAUCUGAGCAAUAAGUCCCUGUACUCGUCAAAACCCACGAUAUCAUCCUCCUCGACAAAAUGUGCUAAUUCUGCACGGCUUUUGCUACCGCCAACAGCUAUUAGAGGUCUUGCUUCAUUUUCCAUUCCUCUUGUAUCAUAUCGCUUACUUCUUUCAAUAUUGCUUUGGAGCUUAAUUUUGAUCUCUUUAAGCCUCUUGCUAAGGUGAUGCCAGGUUUUUAUAUUAAUGCACCUCUUGAUUGCUGUGGGUAGAACCCCUCCUUGCGCCUCACCCAGCUUGUACGUGAACUUAUCUAUAAUAUCCUCAAUGUCGAAAGCCAAGUCUCUUGUUUGUUGUAUAAAAAUUUUUAUGCUCUGAUCCUUUUCUUUUAGUCUUUCUGCAGUCUGUAGGAAGGAUUGCAUGCCCUUAAGUUCAUCCUUAAUGUCACAUAUAUCCUUCAUGAGUUCUUUCAUUGCUGAUAUCCGUGUUAGUAGUCGUGAUGUUGCUGAUUUAGUUGCUUCACUAGCUAUGAUAACGCCGAUCUUCAGGAGUAAUGAGCUAAUCACAGCCUCCGCCAUUGGGAAUUCCUAUGAAGUGAGCCCGGAAUUAAUAAAUGGUCCUUUCAAACUAUCAUGUCUCUUCAAAUGUACCACUAGAGAAAAUGAUUAUUUUUUAGCGCUCUUAUGAUUCUAGGCAAUUUUUGCAAAAAAUAUGUAAUUGUCUCAACCAAAAUAACUCUGUAGUGCACUGAACAAACAUUUGUUAAAAUCCUCAGUUAAAAGGAAGAAACACCAGUAACAACAUUGUAGUCUCUAAGAACAAAAAAUAAUAACUUGUUUGAGAAGCAGUUUAACAAAAUUUUCAGAUAAAAGAUUCAUCAUAACUAAUCAUACUAAACUCCUAUAUGACCUCAAUGUAUAUUUGUAAAGCAAGAUGUGGAAUAGUCCUUAAUUUAGAGGAUUAUGAAAUCAAUGAAGAGUUGGAAAGCAAAUGAAUCUACUGCCAGUCACUAAGUAGAGCGAAUUGUAUUAAGAGCGAUUGUAAAUUAUUGUGCAAUUAACCAUUAUAAGCCUAGUUGCCCUUGAAGGCCUCUUCUAGUUUAUAAUUAAGUUUAUAUCAGGACUCUUUAAGUCAUUUGAGCAAGAAACUAUUAGUGCUUAUUCAAAUAGUUUUGUUUUGACGGAAAUAUAAGAACUUAAUUUUAGACGUGAACUUCCAUAUUUCUGAGGAGUCAUAGUGGCUAUUGGUCUUGUUACCCACAAGAUUGAUCUGAUGGUAAUCUAUUAAAGACUUGAGAUCUUUUACUCAUUUACAUAAGCCUUAAGAUCUUGUACUCAUUUACAUGUUAAAUAACUUGCGAAUGAUGUCAGUACACUGGUAGAAGAUGUAAAUAGGAAAGACAAACAAACUAAAUUUGAAUGUCAUUAAACUGCAUAUAUUAGUUGAGCUUUUGAUAUUAAAUAAAAUUCUCUCAACUAUCUAGAUCAAUAUCUAUCCAAGAUUAUGAAUUUAAGAAUUUUUUUUUUAAAAAAAAAUGUAUUUAGAAGGUUUCUAAUUUUGACCAUUCGCAUUAAUGUGCCCUCUUGGUGAUCCAGAAAUUAAAUUUUAAAUAUCACAAAACUCUUUUUCUAUAAAGUUUGUGUAUCUUUAAUCAUCUUUCAUGGUAUUGAUCAUCGAAUUAAGUGCUCAAUCAUCAACAAUAAAAUGAAAGUAUUAUAUAAGGCCAAAUUAUUCUAGCUUAGUUAUUAGCUCUUGUCAUCUCGUUUCCUAAGAUGAAGUGAAUCCAAACUAUAUAUUGAGCCAAAAAGAAUUACUCUCUAUGCUUUAUUAGAGAAUUAAAUAGCUUAUAGCGAAGAAAAUAAAAAACAAGAACACUUGGAACUUAAAAAUUAAUUAAAAAGAAUAAGUGGAAGAAGAACAAAUGACCACAGAUCUCAGGAAGAGAUUGAAGAGGGGGUUGCUCCAAAUAUCAAAUUUGAUAAAGAAAUAAAUAAUUGGGAGCAAAUAAUUUGGACAGUGCAGCUACCGAUGGAGAAACUUCUUCCCUCUUUAUUAUGAGAGAUUCUAUUAUACAUCAAAUGUACCGCAUCAUCAAUUAAAAGUCAAAUAUAUCUCUUCUUUUGAGUAAAAUAUAUAAUAAAAAUAUUUUUCUAUUAACCAUGAUGUAAUGGAUGAACAUAAAGGAACAAUUUGAUUGGUAGGUGAUGACACAUCACCAAUAUAACUAAUGCAUACAAGAUUUUUUUUUUUCCUUUACUGUUCCUAGCAGCACUUGAUUGCAGUGGGCCAUGAUGAAUUAUGGGCCUGUUUGGCCAAUAUUCUGAAAAAAAAUAAUUUUUACCGAAUUAAUUUUAAUUUAGAAAAUUAAUUUUAGCUAAAAAUUGUAGAGCGCUUAGCUGAAUCUAACAAAAAAGCGAUUGUAAAGACUGAGAUUUUGGCAGUGCAACUAUGUUGGAAACCGGAUGGAUCGUCCGUCAUGUGCUACCAACAAAGAUGCACGAAAAAUAGAGAAAAUCGACCGAACGGUAAAAGAAAUAAAUGCAGAAAGAAGAAACCAAGAUUUACGUGGUUCGGCAAUUGCCUACGUCCACGGGGAGAGCGAGAGAGAUGUAUUCCACUAUAUGAAGAAAUAGAAGUACAAGCUUACACCUUAUGUCUUCUCCGGAUAAAAAACCAAGAACCUUAUGGUGAAUCCCACCUUCUUGUUCCAACGAAAACUCCAAGAAAAUACCGAAAAAGCUUUUCGUAAAACCAAGAAGACCAAAUUAGAGAAGUAUAGAAACUCUAACCAAAUUCCUUUAUGCCGUUGCUUCGAAGAAUCCGAACCGCUCAGGCAAUUGGUUGAGAACCGCCGCUCCGCCGCCAACGUCAAUCCGUCGCAUGCGUGCUACCGCGCAUCUCUUUUUCUUGCUACCGUACGGCUAUAGGAAGCUGUGAAUUAAUUAGCCCGAUGCUAAUUAAAUUUCUACCACAUGACGCAUCGUACGGUUCACCCCAGCAUGAAUAUAUAGUGCUAAUUAACCCGGUCAAAAGUCAACCAAUGUUAAUUGGAGUCGGUUUGAGAAGUAUAAACCGAAUAUGGUUUUGAUGCAUGCAAUCCCAAUAUUAAUUAGAUUCAGCCUCAUCUCUUACACCAACGUGAAUCAACUUUAAGAAUUAAUAUAUUCCGUAGACCCGGUGCAUGGACAAAACCAAUAAAAAAGAAGGCAUAUCUUUAACAUUCUCCACCUUGACUUCUUUUUUACUUCAUUACUCUCUCUCAUCUUAUCGCCCCCUCUCCCUGAGGCAUUCAGUCAUUAGCAGUCAUGCAAAUUAGCCAAGUUUAGACAGUGUCUAAACUUAUCCGCUGUUACCGGCUUUGUCAUGAUGUCAGCUACAUUAUCCUUUGUGGAAACCUUUAUAAGCUGAAUUUCUCCAUCAUCCUCAUUAGUGAGCUCCCGUAAUUUGUGAUACUUGAUUUCUAUGUGCUUUGUCCUCCCAUGGUAAACUGGAUUCCUGGCGAGACAUAUAGCACUCUGACUAUCACAACCGAUAAUCAUUUUUUCCUGCAUGAUCCCGAGUUCACCAACCAAGCCUCUAAGCCAGACUGCUUCCUUAGCUGCUUCAAUUGCCGCCAUAUACUCCGCUUCUGUAGUUGACAAGGCUACAGUGCGCUGCAACGUAGAUUUCCAACUGAUAGGUCCGCCGCCCAGCAGAAAGACGUAACCUGUAAUAGACCUACGCUUGUCCAAAUCACCCGCAUAGUCGGAAUCUACAAACCCCUUCACUUCAUCAUUACCAGAAUCUUUCGAGUAGAGAAUACCUUUAUCUGAUGUGCCCUUCAGAUACCGCAAAAUCCACUUCACGGCCUCCCAGUGUUGUUUUCCUGGAUUCGACAUAUACCGACUGACAACACUAACUGCAUGUGAAAGAUCAGGCCUAGUGCAGAUCAUAGCAUACAUCAGGCAACCGACUGCACUAGCAUAUGGUAUCUUUGACAUAGAAGUAAUCUCCUCAUCCGUCUUGGGACACAUCUCCUCAGAAAGUUUGAAGUGUUGGGCUAAUGGAGUCUUGACCGCCUUCGCCUCUGACAUAUUAAAUUGCUUUAUAAUAGCUCGUAUAUAUGUCUUCUGCGAUAACCAUAACUUACCCUGUAUGCGGUCGCGUCUGAUCUCCAUACCUAGGAUUUUCCUAGCACCUCCUAGGUCCUUCAUGUCAAAUUCUCGGCUCAACUGAUCCUUUAAUUGUUGCACUUCAUUCGGAUUCUUAGCUGCUAUAAGCAUAUCGUCUACAUAUAGCAUAAGCAGAAUAAACGAACCAUCUUCAAGCCUCCGAUAGUAGACACAACUGUCAUAUAAACUUCUGCUAUAACCAUGCUCGAUCAUAAACCCGUCAAACCGCUUAUACCACUGCCUCGGUGCCUGCUUCAACCCGUAGAGAGAUCUUUUCAGUUUGCACACCAGAUUCUCCUUCCCCGGCUGAACAAAACCUUGAGGUUGUUCCAUAUAAAUUUCUUCUACUAGAUCCCCAUGAAGAAAUGCGGUUCGAACGUCAAGCUGCUGAAGCUCUAAAUCAAACAUAGCCACCAUAGCUAGAAGCAUCCUAAUUGACGCGUGUUUUACCACCGGUGAGAAAAUCUCAUUGAAAUCAACUCCCUUUACUUGCGCAUAGCCCUUGGCUACUAACCGCGCCUUGAAUUUUUCUGGUUCUCCAUCUGCACCCUGCUUCUUUUUGUAGAUCCACUUGCAACCGAUAGAUCUCUUCCCUUCCGGUAAUGGAAUCAGAUCCCAUGUCUGAUUCUUCUGUAGAGACUCCAUCUCUUCUGUCAUAGCCGCCAUCCAUCUGCCACUAUCUCUGUCCUGCAUCGCCUCCUGAUAGGAAGUGGGAUCAUCUGAUGUAAUUAAUAAGGCAUAAGAUACUAUAUCCUCCAACCUGUACCGUAAAGGUGGACGAAUCUGUCUCCUUUCCCUUCCUUUAGCGAUAGAGUAGGGCUCCUCCGAAGUGCUUUCAAUCGGAUCGCUUUGUGUACCAUGAUCAUCCUGAUAGUGGGGCUGCUCCACCUGAUCAUCUACACCCUCUUGCCGCUCCACCUGGAUCUGCGUAGUUUUUGACUGUUCUUCACGUUGAGCCUCCUGAUGAUCCUUACGCGGCAUAGCUUUUUCGUCAAAAACUACGUCCCUGCUAAUCACCUUCUUCUUGGCGAUAGGGUCCCACAGCUUGUAUCCUUUAACACCCAUAUCGUACCCAAGAAAUAUGCAGGGCUUUGACUUCGAAUCUAAUUUUGUGCGCUGAUUUUCCUGGAUAUGGACAUAAGCAGGACAACCAAAGACCCGUAAGGAGGAAUAAUCUGCAAGUUUACCUGUCCAUACUUCCUCCGGUGUUUUGAGUUCGAUUGCUGUGGCGGGAGAUCGAUUAAUAAUAUAGCACGCCAUAUCUACUGCUUCAGCCCAGAACUCCUUUGGCAAAUCUGCACAUAACCUCAUGGAUCUGGCACGUUCUAGCAAUGUCCGGUUCAUCCUUUCUGCUACCCCAUUCUGCUGUGCAGUACCUGGAACCGUGUAAUGACGUACAAUACCUUCAUCCUUGCAGAAUUUCUUAAACUCCCGAGAAGUGAACUCUCCACCAUUGUCCGUUCGAAGAACCUUGACCUGCUUCCCAGUUUGUUUCUCCACCUCAUUCUUCCAAUGUCUGAACUUUAUAAAUGCCUCAGACUUUUCCUUCAUGAAGAAUACCCAAACCUUACGGGAGAAAUCAUCGAUAAAUGUAAUAAAAUAUCGCGCACCACCUUUCGAAGUCACCGGAGCCGGUCCCCACACGUCCGCAUGGAUAUACUCAAGUAUACUUUUACUUUUAUGACUGGAGGUCCUGAAACUCAACCUUUUCUGUUUUCCAAAUAAACAAAAUUUGCAGAAAUUAAGUUUACAGGAUUUAAUACCUUUGAGUACUCCCCUUUUAUGCAGUUCCAACAUCCCUCUUUCACUCAUGUGGGCUAGUCUCAUGUGCCAGAGCUCCGUAUCAUCAGCAUCAUGAUCUUCUGAGGAUGUUACCGCAACGCCUCCAAUCACCGACUCGCCGAUCAGCCUGUACAGAUUCCCUUUCUUCUCUCCCUUCAUGACGACCAUGGCACCCUUUUUAACCUUGACGACUCCACCUGAAAUGCUAAUAGAACAGCCAGUAGAGUCAAGAGUACCAAGUGAUAUAAGAUUUAACCUGAGAUCCGGAAUGUGUCUCACAUCCGUUAACGUCCUCACCACACCAUCAAACAUCUUUAUUUUUACUGUUCCGAUACCGACCAUCUUGCAGCUAGUGCGAUUACCCAUCAUAACACUACUGCCUUCACAAGACUUAUAAGUAUCAAAUAAAGACCUGUUUGGAGACAUGUGAUAAGAACAACCAGAAUCUAAUAUCCAGUCACCGUGAGAGUCAGAAUCUGUUGUAACCGUCAAGACGUCCUGACCGGAAUCACUGGCUACGCUCGCCGUAUCUGCAGAGGAAUUCUGAUUUCGCAGCCAAGCCUUCCUCUUUUCGCAGUUCUUUUUCAUGUGGCCCUCUUUCUUACAGAAGUAACACUUCACCUUUUUCGAUUUUGACUUGGAACGGGAUCUUCCUUUACCUGCAUCACGUUCUCUUGAUCGUCCCCUUCCUCCACUUGUAUCAUUUACGACCAAACCUGCACUGCUUUCUUCGGUACUCGCCUGCAACCUGAUCUCUUCAGAUAAAAGUGUCGAUGUAACAUCUUCCAUCUUUAGAGUUUGCUUCCCGUACAGUAUGGUGGUCACCAAGUGAUUGUAGGACGACGGAAGUGAUGUAAGAAAAAUCAACGCCUUAUCGUCCUCGUCAACCUUGACAUUAAUGCUGAGCAAAUCCGCAAUAAUUUUAUUAAAGGUGUUCAAGUGUUCCGUUAUUGCCGUACCUUCCUUCAUGCGUAGCCCAUAUAAUUUUUGCUUUAGGUACAGCACGUUCGAGAGGCUUUUGGUCAUGUACAGCUUCUCUAGCUUGUUCCACAUGCCGACUGUAGUUUCUUCAUCCAUUACGUUAUACAUCACCUCAUCUGCUAGACACAAUAUAAUUGUAUUCACCGCCCGCAGAUCAAUAUCCUCCCAAUCUUCGUCGCUCAUCGAUGUCGGCUUUUUCGAUUUUCCGAGCAACGCCUUAUGAAGGCCCUGUUGAACCAGAAGGGCUUUCACUCUUCUCUGCCAGAGACCGAAGUUUCCUUUACCGUCAAAUUUCUCCACCUCAAACUUAGAAGACGAGACUUUCGACAUCUCUGAUGUAGCACGAACCUUACGCUCUGAUACCAUUUGUUGGGAACCGGAUGGAUCGUCCGUCAUGUGCUACCAACAAAGAUGCACGAAAAAUAGAGAAAAUCGACCGAACGGUAAAAGAAAUAAAUGCAGAAAGAAGAAACCAAGAUUUACGUGGUUCGGCAAUUGCCUACGUCCACGGGGAGAGCGAGAGAGAUGUAUUCCACUAUAUGAAGAAAUAGAAGUACAAGCUUACACCUUAUGUCUUCUCCGGAUAAAAAACCAAGAACCUUAUGGUGAAUCCCACCUUUCUUGUUCCAACGAAAACUCCAAGAAAAUACCGAAAAAGCUUUUCGUAAAACCAAGAAGACCAAAUUAGAGAAGUAUAGAAACUCUAACUAAAUUCCUUUAUGUCGUUGCUUCGAAGAAUCCGAACCGCUCAGACAAUUGGUCAAGAGCCGCCGCUCCGCCGCCGACCUCAAUCCGUCGCAUGCGAGCAAACUUCUCUUCUUUAACCGUACGGACGGGGCACCUUUAAUUAAUUAGCUAGGCACCGAAUGCUAAUUAAUUGGGCCUCCACACCAUGCACCCACGAAGCCGUACAUCCCUCUAUUAGAGCCGGACACCUUUAAUUAAUUAGCAUCUCUAAUUAAUUUUGGCCACCACUCGACACCCUUGCCGUACAUGCAUAUGCAUGUAUAUAUAGAGAGGGAUUUGGCUCAAUCCUACUCUAAUUCAAUUGAAUAUAGAGUCAUAUAUGGAAAACUAAUCCUAGUCUAUCUAGGAUUCCAAUUUAAAUUAGGAUCCACCAAAAUAAAUCCUCAUGAGAUCCUUUUUAUUUUUCCAUAAACCAAUAAAAAAGAAGGCAUAUCUUUAACAAACUAAACUCUCUGUUGAUGAUGUUCCUGUGUGUAAUUGAAUUACAUAAGCACUCGUCAAGUUUCAGGAGAAAAUGAGCUAGAAUGGAGAAGUUACGCGAUUAUUACUAAUCACUUAAAGUGAAUAGUAACACUGAUUUUCCGGAGAAGCCACAGAGUAGAGUUGGCUUUCGGCGCGUAUCGGACUCCGUUUAUAGUGAUCCAAUAGCUCGUUUCGACCUAUUCAGCUAUUCUGGAACCAAUGGCACUGACGAAUUUCAAAUCUGAUGCAUGGUUUUUGAGAAAAAGGGAUUUUAUCGAAAGGAGGGUUUUCGCUUUUUGCUAUUCUUGCAUUGUGAAACCCCUCGUGCUCCAUGCUUGUGAUCUGGAGUAGGGUGAUGGACGUUUCGGGUCCCUACUAGCAGUAGGGAAGUCAAAUUCAGAUUUGAAAUUAGGGUUUUCGGGUUUACACAUUAGUAUAUGUGUAAUUUUGGGAACUUUGGAGAGCGGACAAGUUUCAGUGCGAAUCCGUGACCGAUCGAGGUGAACCAAAAUCGUAGCUUUGUUGUUUCCAUCGUGCUGAUCGCACUGGUACAAUCCGUUCGCAAAUCCGACGGACGGAUCUGCGGAGAUUGCGUGUUGAUUGACGAGAGGUCGGUGAUGGCAAAAUGGUAUUUUUGCAAAAGUUGCGACAUUUUAUGUAUCAUUUCGCGUGAGAUCGCACGUGGAGGGGUAUUCACGUGUUUUACUCGUGCUGUGAGGGACUUGGAAUGAAAUAAUCUGUUUAGAGGGUCUUGUGCGCAAAUUUGCCAUUUGCUUAUAAGUGACCACUUAGGGUUUCUCCAUGGAAACCCUAACCCUUGGCCUCCCUCUUCCUCAACUGAACCCAGCCACCUCCCUCUUGUUCCCCUGCCCUAGCUCUGCGCGCACCCCGGCCAUCGGCAAGGUCCCCCGACUGUCGGAAAAGCUUGGGUGGCCUUUCCUCCACCAACCUCCUCCACUUCUGUCCGAGGGCAACCCAGGAGGAUCAUCGCUGUUGGGCACCAUUUCUGGCAGUACCUCAGAGCACAGUCAACCCGCCGUGCCGGCCGCCGUCGUCCCUGUGGGCCUCAAGCAGCCGCCGUGUCUUCUUGCAGCCACCUGGUGCAGGUUCGGUCCACGUCAUCUCCGCGUGGCGCCGUCUCCCUUGGCCGGUCGAGACGCCCUCCUGCGACCUCCGGCGAGCCCCCGCCACCGGACGGGGCCGCCCCCGAGCGCCGCGCCGCCGCCCUGGCAGGCUGCGGCCGGAUCUGGGUAGAUCCGGCCAGGGAGCUUCAGCCCCCUUAUGCACUACCGCCGCCACUUUGGGUCGGCCGAGUUGCCUUCCCCUGAAGCUCCAGCGACCCUCGCGCGCUGCCACCGCCUCCUCCGUUGGUCGCCGCCAUCGCAUUANCGCCGUCGUCCCUGUGGGCCUCAAGCAGCCGCCGUGUCUUCUUGCAGCCACCUGGUGCAGGUUCGGUCCACGUCAUCUCCGCGUGGCGCCGUCUCUUUGGGUCGGCCGAGUUGCCUUCCCCUGAAGCUCCAGCGACCCUCGCGCGCUGCCACCGCCUCCUCCGUUGGUCGCCGCCAUCGCAUUAGCUCUCCGCGGCCACUCCUGACUAGCUCAGGCUGAGGCUGGGUCCUCUUCGUCCCCUGCGCCGCCGCCGCUCUGGAUCAGCCUCGCCACCUUCCCCGGACUCCGGCGACCUGUCCGGCGACCUGUCGCCAUAGCUGUGGAGCUUCCCGGAUCGCCAACGUGGCCGGAGCUGCCAAGGGUGCUCGAGCCGAGCCCAAACGGGCUUGGGGACGUUGCUGCAUUACCACCGCCACCUCCCGCCGUCGGUUGGCCUAAGCGCCAUCCUUCCCUGGCCGGCCGUGUCCGGUUUCUGCCGGCGCCUCCGCCGCUGGAGCCUCCCUGCUAACCGGACUGGGCCGCGCUCUCCUAGGAUUGCCGCGGCUAGGGCAUCAUUGCCCGCCGCCUUCGCCGCUCUCCGCCGCCAUCCGAGGUGAGCACCGUACUCCUCACCUCCCUCGCACCCAUCCCUGGUGCGUGCGCACCUCGCCGUGCCGCCGGUAGCCGGCCGGAGCAAGCUUUCUCUGGCCAAGUCCGAAAUAGGGCUUAUUUUGAGUAAGAUACUGUUCCGAGCAAUUCAGGCCUCCCCGAUCUCUGUGGAAGGGAGCAUGAUGAUCGUGACACAUCGCUGAUCAUCGUGCUCACUUUAGUUUCUGUCGGGGAGACUCUGUUCUGCUGUUUUUGCGGUGUCGCCCCUUUUUGGGGCUUUUGGUUGCUGUUUCGGUUUGCACACGCGUUUUCCGGUGACCCAGGGCUAUUCUGAUGCCUUCGGAGGUGAGCACCGUGAUCGUUGGUCAGUUCCUAUCGUUGCGCUCACCUCAUUUAAGGUCAGCAAGCCCUUGGUUUGCUAUAUAAGCAUGUUUUACAUGCUGUGCGUGCUGUUUGCAGUCUUUCGCAUUGCUCCCGCGUUCUCCACAGUGGUCGGCCGUGCUCCGAAGUGUGAGCACAGCCUCCGGCACGCCGAGACCUGUCAGCAGAUGACUCGGAUUGACUGAAUGAUCAUCGGUUUGCAUUUUUGGGCCAUAAAACCCUGAAAAUCGUAUGAAAUAAUGCGAUUUCAUAUAAUCGGGAGGGCUUUUAUGCAAUUGUGACUGUUGUGGCCACUGUUGGCAGCGUGUGCGGGCAGUGGGUGACCUCUGGACUGAUUGUCCAAGGCCCCAGGCCUUUGCGAAAAGCGAAAAGGGAUUUUCGGCGCGUUUCUCAGCGAAAUCUGCCGACGGAACGCGGGUUCGGUUCGGAAUUCUUCCUACGGUGCCUCGUGAGCUAUUGUUGCGUCACUAAGCCUUGUUGGCUGGUCACCCUCAUCGUUUCGAGGGUUCGAAAAUGACGGGUGAGCGACGGUGGGUUUCGGUGUCAAAAUUGACACUUCCGGGAACUCGGAUCGGAACGAUUGUCCAACGAUAAUCGUUUCGGAGUGAGUUAGUGUUUUCGCUGCCAGGUCACAUUAAAAUAAGUGUUUAUCGGCAGCGAGUGACUCGUGGUACGAUUCGGUGCGUUCCGGGAUAGUUCGUGGGUCCUGGCAGAGUCCCAGUACGGUUUUCGGGAUUUCCGACGUAUUACGGUAAUCAUUUUUGGGAAACCGAUUUUCGUAGAGUUAUUAGUGGUUUGUUUGUGUUAGCGGGUUAGAUUCUAACCCGCUGGACCUUUCGUAGGUCCGGUUGAUUAUUCCUCGGCCAGUAUCACGUUUGUACAGGUGGGUACUUCGAUCCGAAGUCGGUACAGUGGUGCACGCUCGGUGAUGGUUUCUUACCCUUGCUCUCCUGAUUGUUACUAUUGCUUAGUAUUUAUUGAGCCUUGCACCCAUAUUGUUUUCGUCAUAAUCUACUCAGUAUUUCCAUGUUUAGGAGUAGAGUAGAUUUGUCUGCAUAUGACAUCUGCGACCUGAUUGGUCGGUUCUUGUACUUCACAUCCGUGGUUCUGAUAUAUGUGGUCGAUUGGAGCACUCGGUGACCUAUACAGUCAGUAUACCUGGAGGGUUUGGAUCGUCAGCUAGUUGCCGAUGCUUGGUUAUGACCUAGUCGGUCAGUUCGUUAUAUCUGGUAUUGCAACCUUGUUGGUCGGUCUUUUGUCUCGUAUUUGUGACCUAUUCGGUCGACUUACUGCAUUGUUAUUGUGACUUGCUCGGUCGGUUCUAUUAUCUGAUGGGCAGUGAUUGUCGGCUGGUUGCCGACGGUUGGCUAUUGAGCAUAUUAGCAUCGAUCGCCACUGCUCGUACGCAUUUCACGAACAUUAGCGAUUUGGCCACCGCAAGAGGGUGUUCUUUUCCGGAAAAGUGGUUGGAAUGCCAACCCGUGAACCCAGGUGCUUUAUGCGAGGGUAUAUGCUUUCAGAUCCGGGUGCUUUAUGCGAUGGUCAUAAACCAUUCAAACCCGGGUGCUUUAUGCGAGGGUCAUGUACAGGUUGAGCAGUUGUGGCACAGGCCUGAGGUCUACGGACCGAUAGGUAGUUUCCAAAUUGGGUAUUUUUGGACUUGUCGUCUGGUUGACGCAUAUAACUAUAGUAGCGGUUGUUGCAUACAUACUUACAGUUCUUUCUUUACAGUUGUCUUGCUACUAUAGUUGAUAUCCAUGUAUGCAUUCAGUUUUCUUUACAGUAACGGUAGUUAUUCUUAUACAUCUUGUUCAUGUAUUAUAAAUAAUAAUUUUUUAAAAUCUUAUUUUAAAAUUUGAAUUCAAAAUUUGAAUUUGAAUAUAAAGUUUUUAAUUUUAAAGUUAAACAAUUAAAAAUUUAAAUUUAAAUUUAAAUUGUUAAAUAAUAGAAAUAAAUUUGAAUUUUCAAUUUUCAAAUUUUAAAUUCCAAAUUUCAAGCUUAUAAUUUAAAAUAUAAAUUUUAAAAUUUAAUUUAUUUUAAAAAAUUUUAAAAUAUAACUUUAAAAAUUUUUAAAUUUUAAUUUUUUUAAAUUGCAAAUUUCAAAAUUUUAAAAUUUUUAAAUUUUAAAAUUGAAAUUUAAUGUUUAAAUUUUAAAUUUUAGAAUUUAAAAUUUAAAAUUUGAGAUUUGAAAUUAAAAAAUAAUAUUUUAUUUUUAAAUUUAAAAUUACAUUUAAAAUUUCAAAUUGAAAAUUGAAAAUUUAAAUUUAAAUUUUAAAUUUUUAAAAUUGAAUUUUUAAAUUUCAUUUUAAAUUCUAAAUUUAAAUUAAAAAUAUGAAUCUCAAUUUUAAAUUUAAAUUUUUGAUUCCUAAAUCAGAAUUAGAUUUAAAAAAAAAAGUAGGUUUUACAUUGUUUUUGGACUAAAAAUCAGAAAAUGUGAAAUCAGAUUUUGCAAGAAAUAGCCCUAUAGCUACUAUAUAUAUAUAUAAUUAUUAUAUAUAUAUAUAUACAGAACUAGGCUCGAAUAUUAUCAAUAACACUAAGCUAUUGGUACUAUUAGUUUUUUAGCCAUUAGAUUGAAAACUGUAUGGUUCGGAUAAUAUGAGUUCUCUAGGGUUGAGUGAGUGGUUGGUUGAAUAAUAUAAUCUAACGGGUAAAAAUAAUCAAAAGGGUUAAAUCUAACUGUGGAAAACUCGAUAGCACCAAAUCUUUGGUACUAUUGAUAGUAUCCUAGCCGGACUCUCUCUCUCUCUCUCUCUCUCUCUCUCUCUCUCUCUCUAUAUAUAUAUAUAUAUAUAUAUAUAUAUAUAUAUAUAUAUAUAUUAAGCAUAAAAGACUUGGUGUUUCUGACUUUUCGACCUUGGAUCAGGUCCUUUGAUUAUUUCUAUCAUUUGGAUUAAUAAUAUUAUCCUAUAGGAACUACUCAAUCCUAGAGAACACUAUCAUGCCAACCAUACAAUUUUUUAUUCAAGGGUCAAAUAGUUGAAAGCAUCAAAUAGAGAGAAAAAGAGAGAGAGAGAGAAUUGGGCUAGAAUACUAUUAAUAAUAUUUUGGCUCUUUUACUAUCAAAUUUUUAAACUUGGAUGAAAAAUUAUAGAAUUAGAAUAAUAGUGGUGUAGGUUUAGUUGUGGUCCCCUAGGGUUUAAACAAAACAAGUUAAGUAAUAGUUAAUUCAAUUGUCACAGUGUCACGUUAUCCGUUAGAAAUUAUCCGGCUACUUAUUCAAUUAUUAUCAAAUAAUUAUACCAAAGUAAAAUUUCAUCUAAAAAGUGAAAUAACUUUUGACCAGUGAUCUAAUUGAAAUAGAAGUUAAAGUUCCAUAACUUGAUUUGAAAAAAAAAACUAAAAAUUUUAUGAAGUAAAUGAAAUUUCAGGAAAAAUUAGGUGACUAAUAAUGUAUUAGACUUAAUUAUAUGCAAUUACUUGUAGAUGUGUACGACAUAUAUACUUAAAUACAUCAUAUGUCACGCUGAUAUACACUUACAUUAUUACAUAUGCGUGUAUAUAUUAUUUAAUUACUCUUUCCCUCUUCCUCUAUCCUGCACUUAAUUCUUAUCUUUAAGCCAAUUUAAAUCUUGGGUUAGUUGACUUUGAAUAAGUAUAAAGCAAACCAAAUUUUAAUUUUUUUCAUCUUAUUUCGUUAUCGUGCGAACAUGGUGGAAUCGAGUUUUUAUACUAAUAACCUCAUAACGAUAAGAGCUAAUUUCAUGAGUACAUAUCCUUCCGUCCACCUCUAAUUUUAUAGAUAUUUCUAAAAAAUUAUCAAUAUAAAAAAUGAUCUUUUAAUUUUAAGAAGCUAUUCAAAUUACUUUAUUAACUCAGUUUAAAAUUGUAUGCUAAUUUAUUUUUCCUUUAAAAUUGUUCUAUUCAUUUCCAACAUAUAUACAAUUUGUUGAAAUGAAUUCUUUUUAUUGCCCGUACCAUUAUAUGGAGCUAGGCUGGUAUACUAUUAAAAGUAUUUGGAAACUAAAUUUCAUAACUUUUUGACAUCAUUUGACUAGUAUCUUUAAUCAUCUUUCAUGGUAUAUAUUGAUCAUCGAUUUAAAUACUCAAUCAUCAGUAAUAAAGUGAAAAUACUACAUGAGACCAAAUUAUUCUAGCUUAAUUAUUAUCUCAUGUUAUGUUGUUUCCAAAGAUCAACUGAAUCCAAACAACACAUUAAUCAACAAAGACAUAUAAUAUACUCCUUGCAACUUUUUGCGGAAUCAACUACUUGAUAGCAAAGAAAAUAAAAAUUAAUUAAAAAGAUAGGGGGAGAAGAAGAAGAACAACUAACCACAGAUCCAAAAAGGAGAUUGAAGAGGGAGCUGCUCCAAAAUAAUUAAUCUCAAAUUUAAUUAGAGAAAAUACUGCAACCAAAGAAGCUCUUGGAAGUUGAUGUCUUAUAGGGAUUGAGGAGUGAGAGAUGAUCGAGGAUGAACUAUAUUUAUAGUAUAAACAAAUAUAAUUGGGAGUAGAUAAAAGGCCGAACGGUGUAGCCACCAGGAAACUUCCCUCAUGGCUUUUUAAAUCCACCAACUGGGAGCAGAUGAAAGAGACAAUCGGGAGCAUUUAUCUUGUGGGUUAAUUGUAUACACGUUCCUGCAAUGAUCAUGGUGAAUUGCAGAUAUAUUCCUGCUUAGCUCAACUUUUAUAAGUUGUUCCUACAAAAGUCCUAAUGUAUUCAGAUAUGUUCUUACCGUUAGUUUUCAUUAGAAAAAUUUCAUUAACCACAGUUAAAAUACUUAACCAUGGUUAAUUAAUAAGCUGAAUUGACAAUUUUAACCCCUUCUUUUUCUUCACCCUCUUCCUCUUCCCUCUUUUUCGUCACCGGCGACGGAGGAGAUGCGGCUGCGAACCCUCUCCCUCUUCCUCUUCCUCUUCCUCUUCCCCCUUCUUGUUCCUCUCCUUCUUCCUCUUCUCUCUUCUUCGUCAUUGGCGAAUCCGACCCCGACCUUGUCGAAACACCGCCGACGUCGCCGACGCCGCCGACGCCAACCUUCGCCGCCUCCUCUCCACUGUAUCUUUCGUUGCCAUUGUCGCGCGAUGCUUCCGCGCUUGGUAUUGCACCGUCGCCGCAGCCGCCUCCCGCCUCUCCUCCUCAAUCGGCGACCUCUCCAACCUCGCCUCCGAGCUCCUUCGACCUCCGCCGCCUCCAUUUUCUUCUUCUUCGUAUCCUCCUCUUCUCCUCUUUUUGUUUUUUUGUCGUCGUCGUCAAUGAUCCGCCGCCGCUGUCGCCGCCGUCCACUCCCGAGGAAGAGAAAGAGGAAGGGGGUUACUGCAAAUGUACUUUUGGAGGGACAUAUUUGUGAGGGCAAAAAUAUCAUUUUACGAGCAUACUGUUUAAAAAUUAACAGUUCUCUAACGGAUCCUAACCAGAGGGACAUAUCUAAAUAUAUUAGGACUUUUGCAGGAACAAAUUAUGAAAGUUGAGUUUUGCAGGAAUAUAUCUGUAAUUCAUCAUAUUUGCAGGGACUGUAUGUAAUUAACCCUUUUCUCUUUGUCGCGCUACGAAUUAAAUAAAUUUUUUUUUUGCUAUCGUAUAAUUUUGCCUUUUUUUUUCAAUAAAGGAGCUCCCAUGGAAAAAUAGCAAGAUACUACAUUCCUACAAGGGAUUAAAAGAUAAUAUAUUACUAGUCUAAAACCUGCACCUAAUUACAUAUUUGUAAUUCAUUAAAGAUAAGAGUAAUGCUUCUAUACUUGUUGUUUUAUUUAUUUAUUUAUUUAUUUAUUUAUUUAUUUUGUCACCAUUCAUUCACUCCUAUUCAAUGGCUCAGAUUUAAUUUUUUUAAAAUUGUGAUCUAUAAUAGCAAAUCACUUUGGAAAAGGUACGGAUUACCAAGUACCUCAAAGAAGGGUAUUUUUAUCUUUUAAUAUAUAAGCAAUUUAGUCAGUUUACAUCUACUAUAUUAUCAAAAUUUUUAUUCUCUCUUUGUUUCCUUUUUCUCCCUCUAUCUUUCCUCUCAUAUUUUGUGGACCAACUAUGAAUUUUGUCUAUAUCCACUUUGUAUCCGACCCGAAUCAUAUAUAAAGUUUAAUAUUAUAUUCAAAUUUAUAUUUAAUAUAAAAUAUUUUGAAAUAUGGUAAAGAGAAAUAAUUGUUUCGGAUUCUGGUCUUUGGGUUUGGGUUUGGUUUCCGGCUUCGGAAAGUUGGUUAGUUUCGGAUUUGGAUAUGGAAUUUUGAAAUCCGUUGAGUUCGGAAAGAGAUUUUGCGAUUGUUAGUCAGGUUUGAAUUCAAAUUCCUAAUCUUUUUUUUUUUGACUAGUAAUCCAAAUCUUUUUAAUUUUUAUGUUUAAAAUUAUGUUUAAAAUAAUUAUUAACUCUAACAGUUAAAAUGUUUUUAUUAUGUUUAACGGUUCCAAAAUAUUUUUUUCACGCCCCCGCCCCGAAACCGCUACCGAUUUGGUCCGGUUCGGGCGCGCCGAGCGGACGCCGGACGGACAGCACCUCCCCUGCCCGUCCAAGGCUCAACAAUAGGAAUGUGUACAAAAAUUUACCCAGGAAACUAAAUUCUAAACAUACACACUCAACGGGGCACAAACAGUGCCAACAACUAAGAGCAAGUAACACAAGUAUAAUACAAGUGAAUAAAGAGAGAUCUACUAUCUAUUACAUCACAAUUGCAUCAUUCUUUUACAUUUACAUCUUUCUUCCUCCAAAAUGAAUACAUGUUCAUUUAAAUACAACAUUAGUUUUCCAAAAUGUAAAUAAGCAUCUAGAUACAAAAAGAAACCUAAUGCAUAAGGAAAGCUGGCUAUCUACUGAUCAUUGCUCGGGCGCGAUGUCUUUGCCGCGGUCCUUACCCGGCACGCCCGCACUCGACCCUGUAAUAGAGUGGGGUGAGAACUAUCUUCCAUAGUUCCCAGUGGGCUCGGCCGCCGACUCCGCCGAUCUUCCCACUAGGUCUAAGUUGGCAAAAGCAACAACAACUAGAUAUAUAGAUAGAUUUCUAAAACUGUAAAUGCAUAAUAGAAAAAUUAUACUACUAUACCCAUAAUCAUGUAUAAUGAAUGUAUGCAUCAUAUAGUAAAGGGUUACUAUCAUGCUAACAAGUUCUUUCUAUGUUCAAUAACCAAAUGUUCGAUGACAAUGUUGUCUUUCCAUUUACCCAAUCUGUGGCGAAACCCUUGGGUUCGCCUACGCCUCACAUCUAUAUCCUAAGGGUAAGGAGCUCCAAGUGCUCUCAGAUCUGGGAUUGUCUGCGGACCUCCAUGUGGUCCCUAUCGUGCGACACUCCGGAGUACUCGACGAUAUGGAUGGCUAUACCAUCCCAAAUACAAACCGUGAGCUCGAUCUAUCCUCUCCACGUGAGGAUAUCCUACGGACUAGGGCCAACAUCUCUCGGAACUCACCUAUUCCGACUAUCAUGCAUUGGUACUUAGCUUUACUAAGUUCUUUGUUCUCGAAUCAUUUUCUAGGGAUUCCACCUAUCCCUAUGUUCAUAAACCUCUAGUGUCAUAUACACUAUAUUAAUGCCACUCGAUUUGUUCAUUUAUCGGUCAUAUGCCACUCAUUAUGACACCAUCGAUCAUCAAGUUCAUCUCUACCUUUAGCAUUAUAAGAUCCAAUGUUCCGACCCAAUCCUCAUCUAUCCUAUUCACCUAGCAUUCCAUGUACACUAGGUUUAUAUUUAGAAAGCAUAAGGAAAGAGCUAAACAUGCAAUCCUACAAUGUAAUAUGCAAGAGAUGAAAAUCAUGUAUUUCUAAGAUAUAAAAAAGAGAUCAGUUGCUUCGGGAUGACAGCCCCCACCUUUUGAAGCUGUUUUAAGUUGUGGAGGUCCUAAGAAGACUCCUCGGCACUUGCUUCGAUGCUAUCUUGGCCGUUUAGGUCGAAACGAAGCCCGAACGAUCUUGUUUUGCCUCUAUCUUUUAGCCUGUUCGACGAAACGAAGCCCCCCACCUUUGGUUUAUUUGUUGUAUUUACCUUGCUUACUUAUUGCUGCUUACUCAUGCCUCAGUUGACCUAGUGGUGUACUUCGCCACUCUCGGCGGUUUACCUACUGGGAACUAUUGUUUAAUAGUUUUUACGCCCUUUUGUUGAUUGCUUUUAUGCAGAGUCUUCCAUAGCGGGAAAGGCUAGGAUUCCUGGCGAAGGGUCAGCGGCUAGCUAGAGCCUUCUCGAUGUUUUUUUUUUUUUUUUGAGAGAUAGGUAGCAUGCUACCCGCUUCAUUUUAUUUCGUUAAGAAAUAAACUUAGCUAGAAAUAUAAAUCAACUAGGAUUCGAACUUGGGUCUCGAGUAUCAACCACCAAGCCCUUUGCCACUUGCUCUAGAGAUGGUCGGUAAGCCUUCUCGAUGUUAAUAGAUGAACCUCUACAAGUUUAUUUUGGGCUAGCUCAGCGUUGUAGUUUGAAACUGUUCAGAUUGUACUUUACUUUUAAGCUGUAAUAAGGUUUUGUAUUUGUAUCAGCUUAUGAACUUUUAGUUUUGCUCUGAUUACCUGGUUAUGGUAUUAUACUUUUGCUAUGUUGAUUGUAGACGCCUGGUGUACUCUUGAGGUUGUGGUGUACACGGCGGGUCUAUGCACGUGACUGGUAAGUUUCUGCUGAAGUCCAGGGCGUGACACUACGAGAUCCUGUCGCUGCCGUCCUAAAGAGGACCCUAGCGAUUGAUGUUUCCAACAACACCAAAUACCUCUCUCAUUGAGACCCAGACGCACCUGUCACCAAAUAACUGGACAAGCAUACCAUUUCAAAGUUUGCACGAUAAGCCAAGACACAAACCUUAUACGCUAUCACAUACUAUGACCAUCAAGCCAACAACCAGGCUCAAGCCGCUGAUCAACCAUGAUUCCGAACCUCCCGGCAACAGACCAAGACUACUAACCAAACAAACCUUUUAGCUGUGGAAGGCACAACUAUAGAGUUAACGAGCACUUAGACUCGAACUAGAGUCAAAACCAUCAGCAAUGACGAUAAAUCAACUGCGCAAAACCUGCCAGAGAAUAACCCAAGGCUCACUAUGUAGUCAGAGAUGACCAAUACUCAAGCUUUCUCACAAGGCCAUCUAUAGAGAUUGUCUUGCAAGAGAAAAUGCCGACCUAAUCCAAAAGUCCCAAACGGGGAAACGGUAUUCUAUCCUAACUUUCGACAGUACAUUGUCUGCAGCCAAUGUACUUAUCAAAAGAAAAAGCGAAAUACCCGAAGAUCCACUACCAACAACAAGUUGGAAGCACGACACAUCGAAGUAUCAAAUCACUUGAUACAUCUUUACUGAGCCAAAAGUUCACAACCAAAAUCGUUGAAACAUCGACUUUGCAAGUCAACAUUCGAAAUCAGAUCGACCUUGAACCGACUCAUAGGGAGUCCAAUAGCUUUCAACAUCCAAAAGCUGCUAGCGACACUGAGCCGCAAGCCGCACAAACUGAGGCUUUAGUAAACGGUUUCUCUAACCGAUUUGUGCACCACAACCGCACUAUACCCAAAGCUCUGAGAACUCUGACAAUACCCUAGAGUAUCUCGAGUCAAGACGAAUCCUACCAUAAACCAUAGACUAACCUACAACAAUUCUACCACCAAACAAAAAGGAGGGAUAGACAUCACAACCUUACCCAAGGAUCUGAAAAGGCAACACCAACGUUGCAGUCGCCUAGACGGCUGCUAUCAAAAUUUUGGGCUACACCCUAGUAGCCCCACAGAAGUCACAAUCGUAGCUGAUCAUAGUGUCGUCUCCGUGGAGACGCUUGCAACAACUCUCGUGCGCUAAGUAGGGAGAGUGAUCUUGUAACGACCCAGCCCACUAAUAACAAUAACUCGUUGGGCCCAACUACUGGCCCAAAAUGCUUAAGCUCAGUUAUUAUUACUAGUGUCUAAGUUUCUUAUAUACCCAAUCACAUCCCUAUUUAUAUCCGAUCUGGGAUUAUUGGGGUGUGACAUACUCCUCCCGUUAAGGCCCUGACGUCCUCGUCAGUCCAAUCACACACAGCCGAACAUCACCAGGCGAUAUGAGACUCGUCUCGCUAGCCUUGUCAUCCAGACUCUGGCAUAGCCGGUCACCUUGUCAUACAAACUCCGGCAUAGCCUAUCACCUUGUUUUUCAGACCCUGGCUCAGCCGAGACUCGCCAUACAUUUUCGGCUGGUGAUUGGCUCUGAUACCAAAUGUAACGACCCAAUCCACUAGCAACAAUACCUCGUUGGGCCCAACUACCUGCCCAAAAUGCUUAAGCCCAGUUAUUAUUAAUAGUGUCUAAGUCUCUUAUAUACUCAAUCACAUUUCCAUUCAUGUCCGAUCUGGGAUUAUUGGGGUGUGACAGGCCUGGGCGCCGUCAACCAAAACAAUCACCUAGGCCCAAAAAAAAACAUCACCUGGCCCUUCAAGGCCCCACCCGACAAGAGUGGCUACACCUUGUGAACGUCACCCUGCCACUCGAUGUCCGUACAUGUAUAUCGCCACUACUCCUGGCUGCGACAUGAGUUGUGCGAAAAAUCGUAGCACGUACUGUAACGAUCCAGCCCACUAGCAAUAAUAACUCGUUGGGCCUAACCACCGGCCCAAAAUGCUUAAGCCCAGUUAUUAUUACUAGUGUCUAAGUCUUUUAUAUACCCAAUCACAUCCCGAUUAAUAUGCGACGUGGCAUUAUUGGGGUGUGACAGACUCCCCUCUUAAGGCCGUGACGUCUUCGUCAGUCUAAUCACACACACAGCCCAAGAUUACCAGGCGAUGUGAGACUCGUCUCGCUAGCGAUGUGAGACUCGUCUCGCUAAUCUUGUCUUACAGACUCUGGCAUAGCCGGUCACCUUGUCAUACAGACUCCGUCAUAGCCUAUCAUCUUGUCUUUCAGACCCUGGCUCAGCCGAGACUCGCUACACAUUUCCGGCUGGUGAUUGGCUUUGAUACUAAAUAUAACGACCCAACCCACUAGCAAUAAUAACUCGUUGGGCCCAACCACCUGCCCAAAAUGCUUAAGUCUAGUUAUUAUUACUAGUGUCUAAGUCACUUAUAUGUCCAAUCAAAUCCUCAUUCAUAUCCGAUGUGGGAUUAUUAGGGUGUGACACGUACAUCACAUAACCACGCACCUCGAGUUUAUCAAACUCGACAUGCACACCGGGACUCGAGCCCAAACCCGCACUCACGUGCCUAUACACCGUAGGUCUUUCUAUGGAUCAACCUAACCAAUGGUUCAGUUUAUUUAUUUGUUUCAAAACAACCUGUGAGUGGUGUUGUGGUUGUAACUUGGCUCUGAUACCACUUUAAUCUGUCACGCCCCGGAAUUCCUUUGGAUUUAUAAUUCAAUGCAGAAGUACCCAAUUUUUUUUUUUUUAAGCCUUGACCCUAGAGGACGUCAGAUCCGCCACAAAUACAGGGAUCCACUGUUCAAAUGGACAGAGUCUCACCUAUAUUUACACGGCGUCGUACAAGUACAAGAUACAACCACAUAGUAUAAUAAUCUACAUACAAUCACCACAUCACAUUCUUUCCAUCACACUUUAUCAUAAAUCCAUAUCUAUUAGUUUAAAAUGAUUCCCACCCGGAAAUAUAGUUUGAAAUAAUAUGAAUCAUGAAAAUCAGGAAAAAUUCUUUUUAAAACCGUUUGCCACACGAAAAUUAUUUUUUUUAAAAUACACUACCACGAGGGGUAGAAAACUGUUUAAUUUCAUCUCAUAAGAAAACCAUAAUUAUUUUAUUCAUUUCACAAAACUAGAUGAAUCUAAAUAAAAUAGAACAAACCGAACCAUAACAUGUCUAAGUCAUUUGUUUGGAAAGUAGGGUUAGAAAUUAAACCAAAUCUACCGGGUCAGAGCAAUCUAUAAUAAUAAAGAUACAUCAUAUAUAUGUUAUGCAGAUAUACACUUGCGUAUGCUUGUGUUAUUCAGUUAAUUACUCGGAUCUCCAUCUCCCUCUCUCCCAAACUUAUUAUACUUCCAAUAGGUAUAAAUAGAACCAAAUUCUAAUAUCUUUUUUUCCUUUUGUCACUUUCGUGUGAAAAUGGUACGUACAAUUGACUUGUUAAAAUAAUAAAGAUACAUUGCAUAUAUGUAAUACAUAUAUACUCUUAAGUAAGCAUGUAUUAUUUAAUCAGUGCUGUUACGGAUGCCCUAAUCCUACAAUUAAUGUUCUUGUUAUAUCAGCAACAUCACUAUUAAACUUGAAACACUGUAUUCUAAAUCUUAAACACCGUUAUUAAGCUGCAAACACCAUAAUUAUAUUCUAAAUUUUAAACUCUAAACCCACAUAUGUGCUAGCACGUCAAUAAUAAUAUUUUAAAAUAUAUCUAAGUGAUCGACCGUCCCUAACGCAAGUGGCAAAAAGAUUUGGUGGUUGAUUUUCGAGACCCAAGUUCGAAUCCUAGUUGAUUCACAUUUUCAGCAAAAUUUAUUUCUAAAUGAAAAAAACGAAUCGGAUAGCAUGCUACCUUUCUCUCAAAAAAAAAAAAAAAAAAAAUCUAAGUGGGCGAUCGAAAUCAUUUCUCUUAUUUAAACUAUUCUCUCCCUCUUCCACUCCCAUUCUUCUUAUCUCCAAACCAAUUUUAAAAUUUGAGUUAGUUGACUUUGAAUAAGUAUAAAUUGAACCAUAUUCUAAUGUUUUUCGUCCUAUUUCAUUUUUGUGUGGAAUCGAGUUGCUAUAAUAAUAAAGCUAUAAUGAUAAGAAGAUGCUAAUGCCACGUCGUCAUAAGUAAUAUAAUAAGUUAAUAAGAGAUUUUGUAUAAUGACAAAUUGACAAGUCGUAUAAGUAGUACAAGUCAACAAGAAAGCUUAUAAUUUAUUUUGUUUUUUUGGUUAAAAUGUAAGGAAACCCCACAACCAUAUAGAUCAUAAAUCCUAAUAAUAAUUUGGUUUAAACAUUUUGGACCAAUAAUUUGGAUCUACGAGUUAUUACUACUAGUAGAUUGAGUCGUUAUAUUGGGUUUCAGAGCUAUUUUACUAGCCAAAAAUAUGUUGUGAGUCUCACAUCGCAUGAUGAUCUUGAUUUGUAUUUGUGUUUGUGACUGGGCUUAUGAGGACAUUAGGGAUAGUCCAGCUAGUUAAUUUGCGUUUGCCUACAUUAGGACCUAAGGUGGGUCACAUCACCUCGUCUAGUAAUCUUAGAUUGUAUUUGUGAUCGAGCUGAAGAGAACAUCAGAGCCUAAGGUGAGGAUGUCAGGGCUGGGCUAACUAGGACAUCAAGGCCUAAGGUGUCGUUCCGUGAUCUCGGGUUGUAUUUGUGAUUAGGCUAAGGAGGACAUUAAUGCCAAAGGUAAUCUCGGAUUGUGUUUGUGAUUGAGUUGAUGAGGACGUUAGUGUCAGGCUGAUGAGAACGCCAGCACCUAAGGUGGUUCUCACAUAGCCUAGUAAUCUUGGGAAGAGUCUACGAUACCCAAAUAGUUCCAUAUCUGAGACAAUAUAUAGAUUAUAGUAAUAAUAACUAAGUUUAAGAAUUUUUGAUUGAUGGUUUAAGCUCAAUAAAUUAUUAUUGCUAAAAGAUCUGGUCGUUAUAUUUAGUUUCAGAAACUCGUAGACCACACAUGAACUAGCCAGUAUACACUAUGCGCAAUUAAUGACUAGCAUAUCAUCAGUUGCACUCGAGUAUUUGUGCGUUUUGUUUCAGUUAGAAACUCUUUACUCCAAUCGUGUUUGUUUAGCCUAGCUUCAUAAUUACAAUUUGGUUUAUAAUUAAUUUCUUAAUUUAUUUAUAAGGUAAAUUACAGAAAACCGUCCCAUCAAUAUCUGCUUUUUCACUUUUCUUCUCUGAUUUUUAAAAAUUUAUAUUUUAUUUUCUUAAAAUUUGAAAAAUGUUCACUUCGGAUCCCACCGUCAUUGUUUCGUGAGAGGUCCGUCUAUAUCUUAUUAUUAUAUUUUUUAAUACCCAAAAUACCCUUGGACCCUUCCUCCCUGCAGCCUGUCUCCCUUCUCGCCGACAGAGUCCUUGGUGGCACCACCUCAUCCUCGCCCACCCUUCAUCCAUGCCCACCUUGACGUCCUCCCCAUCAUUGCCGAAUAAAAGGGCCGUGAGGGUACCAGAGGAGUAGGGAGAGCAGGAGGAGCAGGGAGAGCAGGUUAAGCACACGGAGUAGGAGUUGGGGUUAAGGGAGGCACGAAAGACGGAAGAGAAGCGGUUGCAGAUGAAAGAGGGUUGGGGAGGAGACAAAGAGGGAGAGGGCAAUUUAGUCAUUUUGUUAUCACAGUUAACACCGUAUUUUUCUAUGAAUAUUUUUUAUUUUUUAAGAGGGUAAAAUAUUAGCUUUUAAAAGUCGGGAAGAGAAAAUAAAAAAACGGGUAUUAAAAGAGAAAUUUUAUAUAAUUUAGCAUUUGUUUAUAUUCCAUAUUUGGAUUAGUAUUUGUGUACAAUUAUGGAUAUCUAUAUAACUUGAAGCAUUCUAUAUAUAUCCAUACUAGUACUAGUGAUUAAAUUGCAACAAAAGUAAUUUCUACACUAUAGAGAGUUUUAUUUCUUUCUUUCUUUUUAUUUUUUUUAGGCGAGUCUCUUAUUUUUUUGUUGUGUAAACGUGCACACUAACUAAAUAGUGGGUAGAUUUAUGCAUAUUAUUAGAAUCCUAAGUUUCUUUAAUAAGAUCUCAGGCCCUAUGUAUUCCGUGGAUCAACUAUAUAUGCUAAUUAUUUUCUCUUUAAAUGUGGACCAUUUUUUUUUUUUACAACAUAUAUAUCAUUUGUUGCAAUAAAGUUCUAUUUAUCACCCAGAUGUGCCUUACUACCCAUAUCAUCAUAACUUAUACAACUAAGUUUAAUUCGUCACGCUAAACGGGCGUAAAUGAAAAAAAUAUUUGUAUUUUUAUUUUUAUUUUUUCGAAGAUGCAGGUAAGCCUCCUAAGAUUUGAAUAUUGAUCAGUCUUUGCUUUGCUUCAAAUUCUAUUCAUUGUUAGCAAGAAAACACAUUUGCUUUCUUAUCUCUUUAGUCAUGUCAAACUGGAGAUAAUUUUUUGAGAAUUUUUCUUGUCAUAUAAUUAUAAAAAGCCCUAAUUAUUAUGGAUAUAGCUAUCACUUGAUUAUGGCACUUCAAAUUUAAGUUAAGAUUAACCCUCAACCAUGCCAAAGAAUAAAUUUAAAAUUAAUUUUAAAUUAACCAGUCCACACAAUUAGGAACAAAAAUUGGCAUACCUGAUUAUAUUAGUCCCAAAUUAUAAUGUUAUUACGCUGGAAUAAUUUUAUCUGCUCGAUCACUUGAUGGAAAAGCUUCUGAAGAAUUAACCGAAGAAAUCAAAAUUUUUUUACGUCUUUUUAAGUGUAGAGAUAGCUAGGUACUAAUUUUCAUUUGAUAUUACAAAGUAGAUCGGAUAGAAUAAGAUGAGUAACUGUGACAUCUCCAGAAUUUGGAAUAGUCCUCGAAUUCACUGCACGAGAAAAUUCUACAAAGCUGCCUCCGCAUGUCUGGACAAAUUUAUUCCCUGAUACCAACGUUGAAGUUCCUUUAAUUGAGGUGCGCUAUGCCAGCUUGCCAAAAGGAACUUAUGCGAAGCUUAAGCCCGAAGCAGUGGGCUUCUCCGACCUUCUUAACCAUAAAGCUAUCCUCGAAACCACUCUUCGCAAACAUGCGACCCUGUCGGAAGGCGAUGUUAUCACGGUCUAUUAUGGAGAACUGCAGUAUAAGUUAAGGGUUCUCGGGCUCAAACCUUCUUCUAGUGUUUCAAUUUUAGAAACAGAUAUUGAAGUCGAUAUAGAGGGAUCUGAUUCUGUUUUGGACAAUGAGAAUGAACGGCAUGUGCUCGUACCACUUGUAUUAGGAAAGGCUGAGUCGGGGAUCGUGGAAGAAGGAAAAUUCAAGUACUAUAAGUUUUCCAUUGAAGAGACUCUCAGUGAGAAAGUUUCUACUGGGCUAAUGAACAUAGUAGUCAAGUUUCCACUGAUAUUUCCGACACAACAUCGACAUGAAUGGUCAUCUCAUGAGAUGGGCUCGAAGAUUUUGAUACUUAACAGAAGGAUCAAAGCCUUGUAGCAGGUACCUACAGCAUUGGAGUUUUUGGCUUCAAGGGAGUUACGAAAUUCAACAUUUCUGUAGAAGUUAAGGAUAUUAACAAUAACAGGCAAGAGGUUGGAGAACAUUUGAAUGCCUCCUCUCAAGUUGAUUCCGAUUCAGUACAGUGCUGGAAUUGUCGGCGUUAUAUUCAGCAGGACCAUUGUAAUCCAUGAAGCAUACUGCAUCAGGCAUAAUUUGGUGUGCCAGCAUGAGGGGUGCGGAGUUGUUCUCAGGAAGCACAUGAAAGUUUUUCAUGAGCCACUCCAUUGCCCAUGUGGAGUAGUCCUCGAGAAGGAAGAAAUGGUAAGCGUAGUUUAUUAUAUAUCUAUUGAGAUUUUUCAUCUGCAUUUAUCAGUUUGUUUAUAUGGCUUUCAUUUAUGCUCUUUGUUUUUGAAAUUAUGUUUGAUAUUAUAUUAUGCAUUUUGUGUCUGUUACUGCAGAUACCUUUCUCUAACACUAAACAUUUCCUUGUUUGCUAUCUCAUGACAUGUUAUAUACUCCCAAAAUGUUAAUAGACAGAUUUUGAUAUUAAUAUUACCCGAUUAAAUCGGAGUACUUUUACAAUUCUACUUAGACUGGAAAAUGUCUACUAAUGUCACCUGCUUAGUUUGGUAAUCAAGGGUGUUCUAUUUUAUACAUACUAUUGAAAAAGAUCUGCUUUUGUAAGAAUGGAUUAUCUUCUACAGUAGAGGGCUCUAACUCUUUACUCUUUUCUUUGUGAUGGUAGGUCCAACACCAGUCCUCGAUCUGCCCGUUGCGGCUCAUAGUGUGCCGUUUCUGCAGAGACAUGGUCCAAGCCGGUACUGAACCGCUCGAUGCCCGCGACCGCCUCAGAGGGCUGUCCGAGCGCGAGAGCAUAUGCGGGUCGCGAACAUAUCCUUGUUUGCUAUCUCAUGACAUGUUAUAUACUCCCAAAAUGUUAAUAGACAGAUUUUAAUAUUAGUAUUACCCAAUGAAAUCCGAGUACUUUUACAAUUGUACUUAGAAUGGAAACCAUCUGCUUAGUUUGGUAAUAGAAGGUGUUCCAUUUGAUACGUAUUAUUAUAAGAGAGCUGCUUUUGUAAAAAUGGAUUUGGCAUGGCCUAACCUACAGUAGUAAGAGCCAACAUUGAACCUCAUCUAUCUUCUGCGGUGAAAGGCAUUAACUUUUUACUUCUUUCUUUGUGAUGGUAGGUCCAACACUAGUCCUUGACCUGCCCGCUGCGGCUCAUAGUGUGCCGUUUCUGCGGAGACAUGGUCCAAGCCAGGACUGAACCGCUCGAUGCUUGCGACCGCCUCAGAGGGCUCUCCGAGCAUGACAGCAUAUGCGGGUCGAGAACGGCGCCGUGUGGUUCUUGCGGCCAAUCCGUCAUGCUCAAGGAGAUGGACAUCCAUGUGAUCGCUGUGCAUCAGAAGAGCUGAUCUGCCGAAGCAUUUCAUACUUGUCAAAAUCAUCGUAUAAAUAGACUUCUCGGAGAUGGAUCGAACAGUAUGAUGUAUAAAACUAUUGUGCCAACUCGCCAAAAGUUUCUCUCCUGGGUACUCCGAAAAUUGGUACGUAGUGUGUUUCUCUUUUGUUGGUUUGACAUGUUGUCCCUCUAUUUAAAUCUUCCUGGGUAAUUUGAAAGGUGGUUCAUAGUGUGUUUUAUCUUUUGUUUCGGCGUGUUGUUCCUCGUUUUGUUUAUGUUCCGCAUUACAUGUUGAAAAAAAUAAUAGAAGGAAAAAACAAAUUGUGCUCGACAAAACUUGGAUGGAAUUUGAUAUUUCAAUGAUGUUAUAUUUUCUAAAAUUGUACUGUUCUAUAUGAAUUUGUCUCAGGUUAUUGAUAUAGAGUUUUAGAAUUUUGUCUUCCUGAUCUUAAUGUAAUAUAUAUAGUGUACUUUGGCCUUGGUUUAUUUGAUCGGACUCGAAUGCUAAUAUGGAAGAAAUUCUAAACAUGGGUAUAAGUUACACAAAAAAAAAAACCCAAAAAGAAAUCGUAAAUUUUAUGCAAACAAUUGAAUGCAAAUAUUCUACUGGUCCAUUUUAUUUUUGAGCAAUACUAUUUGUACACUGGAAAGUUGGGUUUAUCUACGAACCAAUUUUCUCAUGUUAGUCGUAAGUCAAUUAACGUGCACAAGGUGUAAUUGUCAGUGCGUCAUCAGCUUUAGAAGAGAUUUAGCUCCGUGUCCAAUCUCGUCUUGGUGAUUAGAAUUUGGUGUAUAUUUUCUUAUCUCGAUUUAGAUCCGUACUUAUAAUUUAUUUAUAACAAAAAUAACACCCUAUACUAAUUUCUCUUGCUUUUUAUUUCCCGCUACUACACUAUCUUUUUCACUCAUGUUUAUUUCUCUUAAUAAUUAUUUGUUUUGUAUAGAAUUGCAUAGUAAAUAAAUGAUUAUUAUGCACAUAAUGAUCUCGUGUCUCUUGAGAUCUCAGACUAUCUUUAUGCUGUGGGAUGUGCUUAAUUAUUUUUCCCUUUAUAAUUGAACUAUUCAUUUCCAACAUACAAUAUGUUCAAACGAAUUGUUCAAACUAAUUAUUGAUUUUAACUCGUCAGGCCAAACGAUCCCUAAAAUUUUUUAUUUUUAUUAGCUAAAUUAUAGAAAACUUUUCUAUAAAGCCAAGUUUUUUUCUUUUUCUUUCUAACUUUCAAAAAUCUAUAUAUUGUUUUUUUAAAAUUUCAAAAAUAUUUUCGGGAGAUAUGACAUUAAUGGAGACGACAAAAUAAUUAAAUUAUUUUUAUUUUUUAUAAAAAAUAAUUUUUUAAUAUAUUUUUAUUAUUUCGUAGGGUAUUUUCAAUAUAAAUUAUAAAAAAUUAAUAAAAUAGUGAUGGAAUCCUGACGUUGGGGGCUAAAGAUAACAAUUUUGUAUAUAAGGAGAUUUUCUAAAUGCAACAACUUGAAAUAUUAAGAGGGCAAAGUUUAGGUUUUUAAAAGUUAGGAAAGAAAAGUGAAAAUAAUGAAUAUUUAUAAGAAGGUUUUUUGUAAUUUGACAUUUUUAUUUUUAUUUUUAUUUUUUUUAUUUUUUAUGAAGGUGCCCAUAAGCCUUCUAAAAUAUAAAUAUAUAAAUAUUGACUAGUCUUUAGAUAAAAGUCUAUUCUUUGCGAGGAAAAAAUAAAAAGGUGAAAAUUUUUUGGAAUCUCUUUUAGUUAUUCCAAACAGAUUGUAUGAUAUAAUUGUGAUAAAUCAAAUUUAAGUUAAAAUUAACCCUGAAUCAUGUUGUAGAAUAAAGUUAUAAUUAAUUAUUAAAUUAAUCACACCACAUAAUUAGGAACAAACGUAUCCUCCUCUUUUGAUAGAAAACAUUUUCAGAAUUAAGGGAAGAGAAUCAGAUUCGUUACAUAUUCGAACUACUCUUUGAUUUUUUUUUUUUUUUUGGAUAACUAUAAAUAAAGUAGGAUUGGCCCAAUAAUUUUAUCUAUCUAUAUCUACAUUAAUCCAUAUUCAAAUUUAAUUCAAUUAGUAGCAAAUGAAUCAUAUAUUAUAUAUUGUAAUAUUAUAGGCACGAUGCGAAGCAGUGGUUUAUUAGAAACAAUUAAUAUGUUUCUUAAAUCAAUUUGUCUAUGAGAAAAGGUCAAGAGAGAGACUUUGAUUUUCGUUUCAACAAUUAUGAUGAUAUGAUAUGAGUUGCAUAUGCAAAUUAAAAUUAAUUGGCCAACAAGUUGGUCAUCAUUAUUUCAAUAUAAUCGACCCCUCUUAUUUGCUAAAUACUAUUUAAUUGAGAGCUUAAUUAAUUCCCUCCUCUGGCCGUACAUCUUAUAUGUAAUGAAUGUGUCGAAUGUAGAGACUAAUUAGAUCUCACAGUCCAAUUAGAUUCUUAAUUAAACUCUAUUUAUGUUUUAAUAAAACUAAAUCUCAUCUUAUCCUAACUAAAGUAGAAUUUGACUUUAAUUUAAAUAACUAUAAAUUUAAACCGAAAUCUAACAAUAGAUUUUCUCACUAAUAUGUUAAACAACAAUUAAUAUUUGUGAAACUACCUCUUCUAUUUACUCUAUUCUUAUCUUGUUAUAUCAAGUCCUAUUUAUCUAGGAUUAACUCAACCUUGUUAAGAACUGAAAUUUGCUUUUAUCCUUUCAGACAUUAUGCCAAAGCUUUUUCUUUAAAAAUUUUUUUAAUCUUUUCAAUAAGGGUAAAAUAUAGGAAACUCUAUGUUAAUACUUGUUUUUUCACUUCCUCCACUGGCUUUUAAAAAUCUUUGGGCGUGUUUGGUUCGCCCAUUUUUUACUCUCGAAUCGAAAUCGAAAUGGACGAAUCCGUUUGUCCGUCUUUGGUACGCGGGAUUCCCAUUCCAAUUUUGAUUUCCGGGUGAGUGAGAAUCCCCCAAAUUAUCCUUUUUUCCAAUCCAAGAGGCCGAAUUGAAAAUUAAAUUCGGAGGGAAUGAAUUUAUUCGGAUUAAAUUUAAUUUUUUUAAAGGUUAUUUUUUAAUUAAAACAUAAAUUUAAGUUUAAAAGUUAUAUUUAUAAAUUUUAAUUUUAAUUUGUACUUAAAUUAAAAUUAAAAUUCAAUCAAGCAUUUCGAAUCUAAUUUACAAAUUUGAAUUUAAAUUUAAAUUAAUUUUUAAUCUAAAGUUUUAUUCAAAUUUUAUUUAAAAUUUAAAUUAAAUUUAUGGAUUCAAAUUGAAAUUAUAAAUUUAAGUUUGAAUUUGAAUAAAUCAAAAUUUAGUUUUAUGUUUUGAAUUAUCCGUUCAAUUUCAAAUUUUAAUUUUUUUAUAAAAUAUAUUUAAAAUUUUAACAUCAUUUUAAAAUUUCGACGUAAAUUUUUAAUAUUUAAUUUUCACUUUGAAUUUAAAUUAAUAUAUUAUAAAGAUAAAAUUGACAUAUUAAUUUGAUUAUAUUUCUAAUAUCUAUCUAAACCAAAUACUUAUAAUGGCAAUGGUUCAUUCCCAUUCCGUUUAAGAUGGUGAACCAAACAGCAUGAGAUAAUGAAUCAUUCCGAUUCCAUUUCCAGUUUAUUCUCAUUUCGAUUCCGAUAUCGAGUCCAACUUCGAACCAAACACACCCUAUAUUUUAUCUUCUCAAAAUUUCAAGUUGAUGGGUUUAAACUGUCAUGCCCCGGAUAACUCGUUCCCCGGGCACGCCGACAAAUCCGCCGUAUACAAAGGAAUUUUUCCAAUAUACGAAGCGUAGCUGUAUCUGUAAAACAUACAAUACUACAAAAACAGUAGUAUAGAGCUGCUAUGAAACUAAACAGGUAGAACAAAAAACAGGUUCCAUAUACAUACAUAAUAUCAGGGUAUAAAAAGUACUCACUCUAGCGAGUUAAAACAUCUGUAUGUACAUGAACUCAAAAAGAUAAAGUAUCAUUACCUGCAGCACAGGAUCCUCUAUCUCGGCAACUCGUCGGGUAGGGCUCUAGCUCGCAACGCCCUUGCCAUGAUCAGCCUCAGAAGGUGCAGCAGCCGGAACCGAUGGCUCUGCAAAAGAAAGGUAACAAAUGGGCGUGAGAACUACUGUAAAAACAAGUAGUCCUCAGUGGGUGCCGCCCUCAACAUCAUCGGUCCACCCACUAAGUCUACAAAAGCAAGAAAGCUAGUAGGAAAAAGCUGGAAAGAAAUCUACAGCUACAUGUUGCUACAUUAGCAUGCUCUACCUUACCAACUGUAGUAAAAGUCACUAACUAUAUCACCCGGGCUGCCCAACCGGGCCCACCCUGCCUGUAUCCAACUACGCCGUACACCACCCCGAGAGUGGCCGGCUCAAAAACUGUCCAACAGAAACUGUGACACUCAUCGCACUGAAACCUCAUUCCGGAAUGGCAUUCGCGGGUGCGACCCACGAGUUACAAGUGUCUCUGUCAUUCAUUCUGGCUCUCACAGGUUCGGCCAAGUAAAUAGGGUCUAACUCGACUACCAACCAACUAGUCACGUGCCCUCGGCACAAUCUGAUACCAAAAUGACAAAUCUAGGUCCGCCGUCAACCACUACGGCACCCACUGGUCCGGAACAAUGUAAACACUACUCUAAAAAUAGGCUCGGCAUCCCAGCACGAGCGUAACAGUAAUCUGAACUACCUGGGGUACUCACCACAAGAAUACUGCAACAGUAUAAAAAUACAGCGGCUCCUAGAGCUAAAUUAGAUAGUUUAACAUAUGACAGGUCCCAAACGCUGGUUUUCUCCUAUAUCAAAUUCCAGUCCAACAUUUAUAAUUAAUAAUAACUAAUAACAUGCUCCAAAUUCACUUUAUAUGUCUAAAACAUGCAUACCCAUGGAUUUGAGCUAAACAAUAGUAACGUGCAACACCAACGAUACAUGUCGACUAAUAAAGCUAUAGGAGAAGGAAUCCGAUGAUAAACCCACCUCAAACGCAAAUCUCAAUCCAGCGCGACAUGAAGUGCGUCGCGCCGGAUUGUGUACGAGGGAUGCACGUACGAGUAGGAUUUGGUCGCUACGCCUGCCCCUAAAAGUGAAAGUGUUUUGUUGGCUUCUGCUUAAAAAGAGGCUGCUUACAGCUGACAAUUUGGUUAAGAGGGGAUGGACCGGCAACUCGAAGUGCAUGCUUUGCGGAUUGGAAGAGGAAACGGUCGACCACUUAUUCACACAGUGCAUAAUUACCAGAUUUCUUGUGGUAACGACCUAGGAGGAAGUCCAAUUAGGAGAUCUAGGUGAGGAAGUGCGUCAAGUCUGGGAUAGAUGGGUAGGAAGAACGAGAACACAUCCGACCGCAACCGGUCUUAUAGGAAUUAUAGCCUGCUGGUGGGUCUCUUGGGAAUCUAGGAAUAAAGCGACCUUCGGAACGACACAGAGCGACCCAUCAGUCGAUAUUUAUAAGAUUAAGCAGUUGACAGACCUAUGGAGGAAACUUAGUCCAGUAGAGUGACCGUACUUUUUUUUUUUUUUUUUCGCCUUUCGUCGAGGCCUUGCUGCCUCAUCCAUGUAGCUUAAUUCACUUACUGAAUGAAUGAAGCGGGUAGUGUGCUACCUUUUUCUCAAAAAAAAAAACAAUCCGACGCGACAUCGAAAACGGCGGAAUUGAACCCUCGCCCGGCCUCCUCGUGAUAUUACGACGACGAACACACGCUCGAACGGCACCGCGGCGCGACGUCGACGACACUCCACACCACCCGAGCUCCUCCUCUAUGUAUAGCUCAAGAACUAGAGAGAGAGAGUAAAUAAAAAAAAAAAAGUAUACCUCAGUUAAACUAAAUUGAUAAGGAUGCAUGAGGUUACUACAUAAACGCCUAGUCUACCAACUCAAAAACAACAAAAAAAUUAAAGAAUAAAAAAAAAUUAAGGAUACUACAUAAACGCCCUUCGUCAGGGUUCCGUCACUACUAUUCUGUUCAUUUCUUAUAAUUUAUACUGAAGAUACCUUUAAAUUGUUAGAAAAGAAAAUUUAAUCUUAGAAAGUAAAAAAUAUGGAUAUUUAUAAGGGAAGGCUUUUUUAUUUUAGUCAAUAAAUAAAGUUUUAAGGCUGCGUUUGGUUCGGGAAUAUCGAAUUAGGGGAUAAAAUAUUUAAUUCCAGUGUUAUGGUGUUAUUCUGGAAUAGUCAGGAAUAAAACAAAAAAAUGUUUGGUUAGUUAAAGUGUUAUUUUUGAGAAUAGCUGAAAGUGUGUUUGGUUAAUUUUAUGGAAUAACCAAGAAUAAAAAAAAAAGUGAUGAGUAUAUUUUUAAAAGGAUUAUUUGCAUACACGUCCCUACAAACAUAGUGAAUUGCGGAAAUAUCCCUGCAAAACGGAAACUCCAUAAGNACGUCCCUACAAACAUAGUGAAUUGCGGAAAUAUCCCUGCAAAACGGAAACUCCAUAAGUUGUCCCUGCAAAAGUCCUAAAUUAUGCAGAUAUGUCCCUGCCGUCCAGAUCUGUUAGAAAAUUUUCGUUAACCACGGUUAAAAUACUUAACCAUGGUUAAGUAUAGUGUAAAUUGACGUAUUUACCCUUCUUCCUCUUCCUCCUCUUCCUCUUCCUCUUCCUCGUCGCCGACGAGGAGAUGCGGCAGCGACGGUGGCGACGGUGGCGAACCCUCUUCCUUUUCCUCUUCCAUCUUCCUCUUUUCCCUUCUUCUUCCUUCUUCCUUCUUCCUCUUCCUUCUUCCUCUUCCCUCUUCUUCGUCACCGACGAGGGAGAAGAAUCUCGUCGGGGUCGGUCUCAGAGGAAAGGCGGGCGAGUUUCUGGACGAGAAGCUCGAGGGCGUUGUUGUCGACGAGGGCAGCGACGAGGGCGUGUGCGGGGUCGUCGUGGUCACCGAGGACGUCGGCGUCGGUGAGGUCGGUGAGGAGGGAGACGACGUCGCCGGCGAUGUCGGCGAUGUCGUGGCCGAGGAGGCCGACGAGGGAGGGGACGAUGUUGAGGGCGACGAGCUCCGGGUAGUGCUCCGGUGCUCGGCGUUCUUCCCUCUUCUUCGUCGCCGGCGAACCUGACCCCGCGCCGCCGCCACCGUCGUCUGCUUCGACGGUCCGAAAAGGAAAAGAAAGAGAAGGGGAAUAGGAAAACUUUUGGAGGGAUAUAUUUGUAAGGGUAAAAUGGUCAUUUCACGAGUUCGCUGUUAAAAAACAAACAGCUCACUAACAGAUGUUAACUGCAGGGACAUAUCUGCAUAACUUGGGACUUUUGCAGGGACAACUUAUCGAGUUUCGAUUUUGCAGGGAUAUAUCCGCAAUUGGCUAUGUUUGCAGGGACGUGUAUGCAUUUGACCCUUUUUAAAAAUACCAACUUUGCCCUUUGCAUCCUUCCAUAUAUAAGCAGGGCGAUCCUUUUAGCAAGGCUAAUUACAAUAAAGGUGCAUUACACACACAAUUUUACUUUAGAUUGGAUUUAAUUCAAAUUGUGACAAUAUUUGCAUAGUAGAUAAUUAAUCUAGCAAACUUUAGAAAAUUAAUUCAGUACUUAAUUAUACCAAAGUGCUUAAAUCUACUAUAAAUUUUACAAUUACAUAAAACUCAACAUUAUAACAUAACACAAUGCUAAGUAUAAUUUAUAAUAUACAUAUGGAUCGCAAGCAAGCAAGAACAUAGGUAGUUAAUUCGGAUAUGGUAAAAAUUCGGUACGGAUAAAAUACGAAUAAAAUUUGUAUUUAAAUUUUUAAAUUCGUUAAAAAUUACAGUUUAAAAAUCGGAUUCGUCAAUCAUUCGUAUACGCGAUUUAAACGAGAAUUUUAUGUUUAUUAUUUAAAAAUUCGGAGCAAAAAUUCAUCUGUGAAAUUAAAAUUUUAUUUUAGAUUUAUACUAUUAACAUAAAUAAUUAUAAUUCUUAUAAAUAUAAAAAUAAAAUUAUAUAUAUAUAUAUUUAUAUAUAUAUACACAUACACACGCACACACACACACGGUCCACGAGGCUGCACUCAGCCUCGUGGACCCCGCCAUUUUCCAACCGCACCGUUUCCAUGCGCCGCGAUUUUCGUCCUCCUCGCCAUUCCUCUUUUCUUCUUUUUCUGUAGCUCUGCCUUCAUUUUUUUCUUCAAAAUCAAACAGCAUCAUCAGAAUGCAGCCGCCCAAUCUUUUUUUUUUUUUUGUUGAGAAAUUUCGUCUUUCCACUGCCGCUCAAUCCGAAUUUUUCGAAAUAUAAUUCGGGGAAUCCGUUUUUAACGCGAAUACUCUGAGCAAAAAAAAGAAAACGCAAAGCAAAGAGGAGGAAGAAGGCGUCUCACACGAGAAGGCAGGGUAGCGGCGACGGAGUAAUGAGCCAGGAGGAAAAGUAGGUAUGGCGCAUCAACGAAGGAGGAGAUGUAUUUUCCAACCCUGUCCCUGGGAUAACCCNUCAUUUACUCUUUUCUAUAUUGUCUUUUCUUUUUCAUAGAUAACAGUUAUAAAAAUUUACAAUUAUAAGCACACUAUAAAUAUUGGCUAGAGUAGAGUGAAAAAUUUGUUAGGUUUUUGGUCAAUAAUAUUGUUUCUUUUCUUGCUUUCCCAAUUAGAUUACCUUAUUCUCCUUUUCUUUUUCUUUGUCAUGCAUUCAUAGUGUCCCAGUUUUUUAUUUUUUUAGCUAAUUCACAUCAUUAUCCUUCAUGGAAAAAGUAGAUUUAUCUGAUCAAAUUAAUAUAUUCAUUUGAUUAGAGAAUAAGAUAAUCAAUUAAAAACUUAGUGUAAGUUAAUCAAUUGGUUUUUUUUCUUUAUAUUUUUCUAUUAAUUUUUAAUACACAAUUAAUGCCACCAAGAUUUGAUAUGUUCAUCUAUAGAUAAUUUAUUAUUACACAUAUAUGAUAUAGUACAUAUUUUUAUAUAGGCAGAAAAUAAUCCCCCGUAUCAUAUUUGAUACACUUAGGGUCCGUUUGGAUUGGGUAUAAAUUAAAAUUUUUAAAUUUGCUAAAAUACUACAAAUUAUUUAUUAAAAUUUGUAUAAAUUAAAAUAUUUAAAUUUGAUAAAAUAUUAUUUACCCGCCGCAAAGCGCGGGCCCUAAACUAGUAGAAGUUGAAGUUUCGAUAACUUGAUUUGGAGAAAAAAAAAACUAAAAAUUUUAUGAAGUAAAUGAAAUUUCAGGAAAAAUUAGGCGACUAAUAAUGUAUUAGACUCAAUUAUAUGCAAUUACUUGUAGAUGUGUACGACACAUAUACUUAAAUACAUCAUAUUGAUAUUCACUUUCAUAUGCGUGUACAUAUUAUUUAAUUGCUCUCUCCCUCUUCCUCUAUCCUGCACUUAAUUCUUAUCUUUAAGCCAAUUUAAAUCUUGGGUUAGUUGACUUUUAAUAAGUAUAAAGCAAACCAAAUUUUAAUUUCUUUUCAUCUUAUUUCAUUUUCGUGUGAACAUGGUGGAAUCAAAUUUUAUAUUAUCGGUAGCACGGAGGCCUCUGUGCUAUUAAGUUAUUUUUUAAUGAUGCGGCUUUUAAAUCAACGAUCGGCUCCAGUAAACUUGAUCUACACUAUUGAAAGUAUUUGGAAACUAAAUUUCAUAACUUUUUAACAUUAUUUGGCUAGUAUCCUUAAUGAUCUUUCAUGGUAUAUAUUGAUCAUCGAUUUAGAUGCUCAAUCAUCAACAAUAAAGUGAAAAUACUACAUGAGGCCAAAUUAUUCUACCUUAAUUAUUAUCUCUUGUUAUUUUGUUUCCAAAGAUCAAGUGAAUCCAAACAACAUAUAUAUUAAUGGGAAAACUUCAAAAACCCCCCUUGUGGUUUCAAUUUUUUUCACUUUAGUAUCCUGUGGUUUAAAAUGUAUCAAGUUAGUACCCUGUGGUUUCUCACUUUAUCACUUUAGUACCCUGUGGUUUAAAGUGUAUCAAGUUAGUACCCUGUGGUUUUGUACUUUAUCACUUUAGUACCCUGUGGUUUUAAUUUGUAUCAAGUUAGUACCCUGUGGUUUUUUAAAUCACAGGGUACUAAAGUGGUAAAGUGUGAAACCACAGGUCCACAGGAUACUAAAGUGAUAAAGUGCAAAACCACAGGGUACUAAAGUGAUAAAGUGAGAAACUACAGGGUACUAACUUGAUAAACUUUAAACCACAGGGUACUAAAAUGAAAAAGUGUGAAGCCACAGGGAGGGUUUUUGAAGUUUUUCCAUUAUUAAUCAACAAAGACAUACUACAGUAUACUCCUUGUACCCUUUUGCAGAAUCAACCACUUGAUAGCAAAGAAAAUAAAAAUUAAUUAAAAAGAGUAGGGGAAGAAGAAGAACAACAACUAACCACAGAUCCAGAAAGGAGAUUGAAGAGGGAGCUGCUCCAAAAUAAUUAAUAUCACAUUUAACUAGAGAAAAUGCUGCAACCAGAGAAGCUCUGGAAGUAGAUGUUUUAGGGAUUGAGGAGUUGGAGAUGAGGAUGAACUAUAUACAUUAUUUAUAAACAAGAAACUGGGAGCAAGUGCAGCAACCAAAAAACUUCUUAUUGACUUUUCCCAUCAGCACUUGGUUGUAGUGUCGCAAUCAAGUCAUUAUUUUAUGUAAUAUUUUCAUAAUUUUUGAAAACGAAAAGUCCUCCUAUACAAAAUAUACUCUGAUGAGAGGAUCAUCUGAUUAAACCAAAUUUUAUCGAAAUUGGAGAUUUGCGCACGAAAUUAUGAAUUUCCAAAGUCAUUAAUUACUACGUGCACGGAAUUUAUAUUAAUUAUCAACAAAAUUAUUAGAUCUUAAUUUUAAAAUAUUGAUUACCAAAUAUUAUUUACAAUUUAUAUACACAUAUACACAUAUAUAUAUAUAGAAGUACACCAGGUGCAGGGAGUUAUGUUCAUAGUUGGUAGCAUCUCUGGGUUCCUGCGUGGAGACGACUCGCGUGGGUCGCGCGAGUCCUCUCCACGUCCCUUUUUUUUUUUUUUUUUUUUUUUUUUUUUUAUUUUUUUUUUUUUUUUUUUUUCUUUUUUUUUUUUUUUUUGAGCUGGAAUCUUUUACGGCAUUUGUCUUGAAAAGACUGGGUAUUAUUAUGUAACUGUUUGAAGAAACGUAGUUGCUUAUUAAUUUGAAAGAUUUUGUGGCGUUAAUGCUAAUGUUCAGAAUCCAAAACCCUCGAAACACAGAGAUUCGAUUAUUUAUUAGAUGGUUGUCAGAGGUAUACAGUGAUUUAAAAGGAACAAAAGAUCUCAACUCUUUAGGUCCUUUUUUUUUUUUUCAUUGAGGUUCGUCUUGCUCUAGUAUGCAAAAUGGAAUUCCAAGCUAAAGUAUAUAGAAUAUGCUUUUCCGGUUUUUGGAUAAAAUAUACUACAACUGACUUGUUGUGAUGUAUGUACGAAACAAAUAGUAUUCUUUUUAGUGCGCUUUUUUAACUGCUCCUAGCGCAUGCUUUUGACAAUUUCAAAUAAGGGUAUAACAAACUUUUUGUGCGUCCACCCAGCUUUGGACCCAAGAAAGAAUAAUGGUCUGCACACCUCAGAGUAUAUAUCCUGGUGUUUGGAGAAGUACUGUAACAAAUUAUUGUAAGCUGGACAUUGUGCGGUGCAUNNNNNNNNNNNNNNNNNNNNNNNNNNNNNNNNNNNNNNNNNNNNNNNNNNNNNNNNNNNNNNNNNNNNNNNNNNNNNNNNNNNNNNNNNNNUCGACACUACAACAGAAUUAGAUUAUAGGGACACAUAUUAGAGACACUUUUGUGUAAGUGUCUCAUUUAUACCAAAAUUUUUUAAAAAAUCUACUAAUGCCUAAAUAUAAAGCCCAAUCUAACAAAAAAUAAAAGUUUAUUCUACUCAACCCACCCCACCCAGCCCAUUCGGCCCGAUUACAAACAGAAAAGAAAAGAAAAAAAAAAUCGAUUACCAUCUCCCUUUCUCCCCUCAGUCAAUCCACUGAAAUUCUAAACGAAGAGCCCUUCCCUCUCCUCCUCCUCCGCCACCACAACCAACGAGGUAGAGUUCCGGCAGUUGCUAAAUGCUUAAAUAAGUAUUGGUAAAUUAGCAGCACUCUUUUUAGGUUAUAACGACACUCUUUAACUGUCACUAUAUACCUAGCGACCCCACAUAUAGCAAUACUUUUAAAAGUGUCGGUAAUUUAGCCAGCAGCACUUUUUUUGACCUAUACCGACAUUUAAAAGUAUCACUAUAGACCGUUUUUGUUGCAAUGCGACCAACACAGAGCGGUUGAGCGGGUACAGUGCAACGCGACAGAGCGCCUUGAGCCCGUCCUUGAUUGAGUGGGUGGGAGACCCGGAGGAGCGCGAGGAGGAAGGCGAGGAGGGGCCGCUUCAAAACGAUAAUUGGGCGGUAGGCCUCCGUCGCAAGGAGGCUGUAGAAUACAAUUUUCACUCAAACACUAUAACUUUGCUCAAAAAGUACAACUUUUGGUUCAAAAAAAUACAAUUUUUGUGUCAAAAAAAUGCAACAUUUGUCUCGACCUAUUGUAAUUUGGUUUAGAUUUGUAGUUACCUAAAUUGAAAUUAUAUUCUAAUCUAAUUAUAAUAAGAUAAGAUUUAAAUCGGAAAUAUAUGGAGCAAGCUUAAGUUGAAAUAGAUUAGAAUUGAGAUUCGGUAUAUAUAAUGAGUUGGCAACCUGCCAUUGGUCACGGCAAUAUUAAUUUGAGUCAGACUCAAAUUAAUUUGGCAGUAUCCUAUAUUGGAUGUGGCCUACGUGAUAUAUUCAAGGCGAUUUAUAAAGAUACAGUCAAUCUAUUUAAGUCAAUCUAUAAAGAUACAGUAGAUCUUACGGUUAGGGUUUAUCUGGAUACGUCCUUGAUGGACGGACGUGAUUUAAAAUCCUUACAUUAAGUUAUAUAUAAAUAUGUAACAUACGGGAGUCUCGGUCUGUGACGGCUCCAUCUCCGGAGAUAAGAAAAUUAGACUCGAAACGUCCCGCUACUUUGCAGAUCACGAACGAGGACGAACCACGAGCAAGGACCACCGUCAACAAUUCGGGUACAGAAAUCGAAAUCAUGACAAAAGAUGCGAUCUUAAUUUCUUAUAAAAUUUCAACAUCCUACUCCAAUUAAGGCUCUAGUAUAUAUUAUAUAUAGAGCAUUGAGGAGCCGGAACUUUAAUAAAUGCCAAGCAAUCCUCUAAUUAAUUAGCGUUCGGUGUUGUUGGUGUUUCCGUGCUGUUGGUGCUCGGCUGAGGAGACUUAUGAUGCUCAAUUAAUUAAGCCAACGAAGGUGCCGUAUUUUAUAUAUGGUGAGCCGAGCUGAAGGAUCUCAUUGUGCGGACGUGCUAAUUGGAGAUGCUGAAGGAUCUCAUUGUGCGGACGUGCUAAUUGGAGAUGCUAUAUGCAUAUGUGCGAUCAAUUAAAUACUUUAAUUGGGAUUUUAAUUUUAGAGAGAGAUCUUCUUUGUACUUCGCCUUUCGACAUAAAUAAAUUAUUUGCUCCGUCUUCGUCCGUGGACGUAGGCAGUUGGCCGAACCACGUAAAUAUCGGUGUGCUCUUUCCUCUUUUCUUUCCUUUUCCUGCAUUAAAUUAUUUUCUGGAUCUAUUUUUCGCCGUUCCGAUUUUAACACGAACAAUGUAAUUUUCUUGUGUGAAAUAAUACAAUUUUAUCUUAAUAGUGCAACUUGAUAUUUUUUUUCCUUCUUCUCUAAUUCUUGAACCUUUCCUGUAGCAGUGAUGAUACAUAAUGAUUUUUCAAAAAAACAAAAUUUCUUUUAUUUUUAUUCCUUUUUUUCUACUCUGUGCAUCUUUUUUCGCUUCUUGGAGAAGCCCGGGUGCAUCUUCGUUCUCACCAUCACGUGCGACAGCGAGCACCGCCUCAGCCACGAACUCAUCGCCUCCGUCUGCUCUGCCCACACCCGCACCCGCUCCAAGUCCUCCUCCUUCAGCGUCGGCGUCGAUGCUGGCACCUGCAUUGGCUGAGGCGGAGAAAGAGGAGGCGGCAAUGUCCUCCUUUCCGUCACCGAGAUUCGCAGAGACGGUGGAGGAGGUGUGACACCCCAAUAAUCCCACAUCAGAUGGGAAUGGGGUUAUGAUUGGGUUUAUAAGAGACUUAGACACUAAUAAUAAUAACUGGACUUAAGCAUUUUGGGCCGGGUCCCACUAGCAACAAUAACUCGUUGGGCCCAACCACCGGCCCAAAAUGCUUAAGCCCAGUUAUUAUUACUCUUAUAAACCCAAUGACAACCCCAAAUGCUUAAGCCCAGUUUUUAUUACUAGUGUCUAAGUCUUUUAUAAACCCAAUGACAACCCCAUUCCCAUCCGAUGUGGGAUUAUUGGAGUGUCACAGACUCCCCCCGUUAAGGCCCUAACCCCAUUCCCAUCCGAUGUGGGUCCCAUCCGAUGUGGGAUUAUUGGGGUGUCACAGACUCCUCCCGUUAAGGCCCUGACGUCACACACACAGCCCAAGAUCACGAGGCGAUGUGAGACUUGUCUCGCUAGCCCGUCAUCCAAACCCUGGCUCAGUCGAGACUCGCCACACAUGUCCAGCUGGUGAACCGGCUCUGAUACCAAAUGUAACGACCCAGCCCACUAGCAACAAUAACUCGUUGGGCCCAACCACCGGCCCAAAAUGUUUAAGCCCAAUUAUUAUUACUAGUGUCUAAGUCUCUUAUAAACCCAAUGACAACUCUAUUUCCAUCCGAUGUGGGAUUAUUAGGACCUCACAGGAGGCAAGGAGGCUCGGAGAGAAAAAAAAAAAGAAAAAAAAGAAAAAAAGAGAGAGAGAGAGAGGAAAAGGAAUAAAAAUAUUUUAAUUAGUUUUUUAAAAAUUCGAGCUGAAUUUGUAAAAUUCAAAAUAAUGACCCAUUUUUACAAAAUCUUGAAACUAAUAGAUUUUUUAUGCAAAAAGGCCAUUUAUUAUUAUUGAGAUUAGAUUUUAGAUAGAUAUUUUAGUAAUUUUAGAAUAAAUUUAAAACAUUUGAAUAGUAGUAAAAGGUAAAUAAUCAAAAGGAGCCCCUAUAAUUCCAUGGCAAUUUACUUAGAACUCACAGUCCAAUUGGAUUCUUAAUUAAACUCUAUUUAUUGUUUAGUAAAUCAAAAUCUCAUGUUAUAUAUCCUAAUUAAAUUAGAAUUUGGCUUUAAUUUAAAUAACUAUAAAUUUAAACCGAAAUCUACUAACAGAUUUUCUCACUAAUCUGUUAGGUAGCAAUAUUUGUGAAACUACCUCAUCUAUUUACUCUAUUCUUAUCUUGUUAUAACGUCAAGUCCUAUUUGUUUAGGAUUUACUCAACGGAGUUAAGAACUGACAUUUGCUUUUAUCUUUUUCUUCAAUUAUUUUUUUUAAUCUUUUUAAUAAGAGUAAAAUAUAGAAAACUCCAUGUAAAUACUUGUUUUUUAACUUCCUCCACCGACUUUAAAAAAAAUCUAUACUUUAUCUCUUCAAAAUUUCAAGUUGAUGCGUUUAAACCCCCUACAUUAAGGUUCCGUCACUAUUCCGUUCCUUUCUUAUAAUUUAUACUAAAAUAACCCUUAAAAUAUGCAAGUGUUAAUGUGGUUAGGUUUGUUAGAGACCCAAAGGAUGUGGCAAGCUCAAGGAGUGAGUCUUUGUCUAAUUCACUAUGCAAAUGUAAUCUUUGAAUUGGUAGAGGUAGGCACAGGAUGCCCAACUGCUGUAAUUUUUGCCCACAUUCACUCAUGAUACAUAAAGUACUAAGAUGGUUCAUCUUUGUGAUACUAUUCCACAAGUCUGCACAGUGAUGGGUUCUUACGCCCGUUAUUGAAAAUGUCCGCAACUCAGUCGAAGCUUCUACAUCCCGCACAAUCUUCCUAGUUGCACCAAUGUUUGCCAAACUAUGCAAGCCCUUCAAGCACUGUAUUCCCGCCAGUGCCUGGAUGUUAUUACUCGAAUUGUAGGACAAAACUAGAUGUCUCAACUUUUGAAGCUCUGUUAUUCCCUUUGGCAGCUUUUCUAUUUCACUUUCACCUAUAUCUAAUAUUUGCAAUUUUUGUAGCUUUCCUAUUGAUCUUGGAAGCUCCUUAAUUUUGAUUCCUCUCAAGCCAAGAUAAUGUAGAUUGAAUAAGUUACAGAUUUCGUUCGGUAGUUUCUCGAUUAGUGCUCCUUGUAGUUCCAAGACACGUAAAAAUUUUGAUGAUCUUAAGACCGACUUCAGUAAAUCAUAACUCAUGGACUUGUUGAAAACAAGUACUGAACGUGAAUGAGAUUUGUCUUCAGUACAAUAAUUCGUUAUAUUGCUUAGGAUUGACAAGCGGCGUGCUUUGGAUCUCUGCAAUUUUGUCCUUGAUUGCUCGUAAGCCAUGCAGAAACUUAACUCCUCUGACUCGGAAAGAGCGAGGACUCGAACGACGUCAUGCAUUCGACAUGCACAAACUCUACCGACUUCAUCCCUAUAUACCACUUGUAGUAGACAGCGAUGAACAAGUUCGUAAAGGUAGUCCUCGGCCACUUCCUCCAUCAUUAUUCCUCUUUCUUCAAUGAACCCUUCGGCCACCCAAAGCCAUAUGAGCUUGUCACUUUCAAUUCGAUAAUCUUCUGGAAAACUAGAACAAUAUAAGAAGCAAUUUCGAAGGUAAUGGGGAAGAUCGUCCAAACUAAGUUUCAAAAUGUCAUAUACUUUUUCAUGGACCUCCGAUUCGUUGUUAGUUAGAUACCACUCAAGAUCUUUGUAAACCUUCUCCCAUUCAAAACCAGUUUGUUCUCGAAAUGAUAAGAGACGGGCUAUAGAUACAAUAGCAAGGGGCAAGCCGCCGCACUUCUCGACGAUUUUUUUCACACAUUGUUCUAAAGGCGGCGGGCAAAUCCUGUUUGCACUUUUCCAAAAUGCAUUUUUACAAAACAAAUCCCACGAAUGAUCUACCUCUAGUGGCUUUAGCUCACACAUACAGUGCUCAUUAGCUAAUAGUGCUACUUUGUGAAUCCUUGUUGUAAGAAUUAUUCUGCUCUUGCUAUUACUAUUCAGAAGUGCAUCUUUUAUUUUAUCCAUUACAUUAGUACUCCAAACAUUAUCCAGAAUGAGUACAUACCUUUUAUACUGCAAAUAAGUGCGGGUAGUCUCAACCAAGCUUCUGUAAUCCAUGGUAUCAAUGUUGUUAGGUACUACUCUUUUCUCUCGAUCUUCUCUACAAAACUCUUUUAAGAUCUGUCUAAGCAAAUCAUCAGUAUUGUAAUUUUCAGAUACAACAACCCAGGCACAAGCGUCAAAGGUAGCUUUGAUGAUAUUGUACACAUGAGUAACAAGAGUUGUCUUCCCUAGACCACCCAUACCCAACACUGAGAUUAUCACGUGCUGUCGUUGCUGCUCAUCCUCAUCUUUUAACCAUCCGAGCAAUAAGUCCCUGUACUUGUCAAUACCCACGAUAUCAUCCUCCUUGACAAAAUGUGCUAAUUCUGCACGGCUUUUGCUACCGCCAACAGCUAUUAAAGGUCUUGCCUCAUUUUCCAUUCCUCUCGUAUCAUAUCGCUUCCUUCUUUCCAUAAUGUUUUGGAGCUUAAUUUUGAUCUCUUUAAGCCUCUUGCUAAGGUGAUGCCAGGUUUUUAUAUUUCUGCACCUCUUGAUUGCUAUGGGUAGAACCCCUCCUUGCUCCUCACCCAGUUUGUACGUGAACUCAUCUAUAAUAUCCUCAAUGUCGAAAGCCAAGUCUCUCGUUUGUUUUAUAAAGAUUUUUGUGCUCUCUUCCUUCUGUUUUAGUCUUUCUGCGAUCUGUAGGAAGGAUUGCAUGCUCUCAAGCUCAUCCUUAAUGUCACUUAUAUCCUCCAGGAGUUCUUUCAUUGCUGAUAUCCGUGUUAGUAAUAGUGAUGUUGCUGAUUUAGUUGCUUCACUAACUAAGGUUGCACGGAUAUUCAGGAGUAAUGAGCUUACCACAACCUCCGCCAUGGGCACUUCUUCCGAAUUGAGCCUAAAAUAAACAAUCUUUUCAAAUUACCAUGUCUUUUCAAAUGCACCACCAGUGAAAAUGAUUAUUUUUUAACGCUCUUAUGAUUCUAGGCAAUUUUCGUAAAAAAUAUGUAAUUGUUUCAUCCAGGAUAACUCUGUAGUGUACUAAACAAACAUUUGUUUGAAUCCUCUAUUAAAAGGAAGAUAACUAGUAACAACAUUGUAGUCUGUAAGAACAACAAGCAAUAACUUGUUUGAGAAUCAGUUUAACAAAUUUUUAAGAUAAAAGAUUCUUAAUAACUAAUCAUACUAAGCUCCCACAUGACCUCAUAUUUGUAAAGCAAGAUGUGGAAUAGUCCUUAAUUUAGAGGAUUAUGAAAUCAAUGAAGAGUUGGAAAGCAAAUGAAUCUACUGCCAGUCACUAAGUAGAGGGAAUUGUAUUAAGAGUGAUUGUACAUUAUUCUUAACAAUUAUAAUUAAGUCUAGUUUCCCUUGAAGGCCUCUUUUUGUUUAUAAUUAAGUUUAUAUCAGGACUAAAGUCAUUUGAGCAAGAAACUAUUAGUGCUUAUUCAAAUAGUUUUGUUUUGAUGGAAAUAUAAGAAAAUAAUUUUAGACGUGAACUCCCACAUUUCUAAUGUGUCAAAUUUUACUGCCUUGACAUUAAUUCAUGCUACCUAUUAUCAGACCAGAAUCUAAAAGUUCUAUUUUAACUUCUUUAAUUUGUGCUGCAAUUUGUAAGAUGUUGUAGAAGGUUGUUUCAUUGUACAUUAGCAAGUUUAAAUCCAAAGAAAAUCACUAUCAAUUAAUUGCGUACUCUAUAUGCUAUCCACUGUACACUUCUCAAUGAUAUUUAUAGUAUAAAACUAAGGAAUCAUAGUGGCUAUUGAUCUUGUUACCCAAAAGAUUGAUCUGAUAGUAAUCUAUUAAAGACUUAAGAUCUUUUACUCAUUUACAUUAGACUUAGGAUCUGAUCUUUUACUCAUUUACAUGUUAAAUAGCUUGCGAAUGAUGUCAAUACGUUGGUAGAAGAUGUAAAUAGAAGAGACAAAUAAACUAAAUUUAAAUGCCAUUAAACUGCAUAUAUUAGUUGAGCUUUUGAUAAUAAAUAAAAUUCUCUCAACUAUCUAGAUCAAUAUCUAUAACCAAGAUUAUGAAUUUAAGAUUUUUUUUUGAAAAAAAAUUGUAUUUAGAAGGUUGCUAAUUUUGACCAUUCGUAUUGUGCCCUCUUGGUGAUCUAGAAAAUAAAUUUUAAAUAUCACAAAACUCUUUUUCUAUAAAGUUUAUGUAUCUUUAAUGGGUAAAUUGCAUUGUUACCUCCUGAACUUUUGGCAAAGUUUCACUUUACCCCUCGAACUCCUAAAAUGGACAUUUAACCCCCUAAACUCUAAUAUUUCAUUCAUUUUACCCAUUUCGUCAGUUUUCCGUCAAGCUCCGUUAACCGGAAACUGACGAAAGGGGUAAAACGAAUGAAAUAUUAGAGUUUAGGGUGUUAGAUGUCUAUUUUAGGAGUUUGGGGGGUUAAGUGAAACUCGCCAAAAGUUUAGGAAGUAGUAGUGCAAUUUACUCCGUAGGGACUCUUGACUAUAAAUUAUUUUAUUAUAAUAUGUUACUUAUGGAUUGACUACUAAUCCUCAAGUUAGUGAUCGUGCUUGAUUUUGAAUUUAUAUAUAUUUUUUAUCCUAAAAUAAAUCAUACCAUAAUUUAUCCUACAUUUUAUUGUAAUAAAAUAAAAGUGAAAGAAAUGAAUUAGAGUGGCUUAAAGAUAAAAAAAGAGCGAUACUAACUACCUACGAUAUUCAAACACUCUACUAUCCCAACGUACUCGCUAAUAUGGUUGAUUUACAAUAGGUGUCCUCACUCGGAUAUAGAAAUUUUAAUUCUCAGUUAAUUUUCUGUAGUACUCGUUUGUCCCUUUUAUCUUUAGAAGUAUUGUUCUAUAAAAUACACUUAAAUAAAAUUUUUUUACUUCAUUUCAGCCAAUUAGAAAUUUUUAAUAUAAAAAUAUAAAAAUAAUUUAUAGUAAAAAUUUGGGUAAAUUGUAUUGUUACUCCCUGAACUUUUGGCGAGUUUCACUUAACCCCCAAACUCCUAAAAUAGACAUCUAACACCCUAAACUCUAAUAUUUCAUUCGUUUACCCCUUCCGUCAGUUUUCGGUUAACGGAGCUUGACGGAAAACUGACGGAAGGGGUAACAUGAACGAAAUAUUAGAGUUUAGGAGAGUUUAAGAGGUUAGAUGUCCAUUUUAGAAGUUUGAGGGAUAAAAUAAAACUUCGCCAAAAGUUCAGGAGGUAACAAUGCAAUUUACCCUAUCUUUAAUCAUCUUUCAUGGUAUUAAUCAUCGAUUUAGGUGCUCGAUCAUCAACAAUAAAGUGAAAGUAUAUAUAAGGCCAAAUGAUUCUACCUUAACUAUUAUCUAUUGUUAUUUUGUUACCAAAGAUCAAGUGAAUCCAAACAAUAUAUUAAUCAACAAAGACAUAUACUAUACUCUUUGUACCCUUUUGCAGAAUCAACUAGUUGAUAGCAAAGUAAAUAAAAGUUAAUUAAAAAGAAUAAGAAGAAGAAGAAGCACAACUAACCACAGAUCCAACCAGGAGAUUGAAGAGGGGGCUGCUCCAAAAUAAUCUCAAAUUUAACUAGAGAAAAUACUACAACCAAAUUAAGAAGCUCUUGCAGUAGAUGUUUUGGGGAUUGAGGAGUGAGAGAUGAGAAUGCACUAAAUAAACAAAUAACUGGGAGCAAGUGAUUUGGACACUGCAGCUGCUACCAAGAAACUUACUUUCCGCCUGACUUUUCCCAUCUGCAAUUAAUGGCCAGUGGGCCAUGAUGAAUUAUGCAUGGGAUAAAUGUUAGGAUUGCCAUAUAUUGUGGCCCAAUUAAUUAUAUUUAAAUUAGAAUUUGCUAUAGAUAAAGGUCAAUUCUAACAGAUAUAGAAUUACUUGAUAUGGUAUAUUUUUAUCUCUAUCUCAUCUAUUUUAAAUUUAAAUAGAAUUCUAAUCAUACUAUAAUGGGAAGUCGAUCUGGACUCUAUAUAAAGGGGUAUUGGUCCUGCCACCUUCUCAUACGCAUUCUGGUGAAGAAUUACUAUCGGUUUCACACCAUACGAUAGAGUGCCUGAGAUAGGAGGAGAAACCAAAUCACCCAAUUUCGAUUCGUGACUUCCAGUUCAUAGCUGGACUUCACGCUUCCACAGAUUGAUCAGGAAUUUCUUCUCGACGGCGCUCUGUGAGUUAUCUUAUUUUAUUUUGAUCCUGGAUUUGGUAUGUAUUUAAUUUCUGUCUUAUUUUACAUACCUAUAAAAUCUAUCAAUUGGUAUCAGAGACAAGAUUGCUAAAUUAAAUAUUGUAUGUAUUAUGUAAUUGGAUCAAAUUAUGAUUAAUUUUGAGUUUUCAUAAUAAAAGGUUUUACGGUUCUUGAUCCAAAUUAAGAUCACAUAAUAGUAUAAUUAUUUGUGUACGUAAGGAUUUACGUAGUGAUUUAUUUUUUGAAAUUUUAUAAAUUNAGGGGCAAUUGCCUAUAUACCCCUGAAAAGUUUCCGGUUUUCUUAUUUAUCCCUCUUAGAAGGCUAAUAUUGAAAAUACCCUUCUUAUAUUCCAAGUUUUUCUAAAGUGCCCCUGGAGUUAAGUUCCGUUAGUGAGCUGCCGUUAUCUCUGAAAAAUUACCAUUUUGCACAUUCCAAUAUACCCUUGUACCGUAACAAAUUUUUCUUAUAUACCCUUCAUAUAGCAAAUACUUUUCUUAUUUGCCCUUCAGCCGGAUCUGGAGCAGAGGGCGUGCAGGGGUCCGAUGGCGCUGCGGCCCUCUUGCUUCCGGCACCAGCCAAGGCAGCGGAGGAGGAGAAGGACGACGAGAUCGGUGAGAGAUGGGAUUGUCGCUGCGGCNGGUCCUGCUAAACAACAAAAUGACCUUAUCCUUAGUAGUUUAGUACUCCCUAUUAUCACCCAGACAGUUCAUGUCUUUGGCUUACGAGAAAUUAAAGAAGUUUAAGUUACUUGGCUCCAAGUUUCGAGGGUGAUUAACGUGGUAAGAGUUAUUUGGCACGAGAAAAUCAAAGACGUUAGAAAUAUCCUUCACUACCUGUCAUUUUAAAUAUGGGAAACCUGGAAAGACUUAUUGGUUAUUUUAUAGGACUAUACCAAGCUCCCAGGUUAAAGAAAUAAACACCUAGUAUAUUAAACUGGAGUCGAAUUGUUGGGGUACAUACUUUUAGAGAAUUUGACCCAAAGGAUGGACAGGUUUCGAGUUUUCCUUAGAAUCACUGUCGGAAUCAUCCCUGGGCUAAUUCUUAUAUGUCCCGACAAAACUCAAGGAGUGAGGUGUUACUAUAGCUUUCCCAUCUUAAUGACUAAUAUGAGGACUCGUAUAGUUAAUUACACGCCAAGGAAGAAAGUCGUUGUGAUAAGACUAGUCCACUAGGACCAUACCACAUGACACCUUGUUAAGGCAUGACGAGUUCUUUGAAUCGUUUUCCGGAUCCCUAAACCGGAAAUAGACAAACAGAUAGUUUUAUAAGUGGUGGGGACAGACUCGACUGAUGAAAAUAGGAAAAGAGCUCAACUAAGAGAUGAAGUCGGAAUAUACGGAAUUUCCGUAGAUUUCGAAGUCUAAAAAGAAAUUCGUUCAUCUCUAUCGGUAUAGCUCUCAUCAGUAGUCAUUUACACUAUUUUAUAAAUACCGGUUAUUAACUAUCUCCUUCUCCAGGCGUAUAUAGCCAUACUUAGUUGAGAUUACCAGGUAGUGUAGAAAAUCGUGGAAGUCUUCUCUAAAACCAGACGAAAGGGAAAUACGUCAGGUGUGUGUAAGGUUUCAGUCUCUUCCGGUUUAGUAGAUUUUACGGAAGAGAUUAAUAAGAAACCUAAGAGACAAAGCUCUACACAGGAUUGGAGAAUACGGUAUUGUACCUACUGGAAAGUAAUAAUUACGGUGCAAAACUAGGUUGUAAAAGCACGUACCAUUCUUCCUAAAGUGAUAUACUUUGUAGAUUUUUAUGAAAUAUAUCUAACAAAAAGUUUUGUGGUCUCGGUUGAUAGACUCUAAAUACCCUAUUUCUUUUUGAAAUAAUAAUUUUGAUUUUGAUAUAGGGUUAGAUUGUUCAAAGCUUUAUCUUUAAGUUAAAAAUCUUUUUAAACCUUGUAUUUUACAUAGUUGAUUUAGGUUUUACACUGGUCACCUUUCUUGAUUAGAUUUACAAGGAUGUUUAAGAUGAAAUCAACCUAAAGGAAGUCGACAUAUUUAUCAGCGAAGUGGAAAUGACCCAAAAUACGCUAAGACUUUAGGGAUGUGCCUUAAGCGGUGCACCGUAUACCGUGGUCUCAGUUAAGUGGUUCAUAAUCUGUAUUGUCUUUGAUUUACGUUGAGUAUGUAGUUUUGGUUUUUGAAUGGGAAGAAGACCUCGGUAAAGACUAUGAAAACCAUCAAGAAGAAGUAUACUGGGAAAAGAAAUGUUUUCUUCAUUAACCCUCAGGUUAAUGAACUAACCGGAACACUUGGUCUACCUUGAAAGAACAAAAAAAAGAAAAACUCAGUAAGAACGGGAAAGGUAAGAAUCAUGCGAAAUAAACAGAGAAGACUCUUUGUUUCAAUUGACGUAAAGCAAAGAGAACGUUAUUAUACGGAAAAAGAAUAUGUGUGUACCAAAUGUUAAGUAAUUAACUGAUCUCUAGACUUUAUUAAGCAUAAGUCUACCGUUUUUCAAGUUUUAUUUCACGUGAUUCUUACUUAGUCUCUACCCAUGUGGUUCACAUCACUCGACGCGACGUUAUAGAGCGUAAAGGUAUUAUAGGAGCACUUAGCUUGGUAAAGGUCUCAUGAAAUACCUUCUGUCAAAUAAGUAAUCCCACGAGCGGUUCUGAAAUGACCUCGAAUGUUUGACAACGAGGUGUUGUGAAUCCUUUAGCGCCCGACAGAGUGUGAGACCUUAACUUAAGGCUUAUAAAAUGGCUGUGCGCGAAAGUAAUCAUAAUUUGAUUCGACUAAUCUCGCGAGGGUGAAAAGAUUUUCACAACAAACUCAACCGUAUGGAAAUAGACAUGCUCCUCGUCCCAAUAGGAGAGAGUUUCGGUUUUGUUCUAGGUAUGUGGGAUUACAUUCGUACUGGACAAGAAAGGUGAGGCUUAUUAAUCUUGGUAAUUCGUAUCCUUGUCUUAGUGGUUAUCCUUGUUUCCUACUUCAGUAUUGACUUUAUUUUACGUACAAAAUAGUUAUUUUAUGGUGUAGUUUUUAAUGGUAUGGUUUUAAUCUUUUUAUAUGAAAUAUACUGUAGUGUCGGGGAAUAAACCCUCGUCUCAAUACUCGUAUUCAUAAAAAGCAAGGAAUACGUAUAUGAAAUAUACUGUAGUGUUGGGGAGGAAACCCUCGUCUCAAUACUCGUAUUUAUACGUUAGUAAGGAAUAAGUAUAUGAAAUAUACUGUAGUGUUAGGGAGGAAACUCUCGUCUCAAUACUCGUAUUUAUACGUUAGAGAAAUAGUUUUUAAUUAAAUUUGAAAGACGUCCAGCACUAUUAAAGUUUAAAAGAUAUACUUCUUUAACAGUCGAAACCGGUCUGUUUAAAGAGGUUUGCUCAAUAUUCUUCUAAUGGUAGGACGUGGUGGGUAUAUGGAAGUACAGAUCUGGAGGAAACCCUCGUCUGAUUUAUAUUAUAAUACCACGUUAAGACGUACGUGUAGAAAUUUCGUUAAUUAAAUAGAAAAGAAGGCCAGCCCCGGCGAAACCGAACGUAGGCUUGUCAACUUCGUUAUUUAAUUAGACUGAAUCAAGUCGUACUAAUUGUACUUUUAAUAGGCUUUCGUGAUGAAAUUUCAUUUAAUUUAAUAAUAAAGAAAAUUAAUCCUGGCGAAACCGAACGUGGAUUGAUUAGCUUUAUUAUUUAAUUAAGUUGAAUCGCGGUUUAUAAUUUAUUAGCUUUUGUUAAUACUAAUAAAUUAAAAGUACAAGUAGGCCAGUUUUAUUCUUAUAUCUACGCUAUUAAAUUUUACAUUAUAGCGUUAGUUUAAAUUUGAAAUAUAUAAGAUUAAACUGGUGUUUAUAUUCUAUUUAUUUAAAUACUAUUUAAUUUAUAACAUACAUUUUAAUUUAGGAAUACACUUGCCUAAGAGAUACAAGUGCUAUGAAAUUGUUUGUACUCCUAGUUUAAAACUACAUAUGUUUAAGAUUACUUAUUUUCUCCAAUAUAUUGGUGUCUCAGUUUGCCUAGGAAUUAAUUAAUUAAACGUUUUCCUCGGAACGUUAAUUAAUUAUUACGAACUCCAGGGUACGCCUUGGUUUCUUUUAAAACUUAAUCAGCCUGAGCUGGUAGAGGUUUUAUUAAGUGGUGUAGAGCCAAGUCUUUGUUCUUGGCCUGAGAUUCAAAUUACGUUGUAAUUUUAUUUCGUAUAUUUUAAUCUCGGUUAGAUAUUAACCGAUUAUAAUCAAAUUUUCUUCGGUUGAUUAAUUAUUUAUUUAGAACUGGUGAUAUGUAAAUGCUUCGGCGCGCCAGUUGUAUACAUUAUAAUUGGCUUAAAGGUUUCCCAAUUCCAAGUACAGUGUCGGCGUCAGCUCGUACGGAGUACACUAGUUCUUCCGAUAAGUUUGAAUUAAUCGGGUGUUUAAUUCUAGCGCAUUACACAUUAUUAAAUAUUUUAAAGUUUUUUAUUUAGUGAUGCAUUUAGGAAUGCAUGUGUUUAUUAAUAUGAUAAUACACUAGAAUUAAACCUAGUUCUUGGCAUUUUGGAAAAUAAUACUUUUGAGUUUUAAUUAGUAUUAAACUAGGUUAAUGUAUUAUGUAUGUUAUAAAUUAAAUCGUUAGAACAGAGACUAUGGUUAACUAUCUAAAAUAUCCAUACAUUUUAUUCUGUCUUUAAUUUAUGUAUGGUUUAGGUCCUAGUUUUAUUUUAUUCUAUUGAGUGUCUCGCGGCAGCUCUUCUUUAAGGACUAGUUAGACACCUUCGCACUUCAGGUCGAUACUUGACCUUCAGUGCUUAGCUUUAACCCACUAAACCAAAGAGGAGGAUAGAGUCCGUGAGAUAGCAUACCACACUUUGGCUAUCAUUAAGAAGUGGUCUUACGCAUACUCUUCCACCGUCCUGGUUAUGGGGAAAUAUAUCUCAGGUCUAGCUGAAGGGUAAUAUCAUACUAAUCUUAAGAUAAAUUUAAAUUUUAUCUACUCUAUCUCUAUUUUUAUAUGGUAUAGUUCAUUAAGAUAUAGACAAUCUUAACUGGAAAUAGAUAUCGUUUAAGAUUAAAUUUAUAUUAAUUAACCCGGUGUUAUAUACCGUUAGGAUUGUAAAUAGGGUACGUAUUAAGUAGUACCGGGUGACCGGUAAUUAACGUCUACCCUUUUCAGUCCGCCUUUCAUUCAAAGAACCAUCGUCGACGUCACAGGUUUAGUGAACGAGGGUCAAUAAACAAAUAAAUCACGUAAGAGUAGAGAGUGAGGAGUUAGGGGUUUUGUAGAUGACGUUCUCGAAGAAUUAAACCAACAUCAUAAAAGAGAUCAAUUUAAACUCUAAUAAAACCUCAAUCACAAAAUUAUUGUGAACCUAUCAUUGAUAAUUCACAUCAAGAUGUACAAGUUGAUAAUUUACAUCAAGAUGUACAAGUGAAUAAUCCACAUCAAGAUGUACAUGUGGAUAAUCAGAUAGAUUUAAGAAGAUCCUCAAGACAGAGAAAACCGGCUAUAUCCAGUGAUUUUAUUGUCUAUCUUUAUGAGAAUGACCAGAGUUUAAAUGAUCCUCUUAAUUUUUCCGAAGCCAUAAAUAGUAAUAAUUCUAUGGAAUGAUACAAUGCCAUGAAGGAUGAGAUUGAAUCCAUGAACCACAAUAAGGUAUGGGAUCUUGUUGAGUUACCUAUAAGAAUUAAACCCAUAGGAUGCAAGUGGGUUUAUAAAAUCAAAUGGAACUCCAAAGGUAACAUAGAGAGAUAUAAGGCCCGUCUUGUGGCAAAAUGAUUUACUCAGAAAGAAGUCAUUGACUAUAAAGAGACUUUCUCUCCAGUAUCUAGAAAGAAAUCUUUCCGUAUUAUUAUGGCUCUGGUUGCUCAUUUUGAUCUAGAGCUACAUCAGAUGGAUGUCAAAACUGUCUUUUUAAAUGAGGAUCUCUAUGAAGAGGUGUAUAUGAAUCAACCUGAAAGAUUCUGGCAAAAAGAAAAGGAGCACUUGGUAUGCAAAUUAAAGAAAUCAAUAUAUGGAUUAAAGCAGGCCUCCCGACAAUGGUAUUUAAAAUUUAAACAAACUAUUUUGACCUUUGGUUUUAAGAAAUAUAUUAUUGAUCAAUGUAUUUAUCUAAAGGUUAGUGGGGGUAAAAUAAUUUUCUUAGUCCUUUACGUUGAUUAUAUUUUGUUUGCCAGUAAUAAUCUUGGGCUAUUGCAUAAUAUUAAAGAAUUUUUUUUCCAAAAUUUUGAAAUGAAAGAUUUAGGCGAGGCCUCAUAUGUUCUUGGUAUUAAAAUCAAAGGGGAUAGACAUAAAGGGUUACUCGGUCAAUCUCAAAAGGCCUACAUAAAGAAAGUUUUGGAAAAUUUUGAAAUGCAUAAUUGUAAGCCCAGUGUUGCUCCUGUCCAGAAAGGAAAUAAGCUUAAUGAUUUUCAGUGUCCCAAGAACUAAUUGAACAGAUGAAAAGCAUACCCUAUGCCUCUCAGUUGGUAGUCUUAUGUAUGCACAAACGUGCACACGUCCGGAUAUUACUUUUGCCGUUGGAUUACUUGGCAAGUAUUAAAGUAAUCCAAGCAUUGAGCAUUUGGAAGGCUGCUAAAAAGGUAUUUGAAAGGAACUUUGGAUCAUAUUGCAUGUUACGAAACCACAUUACAGGCUAUUUGGCUUAGGAAUUUUAUCACAGACUUAAGAAUUGUGGACUGCGGUGUUUAUCCAAUAAAGAUUUUCUGUGAUAGUUCAGCUGCUGUUUCUUUUGCCAAUAACAACAAGAUUAUAGUAGGGUGUAAAUAUUUGGACACCAAAUAUCUUGUUGUGAGAGAGAAGAUAGAUGAAGGUUAUGUUACAAUUGAAUACAUCAGUACCAAAUGUAUGAUUGCAAACCCAAUGACCAAGAGGCCGGCACAUGGGUCAUAUACAGAUCGUGUUUGAAGUAUGGGUUUGAUUAGUUCUUUUGAUGUAUAAAUUUGUAACAUCUAUUUUUUUUCAAUAAAGUUUAAUGCAGCUGUGUUGGACCAUUUAAUGGACAUAAAGUUUUGUCUAUUAACAAAUGAACAUACAGUUUAAGUUCAUUCAUAAAGUUGUGCCAUAUAAAGUACUCGGCUAAGAGGUGAAGAUGAUACGGUAAUUAUAGAAGGAAAAUUUCGUUAUGAAGAGGUGGAUCGCCAUAGUUUCUAUCAUUAUAGUCUUUUAGUUUGAGCUAAAGAUCAAGUGAGUUCUAAAGUAUUUAAUCAUAAAGUUUUCAAUAAUGCGCAAUAAAGAUUGGAGUAUAGAAAAUCCGUUCAUGGAAUAUAAUUAAUAUGAGCCAAGUGGGAGAUUGUUAGGAUUUCCAUAUAUUGUGCCCAAUUAAUCAUAUUUAAAUUAGGAUUUGCUAUAGAUAAAGGUCAAUCCUAACAUAUAUAGAACUACUUGAUAUGGUAUAUUUUUAUCCCUAUCGCAUCUAUUUUAAAUUUAAAUAGAAUCCUAAUCAGACUUUGAUGGGAAGUCGAUCUGGACUCUAUAUAAAGGUGUAUUGAUCCUGCCACCUUCUCAUACGCAUUCUGGUGAAGAAUUACCAUCGAUUCCACACCAUACGGUAGAGUGCCUGAGAUAGGAGGAGAAACCAAAUCACCCAAGUUCGGUUCGUGACUUCCAAAUCAUAGCCGGACUUCACACUUCCACAGAUUGAUCAGGAAUUUCUUCUCGACGGCGCUCUGUGAGUUAUCUUAUUUUAUUUUGAUUCUGGAUUUUGGUAUGUAUUUAAUUUCUGCCUUAUUUUACAUACCUAUAAAAUCUAUCAAUAAAAACGUCCCAGCCUGCACAUCGAGCACAGAUCGAACGAGAGUAAUUAUAUGCUAUCACUACAUAUAAAUAAAACUUUUAUAUCUUAUUCAUCGCACGAUUAUUAUUUUCUCACGAGCUAACAUUAUUAAUUUUUUAUUUAAUAUUAAAAAAUAUCAGAUGGAUGGAUGGAUGGAUGUAAGAUUUAAAUAUCUUUUUGGUAUAGAAAACAGCCUAUUAUUAUUAUUACUUUUUAUAAAGUCAUGUAUCGCAGGUGAAGCGCGUGAUCGCGGCAAGCAUAUAUUAUUUUGAGCAGAUGUGGUUGUAAUCUUAGGAGAGUUGAUAUUGUAUAAGCAUGAAAUUAGAAUUUAAAAUGCUCUAAUGCUUUUUCAUAUUUAUUCUUGUAAGAUGUGCAGGCUGGCGUAUGCUACUGCUUCAUGUGGGCGAGGAAAACCUUGCAUGUUCAAUGGGUCUGUUGCACGCACCUAAGAGAGUCUUUUAGGGUAGGUCUUGGGGUGUGACACACUAUUUGAAUUUAAGUUGCACCGUAUGAGAAAUUGCACUUUAGUCUCAAAUAGUUUUAAAUUGCAUAACUUAAAUCUCAAACAGUGAAACUUAAAUUCAAAUAGUGCAAUUUUUAUUUAUAUAGUGCAAUUUAGUCUCAAAUUAUUUUAAAUACUAUAAUUUAAUCUGAAGCAGUGCAAUUUCGUUUCUUCUUCUAUUUUCUUUAUGUUUUGGCUUUUUUGGUAUCAAUUACGACACAUGAUGGCCUUUUUAGGAAAAGAAAAAUAUUUUUUUUUUAUUUUUUCUUCUUUUUCUUUCAUAUACUGUAAAUUUUUUGCUAUUGCACCUCCUUUCUUGCCCUCUGCAGUAGCCGCCGCCACGACAAAACAAUUAUUGUAUAGUGGUGACUAAAGUUGCCACCAAAUGUAUAAAAUAUCGCUGGUGGCAGAUCCAGCCGCCGUCACGACAAAACAAUUAUUGUAUACUCGUGACUAAAGUUGCCACCAAAUGUAUAAAAUAUCGCCAGGGGCAGAUCUAGAAAUUUUUUCUCAUACGAUUAAUAUAUAAGGAAGAAAAAAAAUAAAAAAACUAAAAAAAUGAAUUAGUCAUUAAAAUUAUAUAAAUAAAGUAUCAUUUCUUUUACAAUUAAUUGUCCUCGAUGCGACUUCAUAUUCCGAAAAAAAUGCAUAAUAGCCUCAUUGGAAACACUGUUAAGCAUAUUUUUUUUCUAUAUAAGCCAUCAAAGAAUCAUUCAUCAAUUGAUCACACAUAAAGUUACUUAAUUUAUUCUCUAUAAAGUUCAUCAUAGAAAAAACUAGCAAUUGGUAGAACUAAUGACAACUUCAAAAGUAAAUAAACUCGUGAAUACACUACAUGCUUUUUCGUCUCAACCAACUUUUGUGAAAUAUCACCAAUUCCUCUCAAGUUAUAAAAUCUUUUAUCUUGACGUACAUCUACAAUGAAGUUUCCAAGCUGGUGUUCAAGGAAGCAAGAGUUUUUUUUUUUUAAUUAAAAUCUUUUUUUAACUUUUUAAAACUGCUAAGGAAAAAAAAUAGCCGGUCACCGGACCCGCUAUAACUCUUUGUCUAAUAAGACUUUUUAUUGGACCCCACUUGGGAUCAAUUUGGACCCCAAAGUGAGGUCAACUAUGCUAAUUGGGCUCUUGCUACUGACAAAAAAGUGAAUCUGCCAUCGAAUAUCGCUACUUAAUGACUACAGCGGUGACGAAAAUUAUCGCCACAUGUUGUUUUAUCUUUGCCAUUAAUACUAUCUUUUCUUCUAGUGAGCCCCCGACCCGCCCCGACGUGCUCUUCUUGCCUGUUGUUUUUAAAUCUUGUGGCAGCUAGCAUUGUCGCUGUCAUUGUCAACGUGUAUGGCCAUGCUUUCUGCUGCAAUCUCACCUCCUCAUUUUGUGUCAUUAAUUUUCGAUCUGGAGUCAACGGACGUUGGCAAGGUAAGAGAGAGAAGCGCGCAUCAAUGUGUGAGCAGCGAAAUAGAGGUACAAUAGAGAGGAGAAAUAGAGGUACAAUAGAGAGGAGGUCGGAGAUGAACCGUGCAGAGAACGAGAGAGAGAGAAAGAGAGAGAGAGAGAGAGAGAGAGAAAUAAGAAUAUUUUAGUUUAUUAUAAAUCAAGGCCAAAUCAGCAAAUUCUAAAGAGGGUUUAUUUUUACAAAAUCGCAAAAUCUAUGAAUUUUUUAUACGAAACUGUUAUAUUUGGUUUAGAUUUGUAGUUAUCUAAAUUGGAGUUAAAUCCUAAUCUAAUUGGGAUUAUAUAUAAUUUAGAUUUAAUUUGGCAUAUAUGGAUUAUAAUUAGAAGUGUAAUUCUAAUUGAAUUAGAAUUAGACUCUAGUUAGGAGACAUGUUGUAGAAAGCAGACUUUUGUUACUUGUGUAGAUAUGAGAAAGAGGGUGGAAUUGAGGUGAAUUCGUUUUGAUGCUAAAUUGACGUGAAAACGGAUUAUUGGGGCCAAGGUGUUUCUACGAGGGACUAUUUUGCAAAUAGCCAAAGUGUGUGGGCUAGAGUGCAAAAUUAGGAGUGUUGAUCUUAUUCCCUCUCUCUCCCUCUCUCUGAUGAUCUUAUCCUCUCUCUCUCUCUCCCUCUCUCUGAUGUUGCUAACGAAAGGAAAAAGAAAAAGAGAAAGAAAGAAGUAGGAGUGGAAGAAGAAGAAGAAGAAUUGGAGGUGAGUUUUUUUGCUUCUCCUCUUUCCCUUUCCUUUCUUUCUUCCCUUCCUUUUUUCCUUUCUUUCUCUUCUCCUUUUCUUCUUCCUUUCCUUCCUCCCUCUUCUUCCCCUGCUGCUGCUACUGCAGCUUUGCUGCCCUGUGCUGCUGCGGGUACUGUAGCAGCAGCAGCAGGCUACUGCUGGCAGCAGCAGCAGCUGCUGCUGCAGGCUGCCCAGAAGCAGCAGCAAAUAGCUGCUGCUGCAGGGGCAGCAAGAAAAAGAAAAAAAAAAAAUGAAAGAAGAGGAAGAAGAAAAGGGAAGGAAAGAAAGAGAGAAAACGAGAGAGAAAAAUGGAGACGGAAUGAAAUGGUUACGAUUGAGCGUGCAACGGGCGUAAUUCUCAUAUUUAACUUCAAUUGAACCUUGCAGAGUGUCUAGGCGUAUGAGAGAGUCGUGACUCACGUCUGGCUAAUUGCAAUUGAAGGUAUUAGCGUUCAAUUUGCGUGAAUUGAGCUCGAUUGGAAAUCUCAAUUCUUUGAUUGUAAUUCGGAAUGUUUUGUCGUGUUUAGUGUUUUCGGGCAAUCGUGAGGUGAGGAAGGGUCGCGUGUAGCGCUUCUCUUGCCCGGGACAACGUAGCGAAUUGAGGUGGGUUCCGAGUUACCGAAAAUGGCGAAUUUCCUCUUAUGUCUAUUUUGGCACAAGUUAGAUACUCUCUAUCGAUCCUCAUAUGAAACUUGAAUUGCACAUAUAUCUAUUUUCUAUCGGUCCUCAUUUUGUGAAAAUUGAAACAUGAACAUGAAAUUUAGUAUUGAAACAUGAUUAGGAGCAUGAGUAUGAAUAUAAGCCUAGCUAUUGUGACUCGUUUAUAACAUUUGAAAGAUAUUACCUGAUUGUUAUUCCUCUCGUGCGUUGAUCAUACUAUAUGUAUCACAGGAUCUUUUUGGAUAUUUGAUAUUGAGUUGAGACAUGCGUCGACUAGCUCCUAUGGAUAGUAUGAGUAGUUUCUCGUGAUUAUGGAUUACAGCCUGCAGAUGCCAUCUUGAGUUGACAGGAUAUGUGAUAUGAUACUCGGUAGGGGUCGCUCCCCUCGAGUGCCGCUCCGGAUGCUGGCCAGUGAUAGUUGAGACAGUAGCCUAGGGGUGGCCGUCACACCUGCGGGAGUGUGUCCGCGCACUAGGCAGGCGCAGGCUUGACCGGACCUAUAAGUCGGUCAUGGCGAUUGGGUUUCAUGAUUGUAUUUCUUUAUUCUUAUAUAUUGAAAUGGCCAUAUAAAAGUAAUUUGACAUGUAAAUUUAGAAGUGUAUAACUGCAUAUGAUAUUCUAUCCUAUGUCUUCACUAGUAAUCUGUACAUUGCUUUCAUGUUUCCUUUAUGUAGCGAAUACCUAGAAUACUAUUUGACAGUAGUUGAGUUCUUGUUAGUUUUAUGCUUUUAGUUUAAUGUAUAUCGCUCUUUCAUUUACCUUUGCUCAUUUAGACCUAGUGGGAAGGUCAUUGUCGUCGCCGACCGUACCCACUGGGAACUGCUAUUAGUAGUUCUCACGCCCCCUUGUGGUCUCCUUUUUCAGUGACAGGUACAUCAUCAGUUGAGCGAGGUAAGGGGAUUGCGCCUAGUUAGCCAUCCUACCAGUAUACUUAUCUAUAGCGGACUUUCAGAUAGUGAGCCACUGUACUUUCUUUUGGACUGGCGUGGGCCAGGGCCAUUUACUUGUACUUGAUUUUGGGCGUGGAGUUGUGUAUCUUGUUACUAGUUUCAUGUUGUUCGGUGGUCAGCAUAUGUAUAGUGCUCUGCUACUCGUCUUUUGGCUUUUAAUGACUUUUCUUAAUACUUGUAAUGUGAACAAUGGUUUCUUUUAACUCUUGAAAACUGUUAGAUUAUCAUUGUCGCUUCGUUCGGAUAGGGGAAACUCUGUCCGUUCGGCGGGUCUGUUAGCGUGCCGCAGUCUUCCAUUGCGAACUCGGGGCGUGACACAUGUAUUAUAUAUACAUGCUACGGCCAAGUUAAUGACACCGCGACAAAUUAAGAGGCCACGCACUAAUUAAGACUAUUGGAGGGUACGAUUGUUGCCGGAGAGAACCGAGCUUCGUGUUAAUUUGGUGUUUCGGUGGCUGCAACAUCAUGAGCCAAGAGAGAGUUGGAGCUGUAAUUAAUUAAGUGAGCAUCUGAGGAGCCGUAUGACUAAUUAAGAUCAAGCUGUGGUACGUACGGGUGGUGAGAGAGAAGCCAAUUUUGGAGUCUCUUAUACGGCGCGCCUUUCAUUGUUUCGGAUCUAAUUAAGCUUUUGUUUAUUUGAGAGAUCUUCUUUGUACUCCGCCUUUCGACAUUAAUAAAGUAUUUGCUCCGUCUUCGCCCGUGGACGUAGGCCGUUAGCCGAACCACGUAAAUAUCGGUGUGCCCUUUCCUCUUUUCUUUUUCGUUUCCUGCAUUAAAUUAUUUUCUGGAUCUAUUUUUCGCCGUUCCGAUUUUAACAAACUGGUAUCAGAGCCUUUCUAUUCCCUUUAAGGAUUAAGAUGACGACGAAGUUCGAGAUUCAGAAAUUUGACAGGACCAACAGUUUCGCAUUAUGGCAAGUCAAGAUGCGUACUAUAUAUAUUGACGCAGCAAGGAUUGCAGAAGGCACUGUUGGGAAAAGAAAAGAUAUCUGAUUCUUUGACGGCGGAGCAGAAGGAGGAGAUUGAUGACAAGCUCUAAGGGCAAUACAAUUAUAUUUAUCCGAUGAGGUAUUGCGUGAGGUCUUGGAUGAAAAGACCGCUGCAGGGCUUUGGCUUAAAUUGGAGUCUCUCUACAUGCAUGACGAAGUCUCUCACCAACAAGUUAUAUUUGAAGCAACGUCUCUUCAUGUUGCGCAUGGCGGAAGGUACCUCUAUUAAGUCGCAUUUAGAUGAAUUUAAUUCUAUAUUAUGGAUCUCCGCUCGAUAGAUGUCAAAAUCUAGGAGGAAGAUGAAGCCCCUUUAUUCUUAUGUUCUCUACUGCCCUCUUAUAAGAAUUUUCGUGAGCCUUUCUUGUUUGGACGAGAUAUUCUAUGUCUUGAUGAUGUUAAAUUCUCUUUACUUUCAAAAGAGAGAAUUGACUUGCAGAUAAGCAACGAGACAGGUGGAGCUUCAGGACAAGGUUUGGUCGCUAGAGGGAGAUCUCGGGAGAAGGUUUCCGGUAAUAAGGUACAUCGAGAUCAAAGUCAAAACACAGAAAUCUGAUUUGUGGUUAUUGUAAGAAGAAAGGUCACAUAAAAGCUGAUUGUUUCAAGUUGAAAAAUAAAGAACAGCGCAAGAAUAACGGUGAUAAAAAUCAAGGUCAGAAAAACACCAAUACUGAAGCAGAAGCAAGUGUUGCAGCAGGAGAAUCAGAUAAAAAUGAUAUCGUCUUCACAGUUACGGAUAAGAUACGCAGACAGGAUGAGUGGCUUAUGGACUCCGCAUGUUCCUUCCAUAUCUGCACGCAUAGAGAAUGGUUCUCGACGUACAUGCCUAUUCAAGGUGGAGAUGUAUUGAUGGAAAAUCACUCUAAGUGUACAGUUAUUGGAAUUGACAUUGUUCGGGUACGAAUUUUCGAUGGAGUAGUGAGGACUAUAUCCGAGGUUCGGCAUGUUCCAGAUAUGAGAAAAAAUCUGAUCUCAUUGGGUAUACUUGAUACUAAAGGCUUUAAGUAUUCUUCCGCUGAUGGAUUAAUGAAGGUCGCUAAAGAGAAUCUUGUAGUGAUGAUUGCCAAGUUGUCCGACAUGUUAUAUGUUCUGCAAGGUUCCACUGUGACAGGUUCAACAGCGGUGAUUUCUUCCUCUAUGUCAGAUUCUGAUAGCACCAGAUUAUGGCAUAUGCGACUGGGCCAUAUAAGUGAAUAUGGUAUGAUGAAAUUGGGUGAGAGAGGUCUACUUGGUAGUCAGAGUUUAGAAAAGUUGGAUUUCUGCGAGCAUUGUGUUCUUGUCAAACAAAAGAGAGUCAGUUUUAAGGCCGCAGUUCACCGAACAAAAGGUACUCUGGACUAUAUUCAUUCUGAUCUUUGGGGACCUUCUCGUACUCCUCAUGGUGGUGCUAGAUAUAUGUUGACUUUUAUUGACGAUUAUUCUCGUAAAGUGUGGGCAAUCUUUCUGAAAAGUAAGGAUGAGGUGUUCAAUUAUUUCAAGCAUUGGAAGGUCAUGAUUGAGAAGCAAACUAAAAAGAAAAUCAAGAAAUUAAGGACUGACAAUGGUUUGGAAUUCUAUUCAUCGGAGUUUGAAGAAUUCUGCAAGAAGGAAGGGAUCGUUCGACAUAAGACCGUUAGGCAUACUCCACAGCAGAAUGGAGUGGUCGAACGGAUGAAUAGAACUCUUUUGGAGAGGGCCCGUUGUAUGCUCUCUAAUGCUGGCUUAGCGAAGAGUUUCUGGGCAGAGGCGAUCUCUACGGCAUGCUAUUAAAUUAUAAAUAUUAUUGAUUAAUCUUUAGCAAAAAGUAUUUUCUUUGUUAGGAAGAGAACACAAUUAUUUGUGAAGUUCUUUGUCAUAUAUAUAACUUUGGGGAAAAAUUUUUGGAAUCUCUUUUAGUCAUAUAAUUAUGAAUCGAUCAUAGUUGUUCCAAACAGAGCAUGUCAUAUAAUUGUGAUAUUCAAAUUUAAAUUAAAAUUAACCCUCAAUCAUGUCACAGGAUAAAAUUAUAAUUAGUUCUUUCAUCACUCCACAAAAUUAGGAACAAAAAUAUAGGCAAAACCUUAAUUAACAUUAUUACGCUGGAAGCCUAUCCGAUACUCCUUUUCUUAAUAGAAAAACUUUGCAGAAUUAAUAUGGAAGAAAUUAUGAUUCUGUUUGGUAAUGAAGAACAUAUCAGAUUGAAUAGAAUAAGAGAGAGAAGCAACACAACAGAUAGGGGGUGUAGCCAUGUAAUAAUUCUAUUUAUUGGAACUGUCAAAUAGUCGAACGCCUCCGAAAUGCUAAAUCUUAUUUAAUUGAGAGCCCUUACAUCUUAUAUAUAAUGCAUGGCUCCAAUGUAGAGUUUACUUAGAACUCAUAGUCCAAUUGGAUUCUUAAUUAAACUCUAUUUAUUUUUUAGUAAAUCAAAAUCUCAUGUUAUAUAUCCUAAUUAAAUUAGAAUUUGGCUUUAAUUUAAAUAACCAUAAAUUUAAACCGAAAUCUAACAAUAGAUUUUCUCACUAAUCUAUUAGACAGCCAUAUUUGUGAAACUACCUGUGGUAUCCCUGGACUACAGCGUUGAGGCUUGUCGACAGCUCUGGAGAGUGUCGGGGCAAGUCCGAGUCGCGUUGGCACGAAAUAGACGCAAAGCGGACUCAGUGGGAAUGCCAGAGCAAGAGUUAGCACUGCCAUCUGUAAAUAGCAGAUUUUUUUCUGCUUGCUGUACCGGUACAACCAUCAAGGCGUACCGGUACAUCUUGCUGUACCGGUACAACCAUCAGGGUGUACUGGUACACUGCGCUUGUUCCCGCGCAGACUGCUCUCGGGUUGCCAUUUGUACGGGUACAAAUGCGCGUGUACCGGUACACUAGGGUAGGUGAGAGGGCAUUUUGGUCUUUCCAUGCCUCGUACGUGUCACCCUUCUCCCCCAUCCCUAUUUACAGGUGUAGAGGAGCUGAGAGAGAGAUAUUUGCUGUUCUUCUUCUCCUCUCUCUCUCUCUAGCUUGGACAGUACGUGGAGUAGCUCGGGUGGAGUUGGAUCGUCGUCAACGUCGCGCCGCGGAGCCGUUCGAGCACGUGUGCACCGUAGUUGUUGCGUUGGGAGGCCGGGCGAGCGGGGUUGGUCGCUAUUUCGAUGUCGCGCCGGAUUGGGAGUAGCGUUUGAGGUGGGUUAAUCGUCGGUUUAUCUUCUAAGUGUACUUGUAUAGUCGGCAUGUGUUCGUUGUAGCGUGUUGCAUAUCGCAUUGCUUGAUUCACAGUUUUGGUAUGUUUAUCUUCGAAACCUGAAUUGGAGCUAGUAUUGGAUUAUAUUUAUACUUGCACAUGUUGGACUUGGACUUGACUUAGGAGAAAACCCGCGAAUAUAAUCCGUCAUAUGUUUACACUACCAGAUUUAGUUUUAGGAGCCGUUGUUAUUUUGUAUCGCCGCAGUAUCAGCGUGGUGGAUACCCCAGGUAGUGUAGAUUACUAUUACACUCGUGCUGGGAUGCCGAGCCUUUUUUUUUAUAGUAGAGUUUAGAUUGCUGGGUGCCGUCGGGGUUGACGGUGGACCCGGAUUGUCGUUCUGGCAUCAGAUUGUGCUGAGGGGACGUGACUUGUUUGUUGGUAGACCAGUUGGACUCUGUGUACUUGACUAUAGCCUGCGAGAGCCUGAUUGAGCUCGGCAGAGAUACGUUUGCAUACUCGGUUGGAUAGCGCCCACGAGUGCCACUCCGGAGUUGGGCUUAGCUCUUCUGCGUUGAUGUCGAGGUGUCCUGUUUGGACUUGCUAUCAACGGACUACUUAGUGUGGAGGUAGCUUUAGCUUCGACAGGCGGGACGAGUGUGUUCACAGUCCCUGGGACGGGUAUGAUUACAAUCCCGAGUGAGAUUGGGUCAGGUUUGACAUCUUUUACAGACUGUUAGUAUAGAGCAUGAUAGUAUACUGGUUUUUAGCUGUAGAGUAGUUCCGGCAUUAUUUACUAUCCUAGCUACCUUCUGUAGACUUAGUGGGUAGACCGAUGAUGUUGAGGGCGGCACCCACUGAGGACUACUUGUUUUUAUAGUAGUUCUCACUCCCCGUUGUUUCUUUUCGUUUUGUAGAGCCUUUGGUUCCGGCUGCUGCGUCUUCUGAGACAGAGCGUGGUAAGGGCGUUGCGAGCUAGAGCCCUACCAGUCGAGCCGUCGUGUUAGCAGAGCACCAGCUAGAGGUAGUUGUAGUUUUUGAGUUCAUAUACAUACUGUUGUUCUAUAUCUCGCCCGACGAGUCCUUUUGUAUUUCAGGAUAUUGUAUGUAUAGUGAACUAUUAUUUUCUUCUACCUGGUUACUCUUCUUAGCAACUCUUUACUACUGGUUGUAGUAUUGUAUAUUUUACAGGUACAGUUAUCGCUUCAUAUAUAGAAGAAAUUUUUUUGUAUACGGCGGAUUUGUCGGCGUGCUCGGGGAACGUGAAACUCGGGGCGUGACCUUAUCUAUUUGCUCUAUUCUUAUCUUGUUAUCGUCAAGUCCUAUUUGUUUAGGAUUAACUCAAUGUAGUUAAGAACUGACAUUCGCUUUUAUCCUUCCAGACAUUAUACGAAACCUUUUUUCUUCAAAUUUUUGUUUAAUCUUUUUAAUAAGAGUAAAAUAUAGAAACUCUAUAUAAAUACUUGUUUUUUCACUUCCUCCACCGACUUUAAACAAAUCUAUAUUCUACCUCUUCAAAAUUUCAAGUUGAUGUAUUUAAACCCCCUUCAUUAAGAUUCUGUCACUAAUCCGUUCAUUCCUUAUAAUUUAUACUAAAGAAACCCUUAAAAUGGUAGAAAUACAUAAAAAAAGUAUUUUUUUUUCUUAAAGAACAAGUAAAAAAAAUUGAAUCAUUUAUUCCUCUCCAUUCACACCAAAUAUUUAUGAGAUUUUAAGGAAACAGAAUGCAGGUUUUUUGAAAGUUAGGAUGAAAAAGUAAAAAAAAAAAAUUAUAAAGGGAGGAUUUCUUUAUUUUAGCCAACAUAUAAAGUUUUAAUAAGGUUACAAAUCAUCCUACAAAUACAUAAUACUGUGGAGUAGUGGUUCUUCUGCAGGCACCAACUCAUAUUUUGAUAUUUCCACUUUUAUGUGCAUUAUUAAAAGUAAAAUAAAAUAUGCAGGCGAGAUAACAUCUGCCUCUAGAUCAUCGUUUCCUCAAGCAUGGGUUGUUUAGAAGAUCCGAGGCGGAAAAUAUAGAAGCAUCAAGCUCGGUGCUUUGCAAUAAUUAAUUCACCUACAUGAUGUACUUGGAAUCAUUGAAUCCUUUCUCUGAAAUAUCAGCCGUCUUGUUCGAUACCAAUAAAAAAAGUCGAGACGUGGUGAACCUUGGUGCGGCCAUCAUUGAUGUGGCCGCCUUCUCCUCCUCGAAACUUCUCAACAAGUACCUUUACUGCAUGCCAAAUGUAUAAACCUCGAAGCGUAGUGAGGUACUCGAUACCGUGGGGCAACUCCUUUAGCUUUGGGCAAUGGCAUAACUGAAGCGUAUUCAGGCUUGCGAUUGCUCCUCUUUCUAUUUCCACCUGACUGAGGUUCCGGGCACCAAAUAUUGUCAAUUGCUUUAGCUUCGGGAAUGAUGUUGCUUGGAAGUGCAACUUCAUGCCAUCAUAUGCGCCAUGAAGGUAAAGAAGCAUUAAUGCGGGCAGUGCUUGCAGGUAAGGAAACGUAUCUUCAUCCAAUUUUGCAUAUUUAAGUGUUAAUCUGGUUAGGUUUGUAAGAGACCCAAAGAACGUGGCAAGCUCAGGGAGUGAGGUUUUGUCUAAUUUACCCUCCAGUUGUAAUCCUUCAAUUGGUAGAGGUAGGCGCAGGGUGCCCAACUGCUGUAAUUCUCCCCCAUCUUCACAUUCGACACAUAAAUCGAUAAGAUGGUUCAUCUUUGUGAUACUAUUCCACAAGUCUGCACAGUGAAGGGUUCUUACGCCGAUUAUCAAAAAUUCCCGCAACUCUGUCAAAGCUUCUAUAUUCUGCACAAUCUUCUUAGUUGCUUCAAUAUAUCCUAAAGUCUGCAAGCCCUUCAAGCGCCAUAUUCCCACCAGUACCUUGAUGUUUUUACCCAAUUUGCGGGGCAAAACUAGAUGUCUCAACUUUUGAAGCUCUGUUAUUUCCUUUGGCAGGUUUUGUAUUUCACUUUCACGUGUAUCUAAUAUUUGCAGAUUUCGUAGCUUCCCAAUUGAUCUUGGAAGCUCCUUAAUUUUUGUAGCUCUCAAACCAAGAUAAUGCAGGUUGAAGAGGUUAUAGAUCUCACUUGGUAGUUUCUCGAUUGGCGCUUUUUCUAGUUCCAAGACACGUAAAAAUUUUGAUGAUCUUAAAACCGACUUCAGCAAAUCAUUGCUCAUGGAAUUGUUGAAAACAAGUACUGAACGCAAAUGAGAUUUGUCUUCAGUACAAUAUUCAGUUAUAUCGCUUAGGAUUGACAAGCGGCGUGCUUCGCAAAUCUGCAAUUUUUUUCGUGAAUGCUCGUAAACCAUGCAGAAACUUAACUCCUUUGACUCCGAAAGAGCGAGGACUCGAAUGAUGUCAUGCAUUCGACAUUCACAAACUCUACCAUUUUCAUCCCUAUAUACCACUUGUAGUAGACAGCGAUGAACAAGUUCGUUAAGGUACUCCUCGGCCACUUCCUCCAUCGUUAUUCCUCUUUCUUCAAUGAACCCUUCGGCCACCCAAAGCCGUAUGAGGCUGUUUCUUCUAAUUUGAUAAUCUUCUGGAAAACUAGAACAAUGUAAGAAGCAAUUUCGAAGGUAAUGGGGAAGAUCAUCCAAACUAAGUUUCAAAAUGUCAUGUACUUUUCCAUGGAGCUUCGAUUCGUUGUUAGUUAGAUACCACUCAAGAUCUUUGUAAACCUUCUCCCAUUCAAAAUUAGUUUGUUCUCGAAAUGUUAAGAGACGGCCUAUAGAUACGAUAGCAAGGGGCAAGCCACCGCACUUCUCGACAAUUUUUUUGGCACAUUGUUCUAAAGGCGGUGGGCAAAUCUUGUUUGCACUUUUCCAAAAUGCAUUUUUACAAAACAAAUCCCAUGAAUGAUCUGCCUCUAGUGUCUUUAGCUCAAACAUACGGUGCUUAUUAGCUAGUAGUGCUACAUCGCGAAUCCUUGUUGUGAGAACUAUUCUACUCUUGCUAUUACUAUUUAGAAGUGCAUCUUUUAUAUUAUUCAUUACAUCAAUACUCCAAACAUCAUCCAGAAUGAGUACAUACUUUCUACACUGCAAGUAAGUGCGGAUAGUCUCAACCAAGCUUCUAAAAUCCAUGGUAUCAAUGUUGUUAGGUACUUCUCUUUUCUCAGGAUCUUCCCGAUAGAACUCUUUUAAGAUCUGUCUAAGCAAAUCAUGAGUCUCGUAACUCUGAGAUACAGCAACCCAGGCACAAGCAUCAAAGGUAGCUUUGAUUAUAUUGUACAAAUGAGUCGCAAGAGUUGUCUUCCCUAGACCGCCCAUCCCCAACACUGAGAUUAUCAUGGGCUGUCGUUGCUGUUCAUCCUCAUCUUUCAACCAUUUGAGCAACAAGUCCCUAUACUUGUCAAUACCCACAAUAUCAUCCUCCUCGACAAAAUGCGUUGAUUCUGCACGGGUCUUGCUACCGCCAACAGCUAUUAGAUGUUUUACUUCAUUUUCCAUUCCUUUCAUAUCAUAUCGCAUCCUUCUCUCCAUGAUGUUUCGGAGGUUAAUUUUGAUCUCUUUAAGCCUCUUGCUAAGGUGAUGCCAGGUUAUGAAGAUAUUUCUGCACCUCUUGAUUGCUCUGGGUAGAACCCCUCCUUGCUCCUCACCCAACUUGUACGUGAACUCAUCUAUAAUAUCCUCAAUGUCGAAAGCCAAGUCUCUUGUUUGUUUUAUGAAGGUUUUUGUGUUCUCAUCUUUCUGUUUUAAUCUUUCCACAAUUCGUAGAAAGGAUUGCAUGCUCUCAAGCUCGUCCUUAAUCUCAUUUAUACCCUUCAUGAGUUCUUUCUUUGCUGAUAUCCAUCUUAGUAAUAGUGAUGGUGCUGAUUUAGUUGCCUCACUAGCUAAGGUAGCACCGAUCUUCACGAGCAAUGAGCUUAUUGCAGCCUCUGCCAUAGGAGUUUCCUAUAAAGUGAGCCUGGAAUCAAUAAUCUUUCCAAACUACCAUGUCUCUUUAGAUGCGCCACUAGCAAAAAUAAUUAUUUUUUAACGCUCUUAUGAUUCUAGGCAAUUUUCGUAAAAAAUAUGUAAUUGUUUCAUCCAGGAUAACUCUGUAGUGUACUAAACAAUAUUUGUUUGAAUCCUCAGUUAAAAAGAAGAAACACUGGUAACAGUAUUGUAGUCUGGAAGAACAAAAAGCAAUAACUUGUUCAAGAUUCAGUUUAACAAAAUUUUGAGAUAAAAGAUUCGUCAUAACUAGUUAUACUGAACUCAACCUCAAUGUAACAUUGUAGAGCAAGUUGUGAAAAAGUCCUUUAGAGGAGUGUGAAAUCAAUAAAGAGUUGGAAUGUAAAUGAAUCUGCUGCUAGUCUCCGAGUUGACGAUAUUGUGUUAAGAGUGAUUAUAAAUUAUUCUACAAUUAACAAUUAUAAAUCGAGUUUGUUUUAAAGCCCUCUUCUUGUUCAUGAUUAAGUUAAUAUAUAUCAGGACUAUAAGUCAUUUGAGCAAGAAACUAUUAGUGCUUCUUCAAAUAGUUUCGUUUUGAUAGCAAUAUAAGAACUUAAAUUUUGGACUCAUUAAACUCCCGUGUUUCUAAUAUGUUAAAUUUUAUUGCCUCGACAUUCAUAGUUUUAUACUGCUUAUUAUCGGACCAGAAUCUAAAAGUUCUAUUUUAACUUCUUUAAUUUGUGCUGCAUUUUGUAAAAGUUUUACAUUACAAGUUUUGACAUUAAUUGAUUUGUUUUUCCGAAAUAAUUAUUAUCUUUGUGAGUUCAGCAAGAAUAUUUCUUAAAGUGAAAUGACUUUGAUACUUCCUCUUUUCUUUUUUUUUUUCCUGAUAAUGAGGCCUUUAAAAAGAUGCCUCGUACCAUUAAGAACGUAGUUUUUUUUUUCUUGUUAUCAUUUAUCAAGUGAUCGAAUGGUCUCAAAAUUGAUAAUUUAACAAAUAAAAGCGAGGCACUUAAUUGUUGAGCUUUUGAUAAUAAAUAAAAUUCUCUCAACUAUUUAGAUCAGAUCUACAACCAAGAUUUUGAAUUUAAGAAAUUUUUAUUUUUUAUUUUUAGACACCAUUCGCAUUGUGCCCACUUGAUUAGUCAGAAAAUAAAUUUUAAAAAUCAUAGAACUCUUUGUCUAGAAGGUUUAUGUAUCCUUAAUCAUCUUUCAUGGUAUUGAUCAUCGAUUUAGAUGCUCAAUCAUCAACAAUAAAGUGAAAAUACUAUAUGAGGCCAAUUUACUCUACCUUAAUUAUUAUCUCUUGUUAUUUUGUUUCCAAAGAUCAAGUAGUGAAUCCAAACAACAUAAAUAUUAAUCAACAAAGACAUAUACUAUCCUCCUUGCACCCUUUUGCAGAAUCAACUAGUUGAGAUAGCAAAGAAAAUAAAAAUUAAGUAAAAAGAGAAGGGGAAGAAGAAGAAAAACUAACCAACCACAGAUCCAAAAUGGAUUAGAUUGAAGAGGGAGCUGCUCCAAGAUAAUUAAUCUCAAGUUUUAACUAGAGAAAAUACUGCAACCAAAGAAGCUCUGGUAGAAGUAGAUGUUUUAUAGGGAUUGAGGAGUGAGAGGAUGAGGAUGAACUAUAUUAUAUUAUAUUAUGAACAAAUAUAAUUGGGAGCAAAUGGUCUGGACAGUGCAGCUACCAAGAAUUUCCUUUUAACUUUUCCCAUCAGCACUUGAGUGCACUGGGGCGCGGCACGGGGUCAUGAAUUCGUUAAAAAAUUAAAUGUCGGACUAUGAAUAUAGAAAAAAUAAUAAAUUUAUUAUCAUCAAUCCGUUGUAGAAAUCUAAAAAAAAUGAACAGGAUAAAAAAAUAAUGCAAAUUAAUUUGUAGUCGUGAAAUACGACAUCCAUUGUGAGGCUUUCCAGCUAGCCGGCUUGGAUUUGGUAAAAUAGUAGGUUCAACUAACUAAUAAUAUAUAUUAUCCAAUGCAAUAAUACAUAGUUUGUAAUACAAAUGCAAACAAUAAAUCAUAUUUUAUAUUAUGGCUGAUUUGUUUAUUUUAUUUUUUAUCGGUGUUAAUUUUGCUUGUCUCUUUUCUGACCUCGGAACUGUAGUAUCGCUGGUGUGCUGCAGUCGUAUGAUUUCAGUAUUUGAGGUUUGUGACAUGUCUGGAGAGUGUCGGAACAAGUCGGAGUCGUUUUGGCGCGAAAUAGUCGCAAAACGAACUCAACGCGACGCGAGAAUAAAAUUUUGAAAUUGAAAGCUGCAAAGUGCAAGAUUUCAGUGUUGAGUAUCGGUAGCAGGGAGAGAAGUACCGGUACUCCAGUGAAAUUUCAGAAUUAGUGCUCUCGGGUUGCGCCAAUCGGAUGUUGAGUACCAGUAUUAUAUUAUAAACAAAUAAUUGGGAGUAGAUAAAAGGCCGACUGGUGUAGCCACCGGGAAACUUCCCUCCUGGCUUUUUAAAUCCGCCAAUUGGGAGCAGAUGAAAGAGACAAUUGGUAGCAUUUUUCUCUUUGUCGCGCUACAAAUUAAAUAAUUUUUUUUAACUAUGGUAUAAUUUUGCCUUUUUUUUUUUUUUCAAUAAAGGAGUUCCCAUGAAGAAAAAUAGCAACAUACAACUACAUUCCUACUAGAGAUUAAUUAAAAGAUAAUAUAUUACUAGUCUAAAAUCUGCACCUAAUUACAUAUCUGUAAUUCAAUUCAUUAAAGAUAAAUAUUUGGGAUGGGAAAAACUUCAAAUACCACUCUUGUGGUUUCACACUUUCUCAUCUUAGUAUCCGGUAGUUUAAAGUAUAUCAAUUUAGUAUCCUAUGAUUUUUUUUUUUUUUUUUAUUAUCGAUUUCACUAAUUUUUUUGAUUAAAUUAGUGACAAAGUUAAAACUACAGGGUACUAAUUAAAGUGAAUAUUCGAUAAGCCUAGGUAAGUUAUUUGAAGUUUUUUGUAUAUAAUUUAACGAAAUAUUAACGAAUGAGCUGACGAAAAGAGAAAAAUGAAAUCACAUAGCACAAACUUAAUACACUUUAAAUCACGGAAUACUAAAGUGUGAAAGUAUAAAACUACAUGGGUGGUAUUUGAAGUUUACUCUUUGUGAUACUUUACUUUUGGGUACGUUAUUAUAUUAUUGAUGUGCUGGCAAGCUGGGUCUAAAGUUUAGGAUAUAACAACGGUGCUUAAAAUCUAAUAAUGAUGCUUGGGCCGGAUUAAAUAAUUAAUGAUUAGAGUGUAAUAAUGAUAUUGCAAUUUCAUUAGCAGUAAUUUUUAAGGUACACUUGGGAAUACAUGUAGUAGCUAGUAGUCUUUACAAAAUAUAACACUUUACUAUUUUAUAUAUGAUAUACAUAGCAUGCCUUUAAUGCCAAAGUGCUAAUACAUAAUUAAUAGAUAAUAAUAGCAUAUAAUAAUAUACAAUAGGCUAAUUUUUUCAAUGAAGUCUUUGAAUAAAAAAGAUAGCACGAUAUAACAGACGAAAAUAACAUUAUUAAAAUACAAUAUAGUGCAGCACUUUUGGUGAUUGGGAGCUACACAUGGUGGCAUGGAGUCACGGAAUCCUUUCCCACGCCCAUUCGCCACCUCUCUUGAAUGAAAGGAAAACUUUUGGUGUGUGCCGAAUUUUCAUCGGGUCCUUGCAGCUCUCAUCGAUCUCCACCUUCUCCUCCGCCUCGAAGCCCGGCAGCAGGCUCCUCUGCCGGUUCUCCAAAAUGUAACACCUGAAGGGACGUGAGGUACUCGAUGCCUUGAGGCAACACCUUCAGCUCUGGGCAACCUGAGAGACUAAGUGUUUGUAGGCUCGGCAUCGCUUCUUUCUCUAUUUCAAUCUGAUUGAGCUGUGGAGCAUCCACUAUUUCAAGUUCCUUUAGUGUUUGGAAUGAUGCUGUUUUGAAGCACAAUUUUAUGCCAUCAUAUGCUUCCCAAAUUUGGAGGACCAACAAUCUAGGUAACGCCUGAAUGUAAGGGAGCGGAUCCUCAACCAAUCGAGACCAACGAAGAUGAAAGGCGGUCAGGUUUGUAAGGGACCCGAAGGACAUGGAACAUUGAGGUAAGGAAUAUUUUUUGUCUAACUGCCCCAACAACAUCACUUUUCGCAGAGAUCGUGGUAGACGAAGAGCUCCCAAAUGCAGUAUUUCUUGCUCGUCUUUCGCCACAAUCUGUAAAAGGACAAGAUGGUUCAUGUUUGCAAUAGCCCGGCACAGGUCUGUACAGUGGCACAUUUGUACUUUGGUGAUACCGAAUGUCCGCAAGUUGAUCAGGGCUCCCACCUUCUGUACCAUCUUUGUGUUGGCUUCAAAAAACUGCAGAGUUUGUAUGUCCUUCAAAUGCCAUAUCCCUUUUGGUGUUGGAACGCCACCAAAUGCUGCCAGACUGCGGUACAUCUUAUCUGAAUUGAUAAAUACAAAUAGAUGCCUCAACUUUCUGAGCUUUGUUACUCCAUUUGGUAAACUUUUGAUUUUAGUGUCACAGGCGUCUAAUAUCUGUAAAUUUUGCAGCUUCCCAAUUGAUUUUGGUAGCUUCUCGAUUUUUGUUUCUCUUAGGCCGGCCUAGGAAACGCAGGUUGAAUAGGUUGCCAAUUUCACUUGGUACUUUAUCGAUCGCAGAACCUUGUAGAUCCAAAACGUAUAAAUAUACAACCAUACAUAUAACUAAACAUAUCCUUGUAUGCAUUUUAUGAAUCUGUUACUGCUGGUACUUCGCUGUAUAACUAAACAUAUCCUUGUGUACUAUCUCAUGAUAUGUUAUAUACUGCCAAAAUGCUAAUAGACGAAUUUUAAUAUUAGUAUUACCCAAUGAAAUCCGAGUACUUUUACAAUUGUACUUAGACUAGAAACCAUCUGCUUAGUUUGGUAAUAGAAGGUCUUCCAUUUGACACGUACUAUUAUAAAAGAGCUGCUUUUGUUAAAAUGGAUUUGGCAUGGCCUAACCUACAGUAGUAGGAGCCAACAUUGAACCACAUCUAUCUUCUACAGGAAAAGGCAUUAACUUUUUACUCUUUUCUUUGUGAUGGUAGGUCCAACACUAGUCCUUGACCUGCCCGAUGCGGCUCAUAGUGUGCCGUUUCUGCGAAGACAUGGUCCAAGCCGGGACCGAACCGCUUGAUGCCUGCGACCGCCUCAGAGGUCUCUGAAGGAGAUGGACAUCCAUGUGAUCAUGUGCAUCAGAAGAGCUGAUUUGCUGAAGCAUUUCAUGCUUGUCAAAAUCAUCAUAUGAAUCGAAUGCUCGGUGAUGGAUGCCCUUGAAAGACUUAUAAACUUUUGAGCUAACUCACCAAAGAUUUCUCUCUUGGGUACUUUGAAAAAUGGUACGUAGUGUGUUUUAUCUCUCUCUUGGUUCAGCGUGUUGUUCCUCAUUUUAUUUAUGUUUCGAUGCAUUACAUGGUGAAAAGAAUAAUAGAAAAAAAAUUGUGUUGGAACAGACUCGAAUGGAAUUUGAUAUUUCGACUUGUUAUAUAUUCUAAAAUUGUACUGUACUAUAUGAAUUGGUCUCAGGUUAUUGAUAUAGAAUUUCAGAAUUUUGUGUUCUUGAUUUUAACAUAAAAUAGUAUAGUGUGAUUUUUUUAAUUGAUAUCAGUUGGAAUGGAAUGAAAAUGUUUGCUCAUACUUUUGGUUUUGAGCAAUACUGUUGGCGUUAUUCGCAACCCCUCCUCUCGGGUUGAGCAUCCGGAAGUGAAUUCGGAUGCCUGCGAGACAAUCCGAAAUAUUUUGGAUGCUCGCAGGAAGAACCGAGCUGUCCGAAGAUUUAACAACUUGAGAACCCCUCCUCUCGAGUAGAGAGUCUAUUAGGGACGGACGCUUGACCGAAUGGUCCGAAUGUUUUCGGGCGUCUCACAUGUCUUUUCGGACUUAUGGAAAGUCUGGAAAAAUUGAUUUUCACUUCUUCCAAAGUUCUGAUUUGAUCCAAAUUGGCUCCAACUCAUUGCUAACUUAGUCUAAACUUUUUCAGAUCCAUUCUUAUCAUGUCUAGCAUGACUUAAAUUCUCAUUUUGCCAAUUUUGUUAAAGCUCGGUGCAUUUUACUGAAUUUUAGUAUAGCGCUAAUUUAUAUAAAAAAGACGGGAAAAACGUUAAAAGAGCACUUCUAUGGCCCUUUGUCGAGCAUUUUUUAGUUUCUAUGGCAUUUUUUACUAGGGAUCCUAAUAAUAAUAAUAAUUAGGCUUUAGCAUAUUUGGUCGGUUGUUUGGGCUCAACGAUUUAUUAGUGCUAGUGGCUUGGAUCGCUACAUUUGAUAUCAAAGCCGGUUUGAUACUCAUAAUAUAUACUUUUUCUCACCUUUGCUGCUAUCAAAUAUCAGAGUCACCACACCUGAAGAUCUCGUCUACUCGCAACGGAAUACUCCUCAACGGUGCAAACCUCCAAAUCUCCCAACCAAUCUCUCUCUCAGCCAGCUAGAGCCACAGCUCAAUUAGAGGAAGGAGGAAAAAGAAGAAAAGGAGGAGCUCUGCAGGGACGUAAAAGAAUAAAAUCACAGGAUCCGUGGAAUAUAUAUAUAUAUAUAUAGAGGUGACAAUAGCAGAAAGGCCUUUGAAACUCGGAAAAAUAAACCCUCAGUAGAAGACUUCACUUUUGGCGCCCGGAACCAUCUUUUGGGCGUCCGAAGUCCCGUAUCCGAGGUAAUUUGAGCGCUUCCUCCUGCAAUGGGCUGCCCGAACCCUAUGUAGCUGCUUGCGCCCAUUUUCGGGCUCCCGAAUCUGCAUACGGAACUCAGUAAAUUAAGGCACCUGCUUACCGCCUUGGUCACAUCACUCUAGCAUCCUCCGGUCUGCUACAGUAACAUUCGGGCAUCCAGAAUAGGCAUGAACAGUGACUCCCUUAAUCCGGAUCCAACUACGAUGGAUCCGGGUGUUCGGAACUGCACUCUGGAUCCCCCAACUCCUCACCUCGGUACUUCCGGGCGCUCUAAUCCACUUCCGGACGUUAGGAAAUGGUUAGAAACCCAGUUUCAGCUGAUUUAAUUUCUAGCCUAUUUUUCGCGUCCAUUUCGCACAAAAAUAGCUCUAACUCAGUCCAGCACUAUCCGAAAGUGCUGUCCACAAACUCGAUCACACUGUAAUCUUGCCAAUUUGCAAAGAUCCAGUACUCUACACUUUUCCUUUAAAAGAUACACACUUAUAUCACUUUGCUGAGAGAUACAUCUUUUAUACAUGAAAAGAUACAACUUACUUAAACGUUACAUUUUCAACUAAAAGACCUGAGCCUUCACUAAAAGAGCACACCUACUUAAAUGCACCCGUACACUAGACACCCUCUCAAAAGAGCAAGUUUUGAUUUCAAACAGGCAUACUUUUCCAACAAAUACACUCAUGGAAUCCUUUCCCAUACCCAUUUGCCAUCUUUCUUGAAUGAAUGAAUAACUUUUGGUAUGUGUCGAAUCUUCAUCUGGUCUUCUCGGCUUUCAUCUCCACCUUCUCCUCCCCAAAGCCUUGCAACAAGCUCCUCUGGUGGUUCUCCAAAAUGUAACACCUGAAGGGUGGUGAGGUACUCGAUGCCUUGAGGCAGCACCUUCAGUUUUGGGCAACCUGAGAGACUAAGUUCUUGUAGUCUUGGCAUCGCUUCUUUUUCUAUUUCUAUCUGAUUGAGCUGCGGGGCAUCCCCUAUUGACAGUUCCUUUAGAGUUGGAAAUGAUGUUGUUUUGAAGCACAACUUCAUGCCGUCAUACGCUUGCCAAAGUUGAAGGAUCAACAAUCUAGGUAAUGCUUGAAUGUAUGGAAGCGGAUCCCCAACCAAUCGAGACCAACGAAGUCGAAAGACAGUCAGGUUUGUAAGGGACCCAAAGAACAUGGAACAUUGAGGUAAGGAAUAUAUUUUGUCUAACUGCCCCAACAACAUCACUCUUCGGAGAGAUUGUGGCAGACGAAGAGCUCCCAAAUGUAGUACUUCUUUCUCGUCUUUUGCCACAAUCUCCAAAUGGACAAGAUGAUUCAUGUUUGCGAUAGCCCGGCACAGGUCUGCACAGUCGGACGUUCGUACUUUGGUGAUACCAAAUGUCUGCAAGUUGAUCAAGGUUCCUACCUUCUUUACCAUCUCUGAGUUUGCUUCAAAAAACUGCAGAGUUUGCAAGUCCUUCAAGUGCCAUAUCCCUUUUGGUGUUGGUACACCUCCAAAAGCUGCCAAACUGCUGUACAUCUUAUCUGGGUUGAUUAAUACAAAUAAAUGCCUCAACUUUCCAAGCUUCGUUACCUCAUUUGGUAAACUUUUUAUUCUAGUGCCACAGGCAUCUAAUAUCUGUAAAUUUUGCAGCUUCCCAAUUGAUUUUGGUAGCUUCUCGAUUUUUGUUUCUCUUAGGCCUAGGAAACGCAGGUUGAAUAGGUUGCCAAUUUCACUUGGUACUUCAUCGAUCGAAGAACCUUCUAGAUCCAAGACACAUAAGAAUUUUGAAGAUUUUGUGACUGACUUUAGGAAAUCACAACUCAUGGAACUGUUAAAAAGAAGUAAUGAGCGUAAAUAGGAUUUAUCUUCAUUCCAAUGUUCAAUUGUACCACAUGUAACUGAUGUGCGGCGUGCUUUGCACCUCUGUGAAGUCCUUGAAUGCUUGUAAUCCAUGUAGAAAAUUUCCUCCUUUGACUUGGAAAGAGCUAGGACUCGAACUAUAUCAUGCAUUUGACAUUCACGAACCCUUCUGAAUUCAUUCCUGGUCACCACUUGCAGUAGACAGCGAUGAACGAGUUCGUUGAGGUAGCCUUCAGCUACUUCCUCCAACGUUCUUUCUUUUUCUUCAAUGAAACCUUCUGCUACCCAAAGCCUUAUAAGUCUCUUCCGUUUAAUCUUGUAAUCCUCCGGAAAAAUGCAACAAUAUAAAAAGCAGUUUCUUAGAUAAUGGGGAAUAUCGUCCAAGCUAAGUUUCAGAAUGCUGUUCACUCUUUCACUGAAAGGAGAGUUGCUAGUUAGCUGCCACUCAAGAUCUUUGUAGACCUUCUCCCAUUCGGUAUCAAGUUGUUCCUUAAAGGACAAAAGACUACCUAUAGAAACAAUAGCAAUUGGCAAGCCACAACACUUCUCUACAAUUUUUUCGGCCCAAUGUUUUAAUAGCGGGGGGCAAACCCUAUUGGUACUUUUCCAGAAUGCAUUUUUGCAGAAGAGGCUCCAUGAAUGAUCUGGUUCUAGUGGCUUGAGUUCAAGCCUGUAGUGCUCGUGAGCUAAUAGUGCUACUUCAUAAAUUCGUGUUGUUAGCACUAUCUUACUAUUGCUAUUACCAUCCAAAAAUGCAUAUUUUAUAUCAAACCAUGCAUUUAUACUCCAUACAUCAUCCAAAAUGAUUACAUACCUUUUGUUUCGUGAAAAGCUGCAGAUCGUUUGAACCAAGCUUCUAUAGUCCAUAACAUCAAUGUCUCCAGGUAUUGCUAUUUUAUUAUGAUCUUCCCUGCAGAAUUCCUUUAUGAUUUGUUUUAGCAAAUCAUUAGUAUCAUAACAUUGAGAUACAGAAACCCACGCACAAGCGUCAAAGGUAGUCUUGAUGUUGUUGUACACAUGAGUUACAAGAGUAGUCUUCCCCAAACCACCCAUCCCCCACACAGAGAUAAUUAUCAUGUUUUGCUGCUCCUCAUCCUUCAGCCAUCUAAGUAGUAAGUCCCUGUUUUCGUCGAUUCCCACAAGAUCAUCCUCUUUAACAAAAUGCGCAUAUUCUGCAGGACUAUUACUUCUACCUCCAACUUUUGAAGGGCUUGGCUUGAUAUCAAUUGCUUCCGUAUUAUAUCGGGCCCUUCUCUCUUUAAUGUUUUGGAGGCUAUUUUUGAUUUCUCUAAGCCGCCUAGUAAGGUGAUUCCAGCUAUUUGUGUUUCUGUAUCUCUUAAUGGUUUUAGAUAGAAUCCCUCCUUGCUCCUCGCCAAUCUUGUAUGUAAACUCAUCUAUAAUGUCCUCAAUGUCGAAAGCAACACUUCUUGUUUGUUUGAUAUAGUUGGCGGUGCUCUCAUCGGCGUCUUUCAAUUUCUCAGCAGUUCGUAGGAAGGAUUGCAUACUUUCUAGCUCAUCCUUGAUCUCGCUUAUGUCCUUCAUGAGUUCUCUCAUGGCCGAUGGUUGCCUUGCUAGCGUUGAAGCCGCUGAUUUUAUUGCUUCACUGGCUAAGAUGCCACUUAUCCUCAGGAUUAAUAAGCUUAUCGCACCCUCAGCCAUACCAGCCUUUUCAGAAGAUGAGCCUGAAUUUGGAUGUUGUAGCUUGCUUAUCUUUCCAAAUUGCUGUUUUUAAAUUUCUGGCUUAGUUGGUUUCUCAUUUAAUUUUCUCAUGGGGCCAAUGCCAGGAAAAGAAAUGAAAAGCAAUUAUCAACCAGUGGCCUGUUUGAAUGACUGUAGAGUAAUUAUCAACCAGUUAAAAGAAGAACUAACAGCUCUUUGAUGAAAUCAUACAUACAUACACAUACAUAUAUACAUACAUACAUAUAUACACAUACAUAUAUACAUACAUACAUACAUACAUACAUGCAUACACAUACAUAUAUACAUAUGUACACAUACAUAUAUACAUACAUACAUACAUACAUAUAUACACAUACAUACAUACAUACAUAUAUACAUACAUACACACAUACAUACAUACACACAUACAUACACAUACAUAUAUACAUACAUACAUACACAUACAUAUAUACAUACAUACAUAUAUACACAUACAUAUAUACAUACAUACAUACAUACAUACAUGCAUACACAUACAUAUGUAGAUAUGUACACAUACAUAUAUACAUACAUACAUACAUAUAUACACAUACAUACAUACAUACAUAUAUACAUACAUACACACAUACAUACAUACACACAUACAUACACAUACAUAUAUACAUACAUACAUACAUACAUACAUAUUUACAUACAUACAUACACACACAUACAUAUAUACAUACAUACACACACACACAUACAUAUAUACAUACAUACACACAUACAUACAUACAUACAAACAUACACAUACAUACAUACAUACAUACACAUACAUAUAUACAUACAUACAUAGAGAGAGAGAGAGAGAGAGCUAGGCUGGAAUACUAUUGAUAGCAAAAGGCUCUUUUUGCUAUCAGUUUUUAACUCUUAGAUGAGAAAUUGUAGGGUUAGGAUGAUAUUAGUCUCUUAGGGUUGAGUGGUUCCCACUGAGUUAUAAUAUUUAAUCCAAUGGUUAGAAAUGAUGAAAAGAAUUGAUCUAAAGGUUGAAAACUUGAUAGUAAAAAAAUUUUUUGCUAUCAAUAGUAUUCUAGCUAAACUCUCUCUCUCUCUCUCUCUCUCUCUCUCUCUCUCUCUCUCUAUAUAUAUAUAUAUAUGGUGAAGUUUAGAAUACUAUUGUUAGUAUGAAAAUAGUAUGAGAAUAAUGUUUACUAUUAACUUUUUGACCAUUAGUUGCGUAGGAUUUAGUAGGGGUUUGAGUAAUAAUCAAAUGGUAGAAAAAUUGAUAGUAAUACUAUUCAUAUACUAUCAAUAGUAUACUAGGUGAACUUUGUAUAUAUAUAGAGUUCACCUAGCAUAUUAUUAAUAAUAUAUGAAAAUAGUAUCUACUGUCAACUCUUCCACCUUUAGAUUAUUACUGUUUUGGCGCCAAAUUUGAUGUUUCAUGAUAGAGCCAAACAUAUUGAAGUGGAGCACCACUUCAUUCAGCAGAAAAAGCUUCAUGAAGAAAUUGAGUUAAUGAAAGUGCGUUCUCAAGACAACUUACGGAUAUUUUUACUAAACCUAUUCUAAAGGUGAAGUUUAUAGAACUUGAAGAAGGGCUCUAUUUGGUUUCUCAUAAGUUUGCACGAAGGAAAAGUGUUAAAAAUUAGUGAUAAACUUAUUUUUUAUUUUUAUUUUUAUUAGAAUUAGUAAGUGUAUUUUUUGGAGCCCAUUUGUUCUAAUGUUUAAAUGGACAUUGUUUUUUUGUUCUUUUGAGUCCAAUUGAGUCAUGUGAGUUAUUUUGAGUUAAACGAAUCAAAUUGAACCACAUGGAUUUAGUUAGGGGUCAAAAGAAUAAAAAAGUUCGGUAGAGGAUUAAGCAGUGAGUGAAAAAAAAAAAUGGUUUCUUCUCUUUUUUUCUUUAUUCUUUUGUGUGGUGUUUCCCUCCAGAGUAAAGGAAUUGUGAAAGAGGUCCAAAGCUUGUAGGAUUUUGCUAGGUUUGAGGUGGGCGACCUCUAAUUAAUCUUUUCUCCUCUCUUGUGAUUUCAUUAUAAGGUACUUUUAGUUGUAAGUUUUAUUUGGUAAUUUUCAGUUUUAUUUUGUAUGGUGUUUUGAUAUUCCUGGUGAAGUUAAUUAAAUUCGUAUGUGAAAUUGUUUGAGAUUGUUAUUGUGAACUUUCUGUUUUUUCAUAUUUUUUUGCCUUCUAUUGUGAUUGUGCCAUCUUGGAUACGUAAAAAAUUUGAAUUUUUGAUUUCUACACAUUGAAGAAAAGGGUGUGUUCGGAUUGGAGCCGUUUGUGCUGUUAUUCAACAUUUUAAAAUUUAAAUAUAUUAUUUAUCUUUAUCUGCUCAAUUAUUUUUUUAUGUAAUUAAUGUAACUAUAAAUUCACUAAGGUAAUCAAUCAACUUAAAUUUUAUACCAAAGAUCCUCAAAUAAUUUAAAUUAAAUAAAUUGAAAGAUUAAAUAUUACGGUCAGAAUUUUGAAAGGUUGGAUAAUGGAAUCAAAAUAGGCUAUAUAUAGUUUAGACAAAUUUUAUCCAUAUUUAAUAAAGAAAAGAAAAGAAAAUAGAGAUAUAUGAUGUAAACGCACAUAUAUAAAAGGAACUUUCGUAGCCUUUCUGUGAGAAAUCGCUUCAUACCUGAUGAUCCCUCUUCUAGCUAGCUAGUGCAUGCACCUCUCGCAAUUAAAACUGCUUUCCUCGUUUAGCGCCUUUCCAGGAUAAAUAAUGCUUCACAAAAAAGAAGAAGAAGAAGAAGAAGUAGAAGAAGAAGAGGAAAAAUCUUCUCUUUUUUAUUUUAGAAAUGCAUGCUUUUGUCACGCUGUGCAAUGUAUUAGAUGGUGAGUAGCCUUCUCGACGUGAUUUCCAAAUCUAUUUUAUUUGAAGAUUCGUCUUGACUUAUGUAUAUUGCUUUAUGUAUAUAUAGAGUUUGGUUGGGGCGCUUCUAAUAGAAUCAAGUACUUUGUGCUAUUAAGUUUUUUACUGUUAGAUUUAUUCUUUUAACCAGUUCUAUACAUUAAAUUAUACUAUUCAACCAACGAUCCACUCACCUUAGAGAACUACUAUCAUUCUAACCGCACAUCUCUUUAUCCAAAAGCCGAAAAUCUAAUAGUAUUAAUGAUUUGGUGCUAUUAGAAAUAUUCCAGCCUAAUUUUAUAUAUAUAUAUAUAUAGUGUAGAACUAUUAUACUUUCGGAAGCAUAAAGGAGUUGAUGCUUCCGACUUUUUACCCCUUGGAUCAAGGAUUGGAGGGUCAGGAUGAUAAUGGUCCUCCUUAGAAUUGAGUGAUUUUUCUAGAAUUGAGUGGUCCCCUCUAGAGUAAUAAUAUAAAUCCGAAGGUUAGAAAUGAUUAAAGGAAUUGAUAGAAAAAUUCCCACACUAGUUAGUAUUGUUGGUUUUUGAUCUAAUGGCCAAAAGGCUAGAUUAAAGGAUGAGUAUGCCAGCUCAAUACAUAGGUGUAUAAAUAUAGAAUAUAUAGUAAUUUAGUGCUACUCGCUAGUCUUUGUUGACUCGGAUGAUAAAUAAAUAAUCUUAAUUUGAUUUGAACAUACUUCAUAGACGAAUUACAUCGUUUGGUUUUUAUUUAGAUUAUUGAACUUUAAUUUAGGGUAAACUACACUUUGGUUCUCAAACUAUAUAUGAAAUGCGUGAUAUUUUGGUUCUUAAAUUUUAAUUUGUUAUAAUUUUUAGUUCAAACUUUUUGAUUUAUUGUAAUUAAGUUCUAUAACUUAGUCUAGUUGGCUGCAUAUUGAUAAAUUAUUAUUGUAAAAGUGGUGCCGCAGUGUUGUAGUUACUCUUUAUUCAUAGUUCCUCAUAGUUCGAGCACCAAAAGUGUAAUUUAAUAACUCUUUAUUCAUUUAAUUAAGUUACCAAACUUCAUUUUUGUUUUAAUGAGGUUCUCUUGUUAGAUUUUCUAAAGUUUUUGAAACAAACAAGUGAUAAUUAAUUCAAUUGUCAAAUCAUCUCUUAGAGAUGAUCAAAAUGCCGAUUCAAUUAUUAUUAAAUAAAAUAAUUCAAUUCAAUUAAUUGUUGAAUACUAUUUUGAGACAAUACAAUAGUUGUAAAUCAUCACUACUUGCUAGUUGAAUUUACUGCCCCUUCUUUACUUCAUCUAAAAAGUUAAAUAAAAAGUUAAAAAAGUUUCAUGACCUACGGGCAUUAGUUUUGCAGAAAAUAUUUUAGAAACUAAUUAAUUUUCUGUCUAGAAAAGUACUUUUUUCGUCUAUUUGAUUCUUAGAAAAAGUAGUUUUUCUAAAUUUUCUUCUUUAGAGUUCAUAGAAGAGUAAUAUUUUUAUUUUCCGAAUUUUUAAUCAGAAAAACAAAUUAAAACUGUGAAAAAAAAUUUUCAUCAAAAUAUUUUUUUUGAAAAUAAUUUUCACACUUUUCUGAGAACCCAAACACCCUUCAAAUGAAAUUUCAGGAAAUGAUAGGUGGCCAAAAAUGUAUUAAAAGUGUACACAAUUGAUUUGUACAUGUAUACGAUAUACUUAAAUGCAUACGUAUGCGUGCAUUAUUUAAUUUAAUUCGUCUCUCCCUCCUUCCUGUCUCCCAUACUUACUAUACUUUGAAUAGGUAUAAAUAGAUUCAAAUUCUAAUAUUUUUUCAAUUUAUUUAAUUUCCGUGUAAACACGGUGGAAUUGACCUAUUAUAAUAAUAAAGAUACAUCAUAUGUUAUGCAGAUAUACACUUGUGGAUGCUUGUGUUAUUCAGUUAAUUACUCUCUCCAUCUCCCUAUCUCCCAAACUUAUUAUACUUUCAAUAGGUAUAAGUAGAACCAAAUUCUAAUAUAUUUUUUUUGUCUUAUUUCAUUUGCGUGUGAAAAUGGUACGUACAAUUACUUGUUAUAUAUAAUAAUAAAGAUACAUUGUAUAUAUGUCAUACAUAUAUACACUUAUGUAAGCGUGCAUGUAUUAUUUAAUCAGAGCUGUUACCGAUGCCCAAGAUAACCUACAAUUAAUGUUCUUGAUAUAUCGGCAACAUCAUUAUUAAACAUGAAACACUAUAUUUUAAAUCUUAAACAUUAUUAUUAAACUGCAAAAGCCGUAAUUAUAAUCUAAAUCUUAAACUCUAUAAAUCCACAUAUGUGCUAACACAUCAACAACAAUAUUUUAAAAUAUAUCUAAGUGGGAGAUCCAAAUCAUUUCUCUUAUUUAACUAUUCUCUCCCUUUUCCUCUCCCAUUCUUCUUAUCUCCAAACCAAUUUUAAAAUUUGACUUAGUUGACUUUGAAUAAUUAAGUAUAAGUUGAACCAAAUUCUAAUGUUUUUCGUCCUAUUUCAUUUUUGUCCUAGCAUGGUGGAAUCGAGUUGCUAUAAUAAUAAAGCUAUAAUGAUAAGAAGAUGCUAAUGCCACGUCUUCAUAAGUGAUAUAAUAAGUUAUAAGAGAUUUUGUGUAAUGACAAGUCGUAUAAGUAAUACAAGUCAACAAGAAAGCUUAUAAUUUAAUUUGUUUUUUGGUUAAAAUGUAAGGAAACCCCACAACCAUAUUGAUCAUAAAUCCUAAUAAUAAUAAUUAGGUUUAAACAUUUUGAGCUGAUGACUUGGAUCUACGAGUUAUUACUACUAGUAGAUUGAGGUGUUAUAUUGAGUUUUAGAGAUAUUUUACUAGCCAAAAAUAUGUGAUGAGUCUCACAUCGAAUGAUGAUCUUGAUUUGCAUUUGCGUUUGUGAUUGGGCUUAUGAGGACAUUAGGACAGUCAAGUAUGUAUUUGUGAUUGGACCGACGAGAACGUUAGGGACAUUGCCUUUAGUAUUACCCAAUAAAAUCCGAGUACUUAUACAAUUCUACUUAGACUGGAAACCAUCUGCUUAGUUUGGUAAUAGUAGGUCUUUCCAUUUGAUACAUACUAUUGAAAAAGAGCUGCUUUUGUAAAAAUGGAUUUGGUAUUGCCUAAACUACAGUAGUAGGAGCCAUAAUUGAACCACAUAUAUCUUCUACAUUAAAAGGCAUUAUAAAUAUUGAUUAGUCUUCAGAUAAAAGUCUAUUCUUUAUAAGGGAAAAAAAAAAAAACUUUGAGGAAAAUUUUUUGGAAUCUCUUUUAGUCAUAUAAUUAUGCAUCAAUUAACCAUAGUUAUAUAUUCCAAACAGAGUAUAUGAUAUAAUUGUGAUAAUUCAAAUUUAAGUUAAGAUUAACUGUGAAUCAUGUAGUAGAAUAAAGUUACAACUAAUUAUUAAAUUAGUCACUCCACAUAAUAAAGAACAAACCUAUCCUCCUCUUCUGAUAGAAAAUUUUUUCAGAAUUAACCGAAGAUAUCUUUUAUAGAAAUUUUUUUUCAAAAUUAACGGUAGAAAUCGGAAUUCGAUGCAUACUCCAACUGCUCUCUUCUUUUUUCUUUUUUCUUUUCUUUCGGAUAAAUAUAAAUAAAGUAGGAUUGACCCGAUAAUUUUAUCUAUAUCUACAUUAAUCCAUAUUCAAAUCUGAUUCAAUUAGUAGUAAAUGAAUCAUAUAUUAUAUAUUGUAAUAUUGUAGACACCAGACGAAGCAGUGGUUUAUUAAAAACAAUCAAUAUGUUUCUUAAAUCAAUCUGUUUAUGAGAAAAGGUCAAGAGAGAGGCUUUGAUUUUCGUUUCAACAAUUAUGAUAAUACGAGUUGCACAUGCGAAUUCCAAUUAAUUGGCCAACAAAUUGGUCAUCGUCAUUUCAAUAUAAUCAAACCCUAUGAUUUGCUAAAUACUAUUUAUUUGAGAGCUUAAUUAAUUCCCUCCUUUCGCCGUACAUCUUAUAUGUAAUGAAUAUGUCAAAUGUAGAGACUAAUUAGAACCAGGGGCGGAGCCAUUGAGGGGCCCACAGUGGCCAUGGCCCUCCCUAGCUUUAAAAUUAUAUAAAAGUCCUUUGUAAUAAAAAUUAAAAUAUUAUAAUUUUUAAUUUUAGGGGGCCAAAUUAAAUUUUUUAAUAAAAUUUGUGUCUCAAUAAUUUUUUUCAAAUUUUUUGGUCCUUUUCCUUCAACUCUUACCGUCUUGUUCCUCUUUGAGCAUAUUGCCAUUUGUUGCUACUAAUAACUGAUUAGUAAAUCUGACAAAUUUUUUUUUCUUAUUAUCCGAGGUUGAAUUAUUUUUCUAUCAAAUCUAAAUCUUGGCCCCCCCCGAAUUUUAAUUCUGGCUUCGUCCCUGAUUAGAGCUCACAGUCCAAUUAGAUUCUUAAUUAAACUCUAUUUAUGUUUUAAUAAAACUAAAUCUCAUCUUAUAUCCUAAUUAAAGUAGAAUUUGACUUUAAUUUUAAAUAAAUUUGACUUUAAUUUAAAUAACUAUAAAUUUAAACCGAAAUCUAACAAUAGAUUUUCUCACUAAUCCGUUAAACAACAAUUAAUAUUUGUGAAACUACCUCUUCUAUUUACGAUCUAUUCGUAUCUAUUUAUUUAGGAUUAACUCAACCUAGUUAAGAACUGAAAUUUGCUUUUAUCCUUUCAGACAUUAUACGAAAGCUUUUUCUUCAAAACUUUUUUAAUCUUUUUAAUAAGGGUAAAAUAUACAAAACUUUAUGUAAAUAUUUGUUUUUUCACUUCCUCCACUCGCUUUCAAAAAUCUAUAUAUUUUAUCUUCUCAAAAUUUCAAGUUGAUGGAUUUAAACGCCCUUUGUCAGAGUUCAAUCACUACUAUUCCGCCUAUUUUUUAUAAUUUAUAAUGAAGAUACCCAUAAGUGCAUGUUUGGUUUGCCCCAUUUUCAUCCUGAAAGCGGAAUCGAAAUGGACGAAUCCGUUUGUGCAUAUUUGAUAUGAAAAAUUUACAUUCCGAUUCCGACUCCCGGUGAAUGGGAAUCCUCUCAAUUACCACUUUUUCCGCUUCGUCCUAGGAGACUGAAUUGGAAAUUGAAUCCGGGCGGAGUGAACUUGUUCGGAUUAAAUUUAACUUUUUUAAUUUUAUUUUUUAAUUAAAACGUAAGUUUAAGUUUAAAAUUAUAUUUUUUAAAUUUUAAUUUUAAUUUAAACUUAAAUUAAAAAUUAAAAUUCAAUCAAGUAUUUCGAAUCUAAUUUAUAAAUUUGAAUUCAAAUUUAAUUUUAAUUUAAAUCUAAAGUUUUCUUCAAAUUUUAUUUAAAAUUAAAAUUAAAUUUAUGGAUUCAAAUUGAAAUUUAAAUGAUAACUUUAAGUUUGAAUUUGAAUAAAUCAAAAUUUAGUUUAAUAUUUUGAAUUAUCCGUUCAAUUUCAAAUUUUAAUUUAAAAAAUAUAUAUAUUUAAAAUUUUAACAUCAUUUUAAAAUUUUGACGUAAAUUUUUAAUAUUUAAUUUUUAAUUUGAAUUUAAAUUAAUACAUUAUAAAAAUAAAAUUGGCAUAUUAAUUUGAUUAUAUUUCUGAUAUCUUUUUGAACUAAACACCGAUAAUAAAAAUGGUUCAUUACCAUUCUGUUACAGGUGGCGAACCAAACGGAAUGAGAUAAUGAAUCAUUCCAAUUCCGUUUCUAGCUUAUUCUCAUUCCGAUUUCUAUACCGAUUCCGACUGCAAACCAAACAAACCGUAAAAUUGUUAGAAAUGCAUAAAAAAAUUUAUUUUUUUUCUUAACAAAUAAAGAAAAUUUAGUCAUCUUAGAAAGUAAAAAACAUGGAUAUUUAUAAGGGAAGGUUUUUUUAUUUUAGCCAAUAAAUAAAGUUUUAAGGGUACAAAGCAUUCUCCAAAUGCAUAAAUAAAUAAAGUUUUUAAGGGUACAAGGCAUUCUCCAAAUACAUAAUAAGAGCAGCUGAAGGCGUGCACAACUAAUUUGAUGCGUCCACUUUUACACACACAUACAUUGAAAAUAAAAUAAAUAAAAUAAAAUAAAACACAUAUAAGAUAACUAUCUGCAUAUAUCGACCAUCAUUUUCAAUUUUCCUCAAGCACGGAUUAUUUAGAAGAUCAAUCUGGGGCGGAAAAUAUGAAAGCAUCAAGCUCGGCCGGUGCUCUGCAAAAAACGCCCAAACUCACCUGCAUGAUGUGGAAUCAUUGAAUCCUUUCUUCGACAUACUUGCGGUCUCGUAUGAAACCAAUAGUAAAAUUCGGGAUGUGGCGAACCCUCGUGCGCCAGUCAUUGCUGUGGUCGCCUUCUCCUCCUCCUCCUCCUCCUCCUCGAAGCAACUCAAUAAGUUCCUCUGCUGGACGGUUAAUGCAUAAAUGCUGAAGGGUGGUAAGGUACUCGAUACCGUGGGGCAGCUCCUUUAGCUCGGGGCAACACUUUAGGUCUAGCAUAUUCAGGCUUGCCAUUGCUCCUCUUUCUAUUUCCACCUGACUGAGCUUCGGGGUAAAUGCUAUUACCAAUGUCUUUAGCUUCGGGAAUGAUGUUGCUUGGAAGUGCAACUUCAUGCCGUCAUAUGCCUCAUAAAGUUCAAGAAACAUCAAUGACGGCAGUUCUUGCAAGUAAGGAAAAGUGUCUUCAUCCAAUUUUGCAUAUGAAAGUCUUAAUAUGGUUAGGUUUGUUAGAGACCCAAAGGACGUGGCAAGCUCAGGGAGUGAGUUUUUGUCUAAUUUACCCUCCAGAUCUAAUUCUUGAAUUGGUAGAGGAAGGCGCAGGGUGCCCAACUGCUGUAAUUCUUGCCCAUCUUCACUCCAAAUAAGUAAAUCGCUAAGAUGGUUCAUUUUUGUGAUACUAUUCCACAAGUCUGCACAGUGAUGGGUUCUUACGCUCUUUAUCCCAAAUGUCCGCAACUCUGUCAAAGCUUCUACAUUCCGCACAAUCUUCCUAGUUGCACUAAUAGUUGCCAAACUCUGCAAGCCCUUCAAGCGCCAUAUUCCCACCGGUCCCUUGAUGUUCUUACCCAAAUUGUCGGACAAAAAUAGAUGUCUCAACUUUUGAAGUUCUGUUAUUCCUUUUGGCAGCUUUUCUAUUUCACUUCCAAAUGUAUCUAAUAUUUGCAGAUUUCGUAGCUUCCCGAUUGAUCUUGGAAGCUCCUUAAUUUUUGGAUCUCGCAAGCAUAGAUAAUGCAGGUUGAAUAGGUUACAGAUCUCACUCGGUAGUUUCUCGAUUAGCGUUCCUUGUAGUUCCAAGACACGUAAAAAUUUUGAUGAUCUUAAGACCGACUUUAGUAAAUCAUAGCUCAUGGAAUUGUUGAAAACAAGUACUGAACGCAAAUGAGAUUUGUCUUCAGUACGAUAAUUAGGUAUAUUGCUUAGGAUUGACAAGCGGCGUGCUUUGUAUCCCUGCAAUAUUGUCCUUGAAUGCUCGUAAACUAUGCAAAAGCUUAACUCCUUUGACUCCGAAAGAGCGAGGACUCGAAUGAUGUCAUGCAUUCGAUAUGCACAAACUCUACCAAUUUCGUUCCACUCAGCCUCUUGUAGUAGGCAGCGAUGAACAAGUUCGCUAAGGUAGUCCUCGGCCACUUCCUCCAUCGUUAUUCCUCUUUCUUCAAUGAACCCUUCGGCCACCCAAAGCCUUAUAAGCUUGUUAUGUCUAAUUUGAUAAUCUUCCGGAAAGUUGGAACAAUAUAAGAAGCAAUUUCGAAGGUAAUGGGGAAGAUCGUCCAAACUAAGUUUCAAAAUGUCAUGUACUUUUCCAUGGAGCUUCGAUUCGUUGUUAGUUAGAUACCACUCAAGAUCUUUGUAAACCUUCUCCCAUUCAGAACUGGUUUGUUCUCGAAAUGAUAAGAGACAGGCUAUAGACACGAUAGCAAGGGGCAAGCCACCGCACUUCUCGACAAUUUUUUUAGCACAUUGUUCUAAAGGUGGUGGGCAAAUCUUGUUUGCACUUUUCCAAAAUGCGUUUUUACAAAACAAAUCCCAUGAAUCAUCUAUCUCCAGUGGCUUUAGCUCAAACAUAUGGUUCUCGUUUGCUAAUAGAGCUACAUCGUGAAUCCUUGUUGUGAGAACUAUUCUACUCUUGCUAUUACUAUUCAGAAGUGCAUUCUUUAUAUUGUCCAGUACAUCAAUACUCCAAACAUCAUCUAGAAUAAGUACAUAAUUUUUACAGUGCAAGUAAGUGUGGAUAGUCUCAACCAAGCUUCUACAAUCCAUGGUAUCAAUGUUGUCAGGUACUUCUCUUUUCUCAACUAAGCUUCUUUUAUCCAUGGUAUCAAUGUUGUUAGGUGCUUGUCUUUUCUCACGAUCUUCCCUAUAAAACUCUUUUAAAAUCCGUCUAAGCAAAUCAUCAGUCUCAUAACUUUGAGAUACAGCAACCCAGGCACAAGCAUCAAAGGUAGCUUUGAUGAUUUUGUACACAUGAGUUACAAGAGUUGUCAUCCCUAGACCACCCAUCCCCAACACUGAGAUUAUCAUGGGCUGUCGUUGCUGCUCAUCCUCAUCUUUCAACCAUUUGAGCAACAAGUCCCUGUACUUGUCAAUACCCACGAUAUCAUCCUCCUCGACAAAAUGUGCUAAUUCUGCACGGCUCUUGCUACCGCCAACAGCUAUUAGAGGUUUUGCUUCACUUUCCAUUCCUCUUGUAUCAUAUCGUGUCCUUCUCUCCAUAAUGUUUUGGAGAUUAAUUUUGAUCUCUUUAAGUUUGCUGCUAAGGUCAUCCCAUGUUUUUAUAUUUCUGCACCUCUUGAUUGCUCUGGGUAGAACCCCUCCUUGCUCCUCACCCAGCUUGUACGUGAACUCAUCUAUAAUAUCCUCAAUGUCGAAAGCCAAGUCUCUUGUUUGUUUUAUGAAGAUUUUUGUGCUCUCAUCCUUCUCUUUUAAUCUUUCUGCAAUCCGUAGGAAGGAUAGCAUGCUCUCAAGCUCAUCCUUAAUCUCACUUAUAUCCUUCAUGAGUUCUUUCAUUGUUGAUAUCCGUGUUCGUAACUGUGAUGUUGCUGCUUUAGUUGCUUCACUAGCUAAGGCAGCACCAAUAUUGUGGAGUAAUAAGCUUACCACAGCCUCCGCCAUAGGCACUUCCUCUGAAUUGAGCCUAAAAUAAACAAUCUUUUCAAAUUACCAUGUCCCUUCAAAUGCACCACUAGCAAAAAUGAUUAUCUUUUAACGCUCUUAUGAUUCAAGGCAAUUUUCGUAAAAAAUGUGUAAUUGUCUCAAACGAAAUAACUCUGUAGUGCACUAAACAAACAUUUGUUAGAAUCCUCAGUUAAAAAGAAGAAACACCAUUAACAGUAUUGUAGUCUGGAAGAAUAAAAAGCAAUAACUUGUUUGAGAUUCAGUUUAACAAAAUUUUGAGAUGGAAGAUUCAUCAUAACUAGUCAUAAUGAACUCGACCUGAAUGUAUAUUUGUAGAUCAAGUUGUGAAAAAGUCCUUUAGAGGAGAACGAAAUCAAUAAAGAGUAGGAAAGUAAAUCAAUCUGCUGCUAGCCAGUGAGUAGAUGGUAUCUUAUUAAGCGUGAUUGUAAAUUAUUUUACAAUUAACAAUUAUAAAUCGAGUUUCUUUUGAAGCCCUCUUNUAGAUCAAGUUGUGAAAAAGUCCUUUAGAGGAGAAGUAAAUUAUUUUACAAUUAACAAUUAUAAAUCGAGUUUCUUUUGAAGCCCUCUUCUUGUUCAUAAUUAAGUUAAUAUAUAUCAGGACGAUAAGUCAUUUGAGCAAGAAACUAUUAGUGCUUUUUCAUAUAGUUUUGUUUUGAUAGUAAUAUAAGAACUUAAAUUUAGACUCAUGAAACUCCCGUAUUUCUCUAAUAUGUUAAAUUUUAUUGCCUCGACAUUCAUAGUUUCAUACCGCCUAUUAUCAGACCAGACUCUAAAAGUUCUAUUUCAACUUUUGUGAUUUGUAUUGCAAUUUGUAAAAGUUCUACAUUACUAGUUUUGAUAUUAACUGAUUUUUUUUUUCGAAAUAAUUAUUAUCUUUGUGAGUUCAGCAGGAAUAUUUCUUAAAGUGAUCUUGAUACUUUUUUUUUUGUUUUCGAUGAUGAGGCAUUUAAAUAAACGUCCUGUCUCGCUAAAUAUGAUCUAGAAUAUUUGCAUGGUUUAGGAACUGAAAUUUCUUUAUUGUCGUUAUCAUUUACCUAGUGAUCGAAUGGUCUCAAAAUUGACAAUUUAACAAAUAAAACAAGACACUUUCUUCUCGUUUAACAGCAAAGAACCAUUAGAAUUAGUUGAGCAUUUGAUAAUAAAUAAAAUCUUGUCAACUAUCUAAAUCAAGAUCUACAGCCAAGAUUGUGAAUUUAAGAUUAUUUUUAAUUAUAUGUUUAGAAGGUAGCUAAUUUGACCUUUCGUAUUAUGCCCACUUGGCUAGCCAGAAAAUAAAUUUAAAAAAACCUCUUUUUCUAGAAAGUUUAUGUAUCAUUUACCAUCUUAAGAUGGUAUUGAUCGUCAAUUUAGGUACUCAAUCAUCAACAAUAAAGUGAAAGUACUAUAUAAUGUCAAACUAUUCUAGCUCAAUUAUUAUCGAUCUCUUGUUAUCUUGUUUCCAAAGAUCAAGUGAAUCCAAACAAUAUAUUAAACAACAAAGACAUACUAUACUACUCUCUGUGACUUACAGAAUGAACUAAUUGAUAGCAAAGAAAAUAAAAAUUAAUAAAAAAGAAUAAGUAGAAGAAGGUGCACAACUAACCACAGAUCCAAAAAGGAUUAGAUUGAAGAGGGUGCUGGGACCUGCUCCAAAAUAAUUAAUCUCACAAAUUCUACUAGAGAAAAUACUACAACCAAAGAAGCUCUUGAGAGAGAGAGAGAGAGAGAGAGAGAGAGAGAGAGAGAGAGAGAGAAGAGGUUGAAGAGUGAAAAGAAAUAGAAUGGGAAUUGCAGAAUAAUUAAAGGUCGAAUGGCCUUUAGCCACCAAGGAACGAACUUCUUCCCUCUUCGCUUUUGCCAUCAGCAUUCUGUGGCCGGUGGGUCUACCACCAGCAAAAGGUAAAAUUCCUUAUCCUCCUGCUGGCAACUUUUGAUGGUGAGGUGAGGUGAGGUGUCGUUGAAGCCCACAUUAACGGCGCAAAACAGAUCCAAAAGAAAAGAACAUACUGAGAUUUACGUAGUUCAGCUACUGAUCUACAAUUCACGGACGAAAAUAAAGUAAAAUUUUAUUAAUAUCAACGGUAGAAUACAAAAUUAUUCUCAAAAAAAUCCGAGAUUCAAAAUAUACUCGAUCGUGGUGCACCAUUGCUUACGCUCUCAGUCAAUAUACUAUAUAAAAUGCUAGGGACUCAAUUGGAGUCGGAUACAACAUAACUAAUUGAGUCCCAAUUAGAGACAGAUCAUUAAUGUUGUCACGGCCAAUAAGCCUUAAAUUAGUGAAAAUAAAGACAUAUUAAGAUAAUUAAAUUAAACUAGAAAAUCACUUAUAAUAAAUGCAUAUUAUCUUGAUCACGAGUAUUAUGGAUGGUUUCUUAACUUUUACUAAAUUUGAAUGUUAUUUUUUGAUAUAUAUUGACAACUUUUAAUCGGAAUAUAUCUUUGUAAUUAGGGGUGGUUCGAAGGGUACUUACGAAAUUAACCGUUUUUAUUUUGUCAUUUUGAAUUCAAAAAGUCAAGCUCCGUCAUAAUUUCAUCUUUAUAAUUUCAUUUUCAUUUUGCUGUUGUUAAAUACAGCAGCAAAAUAUUAUCGUUUGCAAAUUAUACAAAGUACAAAAUUUUGUAAACCAGACGGUGGCCGGUAAAAUGUACAUCGCAUUUUACUAACUUAUAAAUUGCACUUUAUUAUUCUACGGACUGCAAAGUAUAACACUUUACUAUUUUAAUUAAAAGUAGUUCCUUACCAUAAAGCAAAAAAUUGUAUAACAUUUUAAACCACUAAACGAUGAAUUGAUAAUGCGAAGAAAUAUGCGUGACUUAAUUGAGAUUUACGGUGGUGUGUAUUUUGCAAGAGAGCUUUCCAAUGGUGGCUUUCAUAGCCUUUUUCGAUGCUCGGGCAUUCGAUUCGAUACAUACCAUCAUCGAGGUUCCUUCAAUUGAGGUGCGUUACCCUAACUUUGCUAAAAGGAACUUAUACGAAGAUUAAGCACGAAGCGAUGAGCUUCUCUGACCUUCCUAACCGUAAAGCUAUAUCCUCGAAACAAAUGUUAGAAAACAC
rnacentral:lncRNA from 1 species